rnacentral:lncRNA from 1 species
GAAAAUUCCUUCUGCAAAUUAGCCACCCUCUCUAUUGGAUAUUGCUCUAAGCUACACAACGUCUUCCCUUCCACAAUCAUAGGGAGAUUGCACAACCUAACAAUUGUUGAGAUUGAAAACUAUCCCUCUCUGGAAUCAUUGUUGAUUGUGGGUCCACGAAGCAAACAUUGUGCAAACAACUGUAUUGCUCCCCAAAUCAGAAGUAAAGACGGUGAGGGAAGCAGGAAAGUUGAAAUGUACAGUGAAGAGCGACUCCCAAAUGAUUUUGAGUUUUCCUAGUCUUAAAAAAAGUCCGUGUUUGCAAUUGCUCCAACCUAAGAUAUCUCUUCCCCAGUUGUAGUGCCACAACUCUAGAGAAACUCGAGAGCCUAUGGAUUAGCAAUUGUGAACAGAUGAAGGAAGUGGUUCCUAAGGAGAUAGCCAAAGGAGACGAUGAAUCAUCACAACUGUUGUUCAAUGAGAUGGUUUGCUCCAUCCUUUACCAUGAUCAUCAGAAUUCUUGCAUUUCAUAUUUUAGAACGAACAAUCUAAUAAUUUGUCCUAUCUAUCCUCCUUUCUCACAUUAAACUCGUGCAGGCUAGAUUCCCCAAUAUAAGAAAACUACAAAUUGAAGGUGUCCGGUGCAAAGAGCUAUGGAACAAUCAAAUUCCCUAUGAUUCCUUUUGCAAACUGGAAUUUCUUCGAUUGGAGCACUAUGACAAUCUCCUAUGUAUUGCCCCAUCCCACAUGUGGAAGAGACCACAGCUUUGUCUCGACUUCCUAGAAGUGAGAUCAUGCCGUUUGGUCAAGAGCAUAUACAAAAGUGAUGGGACAGAUACAAAGAGUGGCAAAUUGAGGAGGUUGGCUUUGCAUGAUCUCGAAAACUUGAGGCACCCGUUCCCAAACUUGAGAUACGUAGAGGUUGUGAGGUGCUCUCAUUUGGAAAUUCUUUUCACAACCUUCAUGGCGAAAUUUCUCGGGCAAAUCGAAGAGCUAAUAGUAGAGUCAUGUGAAGAUAUAAAACUAAUUGCUGGCCAUAAAGAAUGUGAAGAAGCGGCCGGUACGACAAUCACCUUCUCCGAGUUAACUGCUUUUAGACUUUUUGAGUUGCCGAAAAUCAGGAGAAUCCUAGCUGAGAAAUACUCUGGGGAAUUCCCAUCCUUGCAAGUCUUUUGUAUGGUAAGCCGUGGAAUGGCGCCGGACCGAGGCCUUGAUGACUGGGAAAGGUACCAAGCCCGCAAGUGGUUUGACUUCAUGAAAUAUGGAUUUGAAGAAUAAUCGUUUCGGACUUCUGCAACGGAAAAUGGUGUUUGGCAAUAUAGAAUAAUGCAUCCGGUAAUAUGAUAUCAUGUUUCUGCGUUAUCUUGUAUAGUUCCCACAAAGUCUCUUGACUAUUUCCUUCAAUAAUCAUUGCUCUGGUUUGUCUCCUGUCCCUUGGAUCUAAGGCCGUGCUAAGGAAGGUCACUUGUUCAUUUCGACUGAGAAUGUAGAGUUGCUAUCAAUGCAUGAUUCUAAUAAAAUGACUGCCUAUUGAGACAUGGUCUCUUAGGGAGUGCAUGAUAACCAAAAUUUUUGUUCCAGAAAUAAUUUUUCUAUUCCAGACCUGUUUAUGGAAUAGAUUCCUGUUUGAUAAACCUACUCAGUUUUUUUAUUUCUGGAAUAGAUUUCUAUUCCAGAAAUUGAUUUGGAAGAGAAAUCAGAAAUAUAAAUUUUCUAUUUCUGAUUUCUGGAAGAGAAAUCAGAAAUAAUUUCUCUCACUAAACCCUAAUUUCGGUGAGUCCUCCCUCAUCUCCUUUACACCUCUGCCUCCUCCUCAUCCGCCUCUCCUCAUUUUAUUAAAAAUAAAAAUAAAUAUAUUCAUUUUAUUCAAUUAAAAAUAAAAAUAAAUUUAUUAAAAAUUAAUAAUUUAUUUAAAAUUUAUUAAAAAUUAAUAAAUUAUUUAAAAUAAAUAAAUUAUUUUUAUUUCUCAUUUUAUUUUUAGUUUAUUAAAAAUAAAUUUAUUAAAUUUAUUAAAAAUAAUUUAUUUAUGAUAAAUAAAAAUAAAUUAUUUUUAUUUGCCUUGAGUGUUUUGCCAGAUAAAUUUAUUUUUAUUUUUUAUUUUUAUUCAUUUUAAAAUAAAUUUAUUCGUAAAAUAAAAUAAAAUAGGAUAUUUUUAUUUUAUUUUUUAUGAUUUCUUUUAUUUUACUUUAUUUUAUUCUUUAUUUUUUGUUAUUAAAUCAUUUUUAUUUUUAUUUUUUAUAUUAAAGGUCGUCAGUCGUCGCCCUCGCCGUCCGAAAGGAAGAAAUUUUGUGUCGUUAUCAAAUGAAUUUCCAUUUUUAUAGUAGAAAUUUUGUGUCAUUAUCAAACGGAUAUUUUUGCUUAUAAACUCUUCUAGAAAUAGAAAUAGAAAAAUCUAUUUCUGUUCCAGAAACUAUUUCUGGAACAGAAUGGUUGUCAUGCGCGCCCUUAACUGACAAGCAUUUAACAAUUACUAGUGAGUCCCAGUUACUUCCUCUAAAUUUCUAAAGAGUCUUUCAUGGACAGUAACAAGUGCAUUGUUUCCAAUUUGUAACUGACAACGAGUACAUUAUUAAGCAAAUGACAUAUUCAAAUAUUUUUCAUCAUAAAUGACUAUCGGAACAAAAUAAUUCUUUUUUUUUAAUUCAAAUUUAUAAACGUGAAUAUUUUCUUAUUUUCGCUAACUAUUUACUACUUGAUGAUUGGAUAUUUUAAAAUGUGAUGUUCAUGAUUAGUAAAUAGAAAGUUACUCUUGCUAUUUUCUCGUUCAUAGAGUCAAUUUUACGAGUUAUUAACAAGAAAUUUUGCCCUAAACUCAUUAAUAGUGAAGGCAUUUAGUAAGCAAAAGGCACUUCUAAUAUAAUGUAUUACCAAGAGAUUCUCCGCCUAUACUUUUACUCUUCUCUUGACAAAAAGCUCUUCAAAUUUUAUUUGGAAAAGAAAAAAGCCGUUUUAUUAAAUAUGAAUGCAUCUAAUGUGCAAAAAUCAAUUUCACUGUUUUAUAUAUACCAGAUUUCAGGCUCUUUCAAGAAUUUCACGAAAUAGAUGAACUCCAUACACACGAGUUUACCAACUUAAGUACACUUCCAACAAUUUUGUCUCAUGAGAAAGAUCAAAACAGGUUUCUUCUCUCUCGAUCGAAUUUACUGGCUAACAAGGCCUCGUCACGUGGCCCUCGACAGAAUUCACCGGCUCUCUUCCUUUCUCUCUCUACAUCAAACGAUCUGAGUCGAUUCCCUUUCGAGAUCAGGCUCGGCGCGCUCUGCGGAGUGGGGCCAGAGCAUAAACAGAGCCACCUUCACACACGCAAAAGGAGCUCCACAAAUUCUCUCUAGCCCUGGUUGAAGGGACUCGCGUGAUUUUUGAGCAUUCAUAAGUCACUCUCUCUCGGAGAUUUCCUUCGAAUCCUUGCCUCUCGCUUCGUUGCUGAUCGUCACCGCUUCCCGAUCGCCGACAGUUCGGUCUGUAAUGGCGAAGUUCUCAAACUUUGGUCGCGACUGCCUGCUUCGACGAUUCCAAUCCUGGAUGUUGUUUCUGUUAUCUCCUUACUCAUAUCCGAUGUCAAUCGCUAUAGCUAAUCAUUCUUCUUUCAACUAAACCACAUUUGCUCUGUUUUCCGUUGCUUCAUAUACGAAGCAGAGGCUGAGUGCUAUUGUUACCGCCUGUGCGAAAACGGCUUCGACUGAGGCUGUAUUGAUGAUCGAACUUGCCGACUGCCUUUGUGAUGAUUUGGAUGCGAAUCACCUGUUUGAUGAAAUUCCUGAACUUAGUCAGUUUGUAUUUUGAUUCAAGUCUUGACCGAGAAUUUCCUUCAUUACUAGAUUAUUGAUUAAUUUCGGUCAUGUAAGCGUAUCUGAGGUCUGUUUCUUCGUAAAAAAUCAUAGGUAUUCAAUUUUGAACUUGCUUUGGAUCUGCUACAACCUGUCGAUACAUGCUGAUUCGUAACUAUUGCAGCCCUGAGCUGAUGUCAUUUGGUCCUUGAUAUUGAUUUUAUUCCACCUAAGUAAGCAUGUUUAAUGAAUUUCAUGUUCCCCUGAAAGGAAUUUAUGUCAUGAAUGAAAUAAAUUCUACCGGGAAUUGAUCCUUUUAUGUUGACCGUCUUAAAAUCCCUGAUUUAGUGUGUGUUUGAUUCCAAUUUGAGGCUAGUUUGGUUAUGGGAUCGUAUAUGCCCAUGCUAGGAAAGCAUUAUGGUGAAUCUCAUGCCGAUUUGCGAGAAUUGGGGUCAUCACCAAACUUGAAUAUGUUAGAAUGAAAGUAUUGCGUGCUGACCAUGCUUGCUUGCAUAAAUUCAGUAUUAAUUUGCCCCUUGAUUGAUGCCAUUUUGAUCAAGUAGACUUAUAUGCGCUGUAGGAAGAUAUGGCUUCAUUUUCAUGUUGAUUACUCAUCAAAAGAUCACAAUUUGCUGUCUCAUAUGCUCUGUUACAAUUAUGAAUGUCUGCUGGAAGUUGUGGAAUAAGCAUAAUUAGAUGGAUAAGAGAUAUGGUGUGUGCAAGUUCCUUGUCAAUUUCACAUGUUCAGAUGGCAAUUGCAUGAUUAAAUUGAUGUAUGUAUGCUUGCUAUUGCCAUGAGAGUCUUGGCCUGAUUAUUGAAUUAGAGAACUCCAAUGUUAACUGAACUUUAAUUCCAUGAUUCUUGCGAUUUCAAAGCUCGGGACAUCUAUUAAAUAAUUUGAAGAAUACUGACUUCGUUUAAAGGUGAUAUGGUAGACUAGCCAGAUUUGAGGAAAUCUCUCAACAAAACUGGUCACUGAGGCCCCAUCAAAAUAUCGCAUGGACGACACUUGCCAACAGAAUCCAAAUAUUCUCUCCCUCUCCUUUGACGCUCACCAUUUAAGGCUUAUUUAUAAGAGCUAUUUCUUAAACCUGACUGAUCCUUCAAGUUCAUGCACUUGUGCCAAUAUACUGUGCACAACACCAAUUGCAACCUAUUGACGCUACUGGAAAUAUCUUCGGGGAAGCUAGAACUCACAUUUGGUUGUGAAUUCCAAUGCGGCAAAUGAAGGGAUAUAUCUCUCUGUCCUUUCCUUCCUCAGAGUUCGCUGGCCAGUGCUGUUCAGAAUGAUGUUUCAAAUAUAUGUUUCUCAUUUCAUUGGAAUGCUCAUGAUAGACUGAUAGUCAUCUGCGUCAACAGCACUAAAGGAGCACGACAGAAGAUUAUCGCCAGUAGGGGGAGGGAAGCUUGGUCACCAGCGAUAAUUUAGUCACCUAUCCAAUUGUCAACAGUCCCAAGGACUAAAAUGCCACGGUACUCAAACUUUGGUCAUAAUUGCCUGCUUCGACAAUUCCAUUCCUUGACAUUGCUUUUGUUAUCUCAUUACUCAUAUCCGAGGUCAAUCGCUAUAGCUAAUCAUUCUUCAUUCAACCAAACUGCAUAUGCUCUGUUUUCCAUUGCUUUAUGUAUGAAGCAGAGGCUGGGAGCUGUUGCUCCCAUCUAUGUGAAAAUGGACUGUGAUUGAGGCUUUAUUAAUGAUUUGAACUUGCUGCAUUUCCUUUGCAAUGAUUUGGAUGUGAACCGUUGCUUUACUUUUGCAUCUAAGCUCCCUAGCUGAAAUGUAUACCACAUGUUUGAUGAAAUUCCUGAACUAAAUAAAUGUGUAAUUCCAGGUCUUGACUGAGAAUUUCAUUCAUUACUAGGAUUUCAUCAAUUUUGGUCAUAUCAGCCUAGUUGUGUUCUGUUUCUUCAUCGAAAAUCAUAGGCAUUCCAUUUUGAACUUGCUUUGGAUUUGCUGGAACCUUGUCAAUACAUGCAGAUUUGCAGCUGUUGCGGCCCUGGGCUAAAGUCCAUUGAUCCUUCAUUGGAUGCUAUUCCACUCAAGUAAGCAUGUGCAGUGACAUAAGAUUGUGUUACGGUAAAUUUCAUGUUUGCUUGGAAAAGAUAUUAUGUCAUGGAUGAAUUAAAUUAUACUUGAAAUCAAUCCUUGGAUGCUGACCAUGUCUUGGUAUCCCAUGAUUGGGUGUGAGUUUGAUUCCAACUUGAGGCUAGUUUGGUUAGGGGAUCUUAUAUGUUCAUGCUAGGAAAGUAAUAUGGUGAAUCUCAUGCCAACUUGAGGCUAGUUUGGUAAUCGCUUCAAUUUCACGUCAAUUUGUCAUCAAACAAUCACGAUUUGCAGUCUUGUAUGCUCUGUUACAAUUCUGAUUGCUGCUGGAAGUCGUGGAUUAAGCACAGAUUAGAUGGAUUUUGUCUCAACUUGCUUGUCAUUUUUAUUGCCCGUGGGCAAGUGAUAUCACGUGUUCAGAUGGCACUAGUUGGCUGUUAGUCCCACAAGAAUGAAAUCAAGGACUGCAUAUCAAAACAGAUAUGUAUUAACAAAGGGUCUCAAUUCCCCAAAAAAGCACAAACUUUAGGUUGACUCUCUGUUCUGAGUUAAACUUUUUUUUGUCUAGAAAGAAUCAACUUCCACUUAAGUCCCAAAUUUGAUCCCUGUUCAAUUGCCGUCCAAAAUCACUGUUGAAGGUCUAACAUGGCAGUCAGUUGUAAAUCCAUGUCAGCUAACUACUCACCAAAAAGAUGCUUUGUUGUUCUUAAAAUUUUGGAAAAAUCGAAACAAUUAUAGGUGGAUUCUUCAAUUCUGCAGACAAAAGUCUUCAAAUUUUGUGUUUGGGAAUCUUCAAUUCAUCGAAUAGACUCACGCUCGAGAUAGUUGGUUUGUUGAGCUUUUAACAAACCAAUUCUGAACUCUGCUGGUCUCGUGAUCCAAGGACAGGUGCUCGACCGAAGACAGCAUCUUCUGCAGGAUCAUUCUCAGUGAAUCGCCUGCAUUCAAGGUAUUUGAUUGAUUUUGAUUCUGGUUCUUCUGAAUCGAGGAUGGAUAGCUAUCUUCUUCAAUGUCAAAGCUCAUUUCAAUUCAUGGUUUUGCAUCUCAUGCGUUAUUCUUACUGAAAGAUGCGAGCUUGAUGUCCUGCUAGGUUGGCAAUCAUGUGCGGAAGAAUUACAUCCACAUAUUGUUCUCAUAUUUUGCCUAUCCGAAAACUCAAUGGAAUGGUGACUCUUCCACAUUGCACUGUUUGUCGUGCAUCAUUAAGCACUGCUGAUGCGGCUAUGUGUUUGACAAACAUUUUCGGAAUGUAUGACAGAUGACGGCUAGAAUGAUCAGAUCCUUCUUCAUUCAUUUGAUCUUUUUGUACUUUCAGCUCUGUGAGGAUGGAAAGUGUCUAUGCAUAUUGAUUCGAGUCUUCUAAGCCAUGGGUAGGGUGUUACUCAUCCACCAUUCUGCAGUAGAUGACCCCUUGAAAUUAUUGUCCUUAAACAAGGAUAAACUGAUUAGGCAAAAAUGUCAUUUUUGCUCUGGUGAUUAACUUCUCCAUUGUUUAGCGAGGACUUCUUAUAUAGUCUCAUCUAAUCACUCACUCCAGAUUGUGUAACCUUGCUUCAUAAACAACAAAUUGAGAUGAAUUAAUGUGUCUAUACGUGAAGUUAAGAUUUGCCCAUGAAACUAUGUUGCAGUAAGAAGCAGAUGCUGCCAUGUUGUUAGCUUGGAUCCUAGCAGUUGUUCUCAUGGCCUAAAGAACCCACAUCGUUAAAAAAAUUCUACCUGCAGAUCAGCUUAGAUCCUGACAAUUGAAUGUAAAUACUAAAAGAGAACAUUGAAGAGGAGGGUAUUGAUUGUUAUUAAUGCAAACUGUCCUCUCGAGGAAUUUCGCACUUUUGUUUUUUCAUAAACCAACUUCUGUUCUUGAAAAAUCUUUUUGCGAUGUAAGACUGUGCGAACUCAGUCACCUCAAUUGUAACCUGGGACGCAGUGCUUCGUCCACGAUCUCCUGCGAAUCUGUGGCUUUCAUACCGGGCGGGCCUUAUUGUUCAACAACCAACUCGACUACAUUAAUGCCACGCGGAACAUGCCGUGGUCCCUCGCCUGGAAGCUGGAUCGUUGGCAUGGGAGGAGCGGGGUUUAUAGCCGAUGGCAAGCUAAGUAGCAGGGGACAAUCGGGGGUUCCUCAGUGCCAGAUAGGCAAGUUACUUUUUGUCCAGCGUGGAUGCGCUUUCAUGGAGAAAAAGAUUGCGAGAUGGCUGGAUAGUUCUAGCAUUUUGGGAGAAAAUAUUGGGUGGGUUUUACCCUCCACGUAGGCGGUGGGUAAAACCACUCAGUGAUCGACACGUGGCGCCACGUAGGCGAGGACGUCAGAGGAGAAAAUAACUCUGUCUCUCUCCUCUCGCGUCUCUCCAUCUUCUGCGCUUCUGUCUCUCUCCUCUCUCCGAAAUAACUCUGGGCUGGUGGCUCGGCUCGGCUCGGCUGGCAGAAGAAAGGACGACUCCCGCUUAAAAUUUCUCUCCUCACUUGAAUAUUUUGGGUUUCGUCUCUCUCUCUCCUCGUGAAGAGCAGAGAACGAGCUGCACCUCCUCUCUGUUUCCUUUUCUCAGCGCAUCCCAACCCCACCCCACGAGCGGCCCCCGCCUCCGGAGGGGCAGCGCCUGAGCCGUGCGGCCGGCGGAGGAGGCGGUGGCGUUGUGAGCGAGGACGGGAAGGCGGAGGAGGCCAAAGCGGCGCGGCGGCCGUGGAAUCUGAGGCCGAGGAGGGCGGUGAACCCUUCGCCGCUGUCGUUGAGGAACGGCGAGGCGUUUCACGACACCGCGGGCGGCACGAUCAGCGGGGACAAGGAGAAUUACGCCGCGCAGCAGCAGCAGUUGCAGCUGCAGCCGAAAUCCGUGUGGUUACGAGACUUCAUGGGGGAGGGCGAGAGGAAGGAGAAGAAGAGGCUUCUCUGCGCCCUCCCUCUUUCCGACCGGCAACCGACGAACCACCGCACCGGACCGGCGAGAGGACCGCGAGACCUAGCUCCCUCCCUCUUUCCGACCGGCGAACCACCGCACGGGACCGGCGAGAGGACCGCGACCUCCUUCCCUCUCUCUCUCUACCCUCCCUCUGUCCGACCGACGAACCACCGCACGGGACCGGCGAGAGGACCGCGACCUCCUUCCCUCUCUCUCUCUGCCCUCCCUCUGUCCGACCGACGAACCACCGCACGGGACCGGCGAGAGGACCGCGAGCAAUCGACGAACCACUACACGGGACUGGCGAGAGGACCGCGACCUCCCUCUCUCUGUGCCCUCCCUCUUUCCGACCGGCGAACCACCGUGAGCAAAUAAGAUGUUUUUGUAGAGAUCUCCCAUCGUCGCCUUCAUCUUCUUUUCCCCCCUUUUUUGUUUUGUUGGUUUUUUCCCCUAGUGUUCUGAUGAUGGAUCUGGAGUUGCAUAUGCUCGACGGCUUCUUCGGCGACCUCCCUGAGGCCAGCGACGUCAUCGGCGCUUGCUCCUCGACGAACGCGUUGUCAUCGUCUCCAGGCUCGGGGCUCUCGUGGUUCAUCGAGAACAUCCUGAUGAAGGACAACGAGGACGGUAGAGUUGCCGGUGGCGGGAUUAGGGCUGAUUCGAGCCAGGAGUUCUGCGAUAGGUUCCUCGCUGACGUGCUCGUUGACUCCCCCGGAGAUGGGUCCGCGGAGAUAGCUGACGGGUCCAGCGACAAGGAGGAGCCUGGAUCGUCAUCCGACGGCUGGGUCAAGGCUGCGAAGGUUGAUGGGGCUAACGUUGGUGGUGAAGCCUAUGAUCCUGCUUCUAAGAAGCUCAGGAGGUACGUUGAUUAGGUUCUCUUGCACUUCUCGUGUGAUUAUUAAGCUUAUUAUAUGAUGCAUUCUGAUUGCUCAGGUGUUUUCACUAAAACCUGAGAAGGCAAUUUCUGAUGCCAUUUUACGACAAGCAAAAAGGCCUUGCAAUUAUUACUGUUGUGAAAGUUGGUAUGAUGGUACCGGCCUUGUGGUUGCUCGUAGGGAAGACGGCUCAUCGUCUCCACCUUCUACAAUUUCUUCAUGUGGAAUAGGGUGGGGAGCAAAGGUAGGCUCGUUUUAUCGUAUCCCUGGAUUUUGAUUUCAUCAACCUUAAGGGCCAAGCGUCGAAACCAACAAGUGUUUUUGGCUUUCAUGCAAUCUGCAGAUUAACCACGUGUAUCAACGUGCUCAAAAUGAUUGUUUAGAUAAUAAACAUCAAUUUGAUUUUUUACUCCAUCCGGAAUGCUUGACAUAUUGUCUGCUUCAUUUCCAUGGUCUCUGUGAGAAUUUUCCUUUGUAAAUGUCUGGUCUGUCAUCCUUCUAUUUCAUGGAAUGUGCCAUUUGUUUCUCCUUUCUGGAACUCUAUCUAAGAACAGUAUUUCUCAGGAUGAGAUUUGGACUUUUUGUUUGAUUAUCAUGUUGCCAUUGAGUUUUCAAGUUCCUUUCUGCAUCUCUGUUCCCUUUCUCUGAAUUUGUGUUUUGCUUUAUUGUGGAAGUGGGAGAAGUCCCUGAAUACCGACACAAGUUGGUUGACACUCUAUCCUCUUAAAACAUACUCAAGAAAAGAAAUCUAGUAGUAAUAUCAGAAAACCAAGUUGUACUAUUUUCUGUGUUCAUAGCACUCAAUAAAAAAUCCUGUCUUUUCCGCAAUAAAAUUGAUGAAGAGGAUUUUUUUUUGGUUAUAGCAUUUAUAGCGCCCUAUGCUUUUGAAAUCUCAAAUGAAAACAAAACAGUAGAUUCUACAAAAGAACUCUAGAGAAUCAAGUUCGUGGGAAUCAAUAUAACAAUGAAAUCAAAGGUUUAGCGUUUCUCUGGAGAUUAGAAAUCAACCUUUGCUUAUUAAGGAGGGAGCAACUGCCGCAUAAGUUAGCCUCUAUUGGAGCUACAAGGAUUCCAGGAAAAUUAAGCAUUGUAGGCAUGCAAAAUGCCACACCCUCCUGCUCUAUAAGCAAAAUGGAUAUUUGGUCACAGUGUAGCUCGCUGAUAUAUGCUUAUCACAGAGGAAUUUUUGUUUUUUUGGCUCUUUAUUGCACACUACAUCUCGUGCCUCAAAUGUCAGUUUAGCUGUCAAUAGUUCCCAUAUUUUUCAUUAAUCCUCUCCCUGCAGAACCAUUUAGCUGUAUAGGACAUGGCAUUUCUAAAUUAUUUGUUUAUGGAAUGAGGAAUUUUUUCUUACAGUACUGCGUGUGGGGGAUUGCAAAUCGAUCUGACUUUGACAAUACCCCUGCUUGGCUGCACAGAACUUUGCUUUAGAUUGUUUUCUUGAAUUCAAGUAUUGCGCUUGCUGGCUUUUCUAAAGUGAUUUACUAUCCAUGAUGUAUAGGAAAUUUUCGUCUGAUCUCUCUAUCUAAUUAAAUUGUAGUGGAAAAAUUUAAGUGCAAAUCAUCUUUUCAACUAUGAUACCAUCUGCAGAAAAAAUGCAGCGCGUUUGACGCAGUCCAUCUCCAUCUCCAUUGACAUUGUUCAAUGCUCUGUUUUCCCGCUUGAUAUAAUGGUGUUCAAUGCUCUGUUUUUCCGCUUGAUAUAAUGGUGUGUUUUUAAUGCCUGUUACUUCUAUGCAUUAAAUUGAGAUAAUCAUUUACGCUUUCAAUCAAACCAUGAACAUAUUCUUUACAUUAUCAUUUAUUGCAGAUAAUUUAUUUGUCUGGUGCUUCCAGUUCCAGUGUUAUAAACAGCUAGUACUCAGUUAAAUAACACCUAAUUUCAAGUGAUAUUGGUUUCCAGGUGAGAGAUGAACUGGAAGAACUUCUUGACGAUGAUGACGACAUGGCAGACCUUUAUUUGUCGAGGAAACUCACUGGAGGGUCUUCUCCUGUCAGCUGGUCUGGAGCUCCAGAUUGGUUCUUUGCCUCUCCUACAACUGGCUCAAAAUUAUCCAGAACAAGUAGGGCAAGUGCGGUAACAGCAAGAGAGGAAAAUGAUGUUGAGGAGCUUGAAAUGUUGCUGGAGGUUAGAUAAAUCCAAUCAAUGGUCUCAUUUUGCUCAUUGAGAGUCCAUAAGUAAUGCUGCUGCUUUUCUGCAGGCAUAUUUCAUGCAAAUUGAUGGCACUUUAAACAAAUUGUCAACGGUAUGCAUUGUCAUUGAUAUCCUUGUACGAGUUUGUUUGAUUAUGUUGCCUCAUAAAUUCUCCUGCAGCAAUUUAAGGAAAAUUUCUUAGAAGAUAAUUAUCUUGGUAGACUAAACUGUACUAUUCCUACAAGCUAAUUCUUUGUAUUCUCUUUCAGUUGCGCGAAUACAUUGAUGAUACUGAGGAUUACAUCAAUAUUCAGGUAAGCUUUUGGAGAAUUUGGAACCAUAUCCUCAACUAUGUGACAUGUAAUUUAAACUAUUUUUCUCUCACAGAACAUCAUUAGACUAUGUAGUAGUAACUAGUGACAUUUUGAUCUGUUUUUUUUGUCUUGUUACAGCUUGAUAAUCAUCGGAACCAGCUUAUACAGGUAGGAUUCACAAGAUACACAAAGCUCCACUAGGUAUUUUGGAAAUUGACUAAUGUUGGCACCCUAUGUUAUCAAACAAAUGAAUCUCCAUUGCACGAAAAAUUCAUGCUCAUUGCUAAUUUCUACUAAAUUUGAACUGGCCAUAGCUAGAGCUCUUCCUCAGUUCAGGAACUCUGUGCUUGUCUGUAUAUUCUCUGGUAGCAGCGGUAUUCGGCAUGAAUAUUCCCAACGUGUGGCAUGAAGGUCAUGGUUAUGUCUUCAAAUGGGUAUGUAAAUCUCAUCCCGAUUGCCUUCCCUGCGAAAGCCUAAUCCUUAAGUCUCACACGACAUUUUGUCUGAGAGCAAGACAUGAUGGAUGGUCUGGUUUUAUUCAUGUUAACGUUCACUGGGGAAACUCUCAGGUGGUCAUUCUCGCCGGAGUUUUGUCUGGAUCCAUUUUCCUGUCAAUAAUGUCCUACGCUCGGCACAAAGGUCUGGUUGGUUCUUGAAGCCAAAUUGAUUCAUUCGGGAGGGAGGUUUCUGCAAAGCUUGAAAUGUCUUCUCAGGCUACCGAAUUUAGGAUCCAUCCGAUGCGCCAGCUCUAGGACAUCAUGUGGACGACAUCACCCUAUUAGUUUCCCACAAAUUGUACCAACCCACGCCAACAAUGUCCACGAGAUGGAUGAGAUGGAAUGGACGCAUAUCUCCCGGUCAAACUCACCAUUCCCUGCAGGUGGUUAGAAACUAGCUGCCAUUGAAAAGUCCAAAGUAGCAAUUGGGGUCAAUUCAAGUGAAGACGAGUCGUUGAUGUUGUGCCAUUGAUGCUGUGCUGCUUGUUAUACGUACAGCUACAGUAAAGGUACUCAUCUAUAUAGCUAUUUUUCCUUUUAAACUGUGGAGUUGUCCUCUGGACUGAUUUUUGGGGUAUGUAUACAUUGCUAUGCAAAAAAACAUUGAUAGUAUCCUAUGAUAUUAACCGUUUUAAUGUGAUAGUAAUUUCUCUAUUUUUAUUAAGUCCUAAGUGGAUGCAAUAAUAGUCUCGGGACAUAGAAAAACUGCUCAUUUUGCAAAGGAUCUUGUUCACUCUCUUUCUUUCUUCCUCAUUUGUCUCUGUUGCUGAGGUGAGCUAUGUAGUCUAGCUUGUAUGGCAUGGGUAUCUGUCCUUAGGCAGUCAUGUAAAAGACUAUUCUCCGAUUACUUAAAAUACUCUUCUAGUUAUAUAUUCAAUAAAAUGAUGAUACUCUUUACCUUUUCAAGCUAUGUGAAGCUGUUUUCAUUAGAUCAUUGUUUGAAAAAGUUUCUACAAAGAGCAUUUCUUGAGAAGCUUGCUUGUUGCCCAUUUCUUAGUGCCAAAGAAAGGGGAAAAGGGAGAGACAUUAGUUGAGAAAGCUUCUGCAGGGAUAUUUUUGAAUAAGCAAUCAUUUGAGAGAACACCAAGCUUGAUUCGUCAUAGAUCCUACUUAAAUUGAGAUGCUCAUAGUAAAAAGUUGGAGAGGUUUAGAAUUUGUAUUUCUCAUUUUCCUAUCAUUUCAUUGCCAGCAGUCUGUGGGGGCUCGUUCCGCUUUCUGAAGUUCUUUAAUUGUUCUCAACUUUUUCAUAAAAUAAUUGGCAGGUGCUUUUGUUGGAUGCUCCCUUCAAGGCAGUGUGGUGACAACGCGGACAAGAGAAAAUUGCCAAUUUUAUGGCAGCCCGUCUAUAAAUGCAUUGUACAUACUACUUGGUUCAUUGCCGAGGCCACCAGCUGCUGCCAUCCUUUUUAACGCACUCGCAGACAUGUAUCAGAAGCUGGAGUGGUCAUCACCAUAUUAGUGCCGUACAGCUUGGCCAAUUGUCUCCGAUACUGCCUAUGGAAGUUCUUAACUGCAAUUCUUGCCACUGUAAAGUUGUCUAUUCUUAUCAAGUGUAUAGCAUGUUCAAACUCAUUGCUUCCCUCUCUUCGCCAGGGGGUUUCGGGAGAGGAAUAUGUAAAUAGUUAUAAUUGCUGGGAUCAAUCUUUGGAAUGUACAUAUAGCUAUACAUUUCAUAUUUGGUGUUUGCUCAGGGUAUUGGGGAAGACAAGCAAAAACCACCCUUCUUUUCAAAUUACUUUGAAGAUUGCUUGGGCAUGUCCUAGAUGAUGGAGGAAAUUUUAUGUGAUUGUUCAUGAUGAACCCAGAAAAACAGGUUGCGUGGUCACGACCUGAUAUACAGCUCUUCUAUGGAUCUUGUUCGGUACUGCACCGCGCAUUAGACUCGAGUCAAUGCAGUGUAAUGGAAGUCCACCUCCCCCCCUGUUUCGAAGUAGUGCAUACAGAUCAUUGCGAUUUCUUGUUAAUUAUCUUGUUGUGCUAGAUCUAUGUUCCCAUGCAAUUUCUCGUUAGUCGUCAAAUGGUGGGGGAACCGAGUGUGAUUAGGAAGGUGGUAAUGUUAAGAAGGAUUAGGAAGUGGCUCAAUAAAUAGACCAAGACUAGGCGUCCAAGAAAUGAACCCUACAAAAAUUUAUGUCCUGACCUAACGUAUAAUCGAAGAUUGACCUGAGAAACCAAAGCGAGAAUGGAGGCAUGAGGUUGCGGAGAACCUGUGGUUUGUUGCUUGUUAAAUUCAUCUCAUUGAAGACAAUGGCAAUGAGAGAGGGAACACGGUUUGCUCCGGCAAAUUUUCCAUCUAGAAUUGAGAGCCCGAUUGUUCAGAUGGUUAAUGGCCAGAAGCCUUUUUCAUCUACAUGUCUCUGCCUGACUAACGUAGGACUGGAACAUAUUAACUAGCACCUCGUGUGGAAUCUGCACUUGUAGGUCAAGAGCAGUUUGUCAUAGCAGCAACAAAGUCGUGAUAAACAACCUGGCGAACCAUAUCAGGAAGUGUCUGCUGGUUUGAUGCUCUCACUAGUCACAGCUCGAAACUAAAAACAUUGCCAUGUACUUGGAGAUCAUGGAAUGACAAGUUUAGCCUGAUCAACUAAGGAGCCAGCAAAAGUGAAACCUCUCCAACACGGCACAUGUAAGCACUCUUAAGAUCAUAUGGAUUGAGCUUCGCAACCAACGGCCCAAAGGCCGGCCACGCACAAAGCGAAAACAAGGGAAAAUUAAAGAUUCUGAGCUUCUCGGCUUGCACAAAUUUGAAAGAAAAUGUUGUUGACACCUCAAUUUUAAUUAGGUUAAUUUUAUUUUAUUAAUUAAGUUUUUAUUUUAUUUAUUUUGUCUUUUUCGGAAUAAUAAACAAAUAACAAAAACAACAAAAAAUAAAUAAAAACAAAGGAAAAAGCAAAAGCAACAUCCCCCUUUUUUUCGCGUGGGCUCGCACGACCUGGCCCCCCCCCCCCUUUUUCUCCUUCUUCUUCCUUCUUCUUCUUCAUCGCUCCUUCCUUCUCCGCCUCUGUAGUUCACGCGCAGCAACGACGACGCGCUCGAAGACAACCUAUGGCCGAGGAGGGUAGGCCGACGUCGGCCAGAAGAGACAGAUCUCGGGCGCCAUCAUGGAUUUCCUUCAAUGCCGAGCACGCCUUGUGGAGGAGCUCGGAUGGGAUGUUGGUUCGGCCGGCGGAGGCGGUUCGGCGUGCGAAGAUUGGCGGUCGAAGCUCCAUCGACCAGCCGCCCCCUCGCCUAUAAAUAGGCUUCUCCCGACGAUGGCAAAGCACGGCGAGCUCGGAGACUUUCCCUUGAGAGACUUCAAGGGAGACUCAAAGAGCGAGCGCGUGAGAGAAAUCCGGUCGCGAACUCGAACGACCUCCCCCCGAGAGACUUCGGGGGAGGCCGACGACAAGCGAACCCGGAGAGAGAGGAACCGAAACAGAGAUCGAAAGCUUGCGAGCACCGGAAGCUUCCCUCGAGAGACUUCGAGGGAGGUCCGAACGCCCGCAAGCCCAGAUCUGUGAGCAAUCGAGGCCGGAAGAGAGGAGAGAGUUCCAGAUCCGCGAGGAGGGGCUGGAGAGAAACCAGAAGGAGCCGCCUCGAGCUGUACCGCCGUCCUCUGACACUGAUUGCUUCAGCACCUACCCGCCGUUGCCAUCCCCUUUCGUCAGAUCUGCUGCAGCGAAGCUGCUGCCUGUUGCCAGCUACUGCUUCCGCCCCCUCGACGCAGAUCCAUCCCCGUGGACUUACUCCCCCGCCGUGCCGCGUCGACCAGAGCCACGCCAGGCACCGACUGAUGCAGCUCACCGCAGCUGCCUGUCGCCGCCGUUCGCCGCGUCGCCGGUGUCGAGUCAUCACCCAGUGACGUCCCAGCCAAGCCCCACCUCGGCGCCGCAAAUCGUCGAGCUCUAGGGUUCCCAAAAUCCGGUUCUACGAAGGAGAAGCCGGGUCGGAAAGCGGGUCGGGCAUGGGUCAGCGAUCGGGUAGGGUUUCCCCCCCGAUGUGGGCUUGCGUGUGUGGGCCGGUUAAUCCCUGGAUUUUUUUUUUUAACGAAAAUGGGCCUUGGUUAGUUCAUGGGCUUGGAAAAAGAAAAAAAGGGAGAAAAAUCUGAGUCGGGCCCGCGUUGCGAGCCCGUCCGCGUGCGGGUCGCCGGCCCGGGUCGAACCCAACCCACGGAUCCGACCCGGGCCGGUUUUUAUAAUAUUUUGAAUAAAUAAAUAAUUUAUUUUCCAAAAAAAUAUAUAUAUAUAUAUUUUCUUUCGAAAAAUAUUAAAAAAUAUUUUAAAUUUUCAAAAAAAGACAAAAAUAUCCAAAAAAUAUUUUAUUUCCAAAAAUACUAAAAAAUGUUUUAAUUUCCAGGAAAUCGAAAAAUAAUGAUAAAAAUAUUUUAUUUUCCAAAAAAUCAAAAAAAAUAUUUCAUAUUUUCCACAAAAUGCCAAAAAUAAAAAAAAAGCCAAAAAUUCAUGAAAAAGCCAAAAAAUUCAUAAAAAGCCAAAAAGACUUGUAUUUUUCCCCAAAAAAAAUACCAAAAAAUCCCUUUUGUGUCCAAAAAAAUUAGAAAAUGACUUAAAAAAUGUUUGUCCUUCCAAAAUGCGUGGAAAAUCCCUCGAACAUCCAAAAAGCCUCAAGGUUUAAACAAGAUUAGGUACCGAAAGGGCAUUAGUGAUUAAUUAGUGUAAUCAAGUCCCCGAUCCUAAUUUCUCUGGUUGCGCAGGAGCGAGUAUUUCUCCCGAUACUUCGCUUGGGUUUCUAAUCAACCUACCCCAAAUUGAUUAGUGGCGACUCCAUUUUAAAAAUCAACUUGCAGGUUAAAAACUUAGACUAUUAAAGUCGUGAAUUGGUGGACUUGGGAGAGUCCGGGCAUAAUUAAAUUCAGCCGAGCCAUUAGCCUCCUUUAGGCGCUCGCCCCUGAUGUGGGCGCCGAAAAAAAAAGAGGUCGCGACAGCUUGGCGACUCCGCUGGGGACAUUUGAAGACUUAGGCCAUUUUAUCUUUGUUUAAAUGUCUUGCUGAUUUGGUUUUUUUCUUUUGUGCAGGGUAAUAGCUUAAAGUUUUAUUCUGUUAAAAUAAAAUGUUUUGUGAUUAUAAAUUGCCGUGUAUCCUUAAAUGUUUUAGCACUACACAUGACACACACAACCCGGCCGCCGGACCUGGGCCGCCAUAGGAUUUCUAAGAUGGUGUUAAGAAAGAUACGACCUCGAACGCGAGACUGCGAUGUAGAGGUUGCCUUUCUUUUCCCCGAAUUUCUUAGCCGAGGUUAGGAGGGUAUGCUGCUAACGCGAGACUGCGACGGGCGGAUAUCCUUUUAAUCUCAACAAUCCUUCUCAGUUAGAAAUCGAGCUACACGUCUCACGCGCAUGUCUUUGUGCUUGCCAUUUUUCUUUAAAAAGCAAAAGUAAUUUCUUUACUGUUACUCAGUCUUUUUAUUUGGCCCAUGGCAAUUUAGGAUAAGCUUUUCAAGUCCCAGUUUAUAUGCGAUGGGGAAAGACGAUAUCCAGUUCAUUCCUACUCCCAAGGCGGAGCUUUUCAGAUGGUGGGGUCAGUUAGAUCAGUUUGCCCAAGAGCGCGUGAAGGCCAAAGUCGGUCAUCUCCUAUCGUUGAUUCAAAUCACUGUUCGUCCUGAAGUCAUACAAGCCAUGGCACAUUUUUGGUGCCCGAAGACAAUUACUUUUAUAUUCGGUAGGUUUGAGCUAACCCCAACCCUGGAAGAAUACAGCAUCAUCACUGGAAUGCCUCUCGAGAAAAAGCUUGUCAGGCCAUCGACAGGCGCCCUCCCAUGGCGUGGGUUAGCACGACUUUUAGGAACUGAAAUCCAUGUCAUGAGGCAAAUUCUUGAAGACAACCAUAAUACCUGCCCACUAGAAUUUAUGAAUGCCUGUUUCCAAAAUCAGCCUAUGACCCAGAAAAUUGAGAUUUUCCUCCUGGCCUUUUUCGGGCUCAUCAUCUUCCCCCAUCAAAGAAAUGCCAUAACUCCCAAGAUGGCAUGGAUAGUUGAUCAGAUCUUAAGAGGGGGGAAUUAUGUCAACAUGAUUUUAACUGAAACAUUCUUGUCCUUUAAUCGUUUAAAGACAACUCGGAGAAAAUCAUGCGAGCCUCUCCUGAAAUUUUACAAGUCUGGUUCUUUUCUCACCUAAGCGAAUUUCGAGACUUCAUGCGAUCGUCUGAAACAAAUGCUUUUGAAAAUCCAUUACAAAAAUUUAUGGUUUUAGGACCGUAUAUUCCCAAUCAAAGUUGUUUAAAUUGGGUAAGCUUCCUAAGAGACCCAGCUCCUGAGGCAUUCCAAUGGUGUGCUGGUUGGUUCCAUGAAAAGAGGGCUUGCUUUGCUUACAUACGCACCUGCCCAAUUCCGUUGCUCGGCCUCACCGGCGCCAUUCCCUAUUACCCGUAUCGGGUAGCACGACAAUAUGGAGCCCUUCAGGAGAUUCCACCACCUUUCAAGAUGAUGAUCCCUCCAGUUCUUUUCAACACAAACCGUGACUAUGCAUUCGAAAUUGCUACCGCUGAGGAAACCUGGAGCAGCUGCCAUCGCAAAAGGAUUGUGAUACCUGAAGGGCUUGAGGGAGAAGAAAAAGCCCACCACGCCUCCAUGUCCUACAUCCACAACCAUCGCAUCCCGAAAAGAUGGAAGCCAUUAGUCCCUCACUCAAUCAGCGAGAGCAGCCAACACGAGCAAGCAGAGCUCAUGGAGAGGGAUUUGGGAAUGGACUGGAUGCACACCUCAGAGCCAGUUCAAGGAAGCAGGCGUUCUCGCAAGAACAAGGCUCCCCGUCGCAUAUAAAUUGGCAAUCAUGUGCCCCUUAGUAUUAAUAGUGUGAAAGUUUUGUCCCAUUGUUUAGGGACUCUUGUUUAAUAUCUAGUAUUUCAUCCUGUCUUUUCAAUUUCAAGUUCUAGAUGUUAGGAGUUGGCAGUCUAUAAAUCCUCUUUUGAUAAAUAAGAAAGCAGUUAGACCAUUGCCAUGGGUCAAUCUUUGUUUACUGUCGUGCUCAUUCAUUGUUUUCACCACGAACAGGUAAUUAUGAAUCGCCGGCCACUAAUCGCCCGCGAAUGGCCUCAUGCAAUAGGGCCCGAUCAAAGUGAUGUACAAAAUCGUCCCAUUAACAUUGAAGACGGCGUGGGACAGAUGUCCAUUGUCCUUCAACAACUCUCGAGACAAAUGAAAUCCACUCAAGUCGAACCCAACUCUGUAGUUGCCUUAAACACCGUCAUGACACCCGCAAAUUUGCCAGAAAAUAGCCAGUACCAUAGACAGUUUGAAAGGAUCAUGAAAAAGUUAAGCCAGCUGCAGGAGCAGAAUCCCAUGGACCUGUCCAAUUACACCGGCAUUGAGAUCUCUGAAAAACUCAAAGCACCUGAAUGCGAAAGGUAUGCUGAUACCUCCCGCCCAGAGACCUACUUGCAGGCCUACUUGGUCCGAAGGAUGAUUCAAUCGUACCAAUCGAGCUUGACUGGCCCUGCCUUACGAUGGUACAUUAUCAGGAAGAUUAGUCCCCUUAAAACCUGGAGGGAACUAAUUCAUGUUUUUCACCAAGAGUAUAAUCUUGACAUCACCUUGCCCUACGAAGAACUGAUGAUCGUGGAGCACGAGGAACCGUUAGUCGCUGAGAUAGGAGAAGAGCAUGUCAAUGAAGCCUUGCAUGAUAAAUGGGCAGCUGAACAACACCUUGUUACUGGAAGAUUUCCCACUAGGAAAGGCAAGGAGCCUUUGUACGAGAUCAAAGACACAGAGCCUGUUCAAGACCGGGGCACGACUGGACAACUCCCCAAGCUUACUUCAAGAGCUAGGGUCCAAAGAAUACCAACCCCUAUCAACCUGGGAAGUGAAUCAGAUAGUGAAACUCCAAUGUCUCUCACUUCCUUUGACAGAAUCGAGCUGGCAAAACGAAGGGCCUUACUCAAAAGAUCUGGACCAGGGGCCAAGAAAAGAAAGCCUAAGCAGAUCAAUGCAGCAUCUGCCGACGAGCCACCGCACCAAAGCUUCGAGCAUUCCCAAGAAUACAACUUUGAAGGCUACCAUCCCCAAGAGUACAACCCUGAAGACUUCCCGGCCCUAGAAUACAAUCCCAAGGACUUCCAGCGUUAUUUCGACAAUGAAACUGACGAUUCAUCGUAUAACUGUUUCCUACUCUCACCCGGAGAUGAAGGCCCGUCAGAAGAGGAAGCAUACGUCUUUAUCCGCUACGAUCCUAACGAAGUACUAAGCUCGUCCUUUGACCAUGAGGAUAGCUUCAAUACUUCAUCCUCAUUCGGAAAUUUUGACCCAGAAGAAAGCAAUGGGGUAAUCUCGGUAGAGUCCAGCUUCCCUGAAACAGAAAAAUUCACCACUACAAUGAAUAUGCAGUGGGAAAACCAGUGGUCUAGCCAAGACAUACCAGGCUCGUCUUGCCCACGUAGGAUCAUGACCCCCAUAGAAAUGUGGAUACCCAAUCUCCGCAAGUAUAACGGCAUGACUUGCCCCGUGGCCCACUUGCAGUACCUCCAUGCUGAAAUGAGUCGAUACUAUGGCCCGAUGUCAUUCACAACUCAGGCUUUCCAAGAAAGUCUUACGGGGUCUGCAUUACAAUGGUUCAUCACAGCAGAUAUCUACCUCAUGAGAGAUUGGAAUGAGCUGUCUUCUGCAUUCCUGCUUCAGUAUCAAAGCCAGAUUGGGACUGAAGUGCCUUGUCAGAACUUGGUUCAUUUUAGAAGAAGACCAAUGGAGGAUUUUCAAGCAUAUGCAAAGAGGUGGGAAGCUUUCAUGAUGCAAAUCUACCCUCAACUGGCUGAAGAAGAAAUGAUAAAGUUGUUCAUAGGGACUUUGCCUCGCGAGCAUCGUUGUUGGUUGCAUGGGUUGUACUUCCAUAGCCUCAAUGAAGUGGUCCUUUCAUGUGAAUACUUCGAGUCUACUGGAGGCGAAGAAUUCAAAGACGCUUAGCUUCAAGACCAGCACUAUCAAAGCGCUCCUUUACACAGGGGUUUUCAUGAUUUUUACUUGUUUUUAUAAUUUCAUGUUUCUCAUCUUGUCUAGUGUGCUACUGUUGUAUUUUCCAUUCCAAGUACUCUAUUGUACAGUUCUAAUAUUUUGUUUUAAGAGCAUGAGGCGGUACUCCAAACCAGCCCAGUGAUGUUAUCCAACCAUGAAAAGAAAAUAUCAUCCAAGGAAAAUACUGAGGGCUGGGCUUCCUCAUGCUUUUUCUCCCCCAAAGACGUAUUUUGAAAAUAAAAAAUAUUUCAUUAUCUAAAAGCUUUUGUCAAAACAAGAUGAUAAAUUUAAGCACGUUUGUCUUUCUAGCCCUCUCGCUUUAUGUUUCUGAACAUCAUCCCCUUUGAUUUAGUGUGACAAAAGGUAUUUGAAACUAGCACAUUGUGUGAACAGACCAAACUCGAGAACACAUUUUCAAGAAAGCAGGGGCAAACAGAAAGGAGCAUCCCGUUUCCAAAAAGGGGUAAGUCUUAUUCCCUUAACAUAAUAGUGAGAAUGACAACCCCUCUCUUCUAUUUACAGGAAACGAAAAUAUGACGUAAUAGGUACAGGCAUACGGUUAAAAUCAAGCCGUCCCUAGGAGCUCUGUACACUCCACCUUGCUCCUGCCCAACUCUUUCACAAGCCAGAGCAAUAUCCUUUCCCCACAAUGUGCCUAAGCAACCAGAUGUUGUGGUUUCAUCAGCGGGACUGCCAGCUUCGACAAGCCCAGAAGCACAAGGAAGGGAUCUCUUCUCUUUCUUUGAAUUGGCUACUGUCAACAGGGAAGAAAUCCAGACAGUUGAAGUGGUCUCUAGCCCCUAUUCAAAAUGAGGACCUAGAAACCUGACUUCCUAUUCAGACGCAUGCUCUCGCAAGAAGUAAUUCCCAUCAGAGAAUUGGAGGUUUUGAUUGUCCAUCUCAGAUUCCAUAGAAGCUUGAGGUACAUGACUUUUGCCCAAUGAUGCUAUAGUUAAAGACAGAAGGAGAAAUUCCACAGAAGGAAGGCGUUGAAGAUGAAUCAACGACCAGCAAUCAUGCAUAUAUGGUCACAAGUGAGGAAGGCCAAUCGAAAGAAAUGCCAAAUUAUGCCAAGACGAAAAGGCUGUCAUCGACAUUCAAACAUCAUCAGGAGUCAGCAAAUACAAACUUUGGAGAAGAGUAAUUUGGUAUCGUUUCCAAUACUCCCCCUACUUGAACUCACAUUUGACAUAUUUUCUCCUAUUGACAGGAAGCAUCGGGAUUCAAGAACCAAGCUUAAUGGUUAAUUUAUGCCAAUCAAGUGACUCGUAUUUAAUUCACCUAACUUCAUGAAAAAGGAUGUGUUGUCUAGGAGCCGGUUUGGUUAAAUGAAAAAAGAAUCGUCCUACGGACACCGUCGGCGCCUCUAGCCGAGUGGUAUCCGGGAAGAAGCAAAAUGGUCCGAAGUCGGGGGUUCGAAUCCCCGACGCGGCAGUUAGCCGCUUGGUAAAAAAAUAAUAAAAAAAUUUUUGCUUAUCUUGCGCCUGCAAAUUACGAGAGAAUAAUUGACCUAACGAAACAAGGGACAUAGGACUUCGUGUCCCCCUUCUCACUUCAGGUUCACCCAAUCAUAUGCAAGCCAGUGAAGGGUAAAGUUGUAUCGAUUCCAGUUAUUCGACUCUUGAAAGAGUUCAUGACUAACACAUUCCCUCUUGUUUGUUGCAGGAUCACCUGACUGUCAAAAGCAAGGAUAAUGAAUCAAUGAGAAGCAUGUCUUGUUUGUUGCAGGAUUACUUGAUUGUCAAAAACAAAGAUAACAAAUCAAAGAGAGGCAUGAAACUCUCCCAAGCAAAAUGGCGUCUCAAGUAUUGCCAAAGCAAAUGACAGAAAAUCUUCAGGCCUCAACUCACAUUUGAUUUUGGCCAGACUAAUUGAGCUACUUAUACAUCUUCUCUUUCUGCAGGGGCAAAAGCAGAGAUGCCUGAUCAAAUUCUCAAUCCUUGGCUGAUCCUUCAUGUGUCAUAUCCCUAAUCAAUAGGGAUGACUAUCGACACCCAUUUGCGAAUAACCCUUUUGAUGUUCAAAAUUUAACAUAUUUGGAAACACCAUCAUGUUAAAGUUGUCAACAGGGUCUUUUUUGAGUCAAAACCAUUCACUUGUUUUGAAAAGUUCAAACUCCAUCAUAUUCAAAAUAUUGCAUGUCAUUUCCAGAUGAAUUCUGCAUGAUGAUUUUGUCUGUCUAAGUCACUGAUUCCACUAAGGAUUAUUAGAAUAGACAGCUAAGUGAAGAAUACAAGAUUGAUCGAGCAUGCUGGAUGAGGCACGUCAGGAUGAUGAAAGGCAAACCAUAUCCUACACACAAUCCCCCAUCUAUACACUUGUGAGAUGAGUGCAGAAGAUUCCAUGACUGUAGGGUAAAGAGUUCUCUCGCGAAUGGUACGAUAACCAAAACAGUGAGAGGCAUUUCAUUGCUCACCCCAUUGAGCCCCAUACACUGAUGAAAUUUCUAUCCUAUCCCUGUCAAGAACCACCCCACACUGGGGCAGAUCGGAGGCGAAGCAGCAUCACAAGGUGAGAAGAGAGAUAGAAAUUUUCUUGCUCGCACUUGCAUCAAUCUUCGGGUGUCCUUAUUGCAUAUGAACACUCACGUUAAUUUAAGUGCCCUAGAAUGACGAAGAGCAAUUCUUUCGCUAUGCACUUGUAUUCAUUGUACAACCCAAUUGAGUCUGUAAUUUCACCCUUACAUGAAGGCAAAAUAGAAGUUACUGCCAUAGCCCAGAGCGCCUAUUGAAGAUGAAGACUCAAGAGUCUAAUAAUGGUGCUUCGAUUGAACUUGCCUAGGCCGGUUCCUCUAAUGACAAAAAUGAAAAAAAAAACAUGGGCAUAAAAAAGCAGUGUACCUGGUAAAAGCAAGGUCAAUGCCCAUAAAUGAAGAACUGGAAUAAAAAAAGGGGCAUGAAAAAGCAGUGUGCCUGGUAAAAGCAAGGCCAAUGCCCCCUAGUCAAAAAUGCAGCCAAGAAAAUGUUGCUGUUGUGGUCCAUAGAACCUCCAUUUGACAGUGAGAAGAAAGACUGGUGACAAAUGCCAAGGCAAUCACCAGCUCUUACCCUUUUACACAUGAAUCAAGCCUACAUUGCAUCCCAUUGUAAAAGUCUCUUCAGACUAGGGGCACUUCAAUUAACGUAGGAUUUCAUAUGUCUAUAAGCAUCGCUCGAAGAAGUACGAGCAAGACUAUUCUAUCUCUUUUCGCAGGACUCUUGACUUGCAAACCUGGAGAUGAUCGUGCGGCACUUCGUUCAUGAGCCUUGACCUCGACGGUCCCAUUUGAUGAGCUAUUCUUCAUCAUAAUUUCAACAAAGACCUCUCACAUUGGUAAAGUCGUACCACUUGCGAGAAUACUCAGACCCCUGCUGACAUGAUGACAGUGAGAAGUGUGGUCCUUAUAAAUCCUGCAUCAAUGGUCAGGAUAGCCUUUUCCAUGAGAGUGAGUGAAAAGUUCUUUCAGACUGAAAGUCCCUCAUCUGGCAUGCUCAAGACAUCUACAUUCUAAAUGAAGGUUGUCUUUCAAAAUCUUCUCCAGUGAAACUCAGAUGAUACAAAACUGACAAAAUUGUCAUGCAUGAAUCGCAUUUAAACUCAUGAAUUUACAGCAUAUGCAAUCAUGUGUGCUUAUUGUGCAAAUAGCAGACAUACUCUCAGAGAUCAGAGAUAUUGCCAGGUAAGCAUAUCUCUAUCCCUAUUUGUCUUAAAGUACCUAUCACUGUCCAGGUACUCUCUUCUUGACACUCGACCUAUUCGAGUCGUCCCUUGAGUUUGGGUGCUUGCAAUUGUCUCAGUAUCCCAUGGUCUUUGAGUACCCACCACUUGCCGGGUACUCCCUCUUAACGACACUCGACCUGUUCAAGUUGUCUCCAGAGUAUUGAUACUUGUGCCUGACCAAGUAUCCCUUUAUCGUUGAAUACCUACUGCUGUCUAGGUAUCCCCACUGUCUUUGAGUACCGGCCACCGUUCGGAUACUCCCUUUUCCUGACACUCGACCUAUUCGAGUUGUCCCCAGAGUAUUGAUACUUGUGCCUGACCAAGUAUCCCUUUAUCAUUGAAUACCUACCACUGUCUAGGUACUCUCCUAUUGACACUCGACCUAUUCGAAUUGUCUUUUGAGUUUCGAUGCUUGCAACUGUCUUAGCAUCCCAUUGUCUUUGAGUACCGGCCACCGUUCGGAUACUCCCUCUUUCUGACACUCGGCCUGUUCGAAUUGUCCCCAGAGUAUUGAUACUUGUGACUGACCAAAGUAUCCCACUACUUUUGAGUGCCUUUCAUUGUCUAGGUACUCUGUUUCCGUGACACUUAACCUGCCUGAGUUGUCCCCAAAUAAUAUAGCAGCUGUUCAAGCAUUCCACUGCUUUAUGUGCCUGCGCCUACCCAGGUAUGCUUUCUUACACUUGGACCUGCUGAGUGGUCCCAGAUCAUGUCAUUAAAUACUUGUGUUCAUCCAAGUAUUCCGGUACUUUGUACUCCUGCGGCUACUCAGGUGUUUCAGCCCUUUUGAGUGCCUGCGGCCAUCCAGGUAAGCCUCGCGCUACAUUCAAGUUUAUGUUGCCAGGAGGUGGGAGACCUUCACGAAUAUGCGAGGCACGCCCUCGAUAUUCCCAAUUACCAGGAGGUGAGAGACCUUCACGAAUAUGCGAGGCACGACCUCGAUAUUCCCAAUUACCAGGAGGUGAGAGACCUUCAUGAAUAUCCAAGGUACGUCCUCGAUAUUCCCACUACCAGGAGGUGAGAGACCUUCACGUAUAUGCAAGACCCAUCCUCGAUAUUUCCACACGAAUAUCUCAGGUAUGCCUUGAUUCUUCCUUCAGAGUUUGUACCUGUGAUCGUCCAGGUACCCCUUCGAUGCUUGUGAUCAUCCAGGUAUCUCCCAAGAGUUUGUGCCUGUGAUCGUCUAGGUACCCCUUCGAUACUUGUGAUCAUCCAGGUAUCUCCCAAGAGUUUGUACCUGUGAUCGUCCAGGUACCCCUUCGAUACUUGUGAUCAUCCAGGUAUCCCCCAAGAGUUUGUACCUGUGAUCGUCCAGGUACCCCUUCGAUACUUGUGAUCAUCCAAGUAUCCCCCAAGAGUUUGUACCUGUGAUCGUCCAGGUACCCCUUCGAUGCUUGUGAUCAUCCAAGUAUCCCCCAAGAGUUUGUACCUGUGAUCGUCCAGGUACCCCUUCGAUGCUUGUGAUCAUCCAAGUAUCCCCCAAGAGUUUGUACCUGUGAUCAUCCAGGUACCCCUUCGAUGCUUGUGAUCAUCCAAGUAUCUCCCAAAAGUUUGUACCUGUGAUCGUCCAGGUACCCCUUCGAUACUUGUGAUCAUCUAGGUAUCCCCCAAGAGUUUGUACCUGUGAUCGUCCAGGUACCCCUUCGAUGCUUGUGAUCAUCCAAGUAUCCCCCAAGAGUUUGUACCUGUGAUCGUCCAGGUACCCCUUCGAUGCUUGUGAUCAUCCAAGUAUCUCCAAAGAGUUUGUGCCUGUGAUCGUCCAGGUACCCCUUCGAUGCUUGUGAUCAUCCAAGUAUCCCCCAAGAGUUUGUACCUAUGAUCGUCCAGGUACCCCUUCGAUACUUGUGAUCAUCCAAGUAUCCCCCAAGAGUUUGUAUUUGUGAUCAUCCAAGUACUAUCUCCCAACAAACAGAUGCCCUGAGAAAGGUCGGCGCAUCUCCCGUCAAGGCGACCGAAGAAAGGUUCGGGUCCUAGACAAAACAACUUAUUGCUCUAACAGGCGACCGAAGAAAGGUUCGGGUCCUGGAAAAGCAAUUCCCCGUCAAGGCGACCGAAGAAAGGUUCGGGUCCUAGACAAAACAAACUUAUUGCUCUAACAGGCGACCGAAGAAAGGUUCGGGUCCUGGAAAAGCAAUUCCCCGUCAAGGCGACCGAAGAAAGGUUCGGGUCCUAGACAAAACAAACUUAUUGCUCUAACAGGUGACCGAAGAAAGGUUCGAGUCCUGGAAAAGCAAUUCCCCGUCAAGGCGACCGAAGAAAGGUUCGGGUCCUAGACAAAACCAACUUAUUGCUCGAACAGGCGACCGAAGAAAGGUUCGGGUCCUGGAAAAGCAAUUCCCCGUAAAGGCGACCGAAGAAAGGUUCGGGUCCUAGACAAACUAACUUAUUGCUCCAACAGGCAACCGAAGAAUGGUUCGGGUCCUGGAGAAGCAAUUUCCUCAUGCAACAGGUAAGAUGACAUCUUGAUACUUGCCAAACUCGGGGUUCACACCCUAUCUCACUCACUCCCGGUAAGUAACUACAGGUAUCUUCUUAUCUGUCUCAGUAUAUGUAAAGUUAUAUUGCUCUUUUUUCCGCAUAGAAUAAUAGGUCCCAAAUAAAGUAUAAUCUGCUACGCAUGCAUGGAUAAAAUUGAGAUAUCAGUCUGUCUUUGAAUGCAACCUCUGCGAGCUCACCUUCAAAGAGGGGCAGCUGUUGACACCUCAAUUUUAAUUAGGUUAAUUUUAUUUUAUUAAUUAAAUUUUUAUUUUAUUUAUUUUGUCUUUUUCGGAAUAAUAAACAAAUAACAAAAACAACAAAAAAUAAAUAAAAACAAAGGAAAAAGCAAAAGCAACAUCCCCCCCUUUUUUUCACGUGGGCUCGCACGACCUGGCCCCCCCCCCCUUUUUCUCCUUCUUCUUCCUUCUUCUUCUUCCUCGCUCCUUCCUUCUCCGCCUCUGUAGUUCACGUGCAGCAACGACGACGCGCUCGAAGACAACCUAUGGCCGAGGAGGGUAGGCCGACGUCGGCCAGAAGAGACAGAUCUCGGGCGCCAUCAUGGAUUUCCUUCAAUGCCGAGCACGCCUUGUGGAGGAGCUCGGAUGGGAUGUUGGUUCGGUCGGCGGAGGCGGUUCGGCGUGCGAAGAUCGGCGGUCGAAGCUCCAUCGACCGGCCGCCCCCUCGCCUAUAAAUAGGCUUCUCCCGAUGAUGGCAAAGCACGGCGAGCUCGGAGACUUUCCCUUGAGAGACUUCAAGGGAGACUCAAAGAGCGAGCGCGCGAGAGAAAUCCGGUCGCGAACUCGAACGACCUCCCCCCGAGAGACUUCGGGGGAGGCCGACGACAAGCGAACCUGGAGAGAGAGGAACCGAAACAGAGAUCGAAAGCUUGCGAGCACCGGAAGCUUCCCUCGAGAGACUUCGAGGGAGGUCCGAACGCCCGCAAGCCCAGAUCUGUGAGCAAUCGAGGCCGGAAGAGAGGAGAGAGUUCCAGAUCCGCGAGGAGGGGCUGGAGAGAAGAGAAACCAGAAGGAGCCGCCUCGAGCUGUACCGCCGUCCUCCGACACUGAUUGCUUCAGCACCUACCCGCCGUUGCCAUCCCCUUUCGUCAGAUCUGCUGCAGCGAAGCUGCUGCCUGUUGCCAGCUACUGCUUCCGCCCCCUCAACGCAGAUCCAUCCCCGCGGACUUACUCCCCCGCCGUGCCGCGUCGACCAAAGCCACGCCAGGCACCGACUGAUGCAGCUCACCGCAGCUGCCUGUCGCCGCCGUUCGCCGCGUCGCCGGCGUCGAGUCAUCACCCGGUGACGUCCCAGCCAAGCCCCACCUCGGCGCCGCAAAUCGUCGAGCUCUAGGGUUCCCAAAAUCCGGUUCUACGAAGGAGAAGCCGGGUCGGAAAGCGGGUCGGGCAUGGGUCAGCGAUCGGGUAGGGUUUCCCCCCCCCCCCCCCCGAUGUGGGCCUGCGCGUGUGGGCCGGUUAAUCCCUGGAUUUUUUUUUUUAACGAAAAUGGGCCUUGGUUAGUUCAUGGGCUUGGAAAAAGAAAAAAAGGGAGAAAAAUCUGUGUCGGGCCCGCGUUGCGAGCCCGUCCGCGUGCGGGUCGCCGGCCCGGGUCGAACCCAACCCACGGAUCCGACCCGGGCCGGUUUUUAUAAUAUUUUGAAUAAAUAAAUAAUUUAUUUUCCAAAAAAAACAAAAAUAUAUAUUUUCUUUUCGAAAAAUAUUAAAAAAUAUUUUAAAUUUUCAAAAAAAGACAAAAAUAUCCAAAAAAUAUUUUAUUUUCCAAAAAUACUAAAAAAUGUUUUAAUUUCCAGGAAAUCGAAAAAUAAUGAUAAAAAUAUUUUAUUUUCCAAAAAAUCAAAAAAAAUAUUUCAUAUUUUCCACAAAAUGCCAAAAAUAAAAAAAAAGCCAAAAAUUCAUGAAAAAGCCAAAAAAUUCAUAAAAAGCCAAAAAGACUUGUAUUUUUCCAAAAAAAAAAUACCAAAAAAUCCCUUUUGUGUCCAAAAAAAUUAGAAAAUGACUUAAAAAAUGUUUGUCCUUCCAAAAUGCGUGGAAAAUCCCUCGAACAUCCAAAAAGCCUCAAGGUUUAAACAAGAUUAGGUACCGAAAGGGCAUUAGUGAUUAAUUAGUGUAAUCAAGUCCCCGAUCCUAAUUUCUCUGGUUGCGCAGGAGCGAGUAUUUCUCCCGAUACUUCGCUUGGGUUUCUAAUCAACCUACCCCAAAUUGAUUAGUGGCGACUCCAUUUUAAAAAUCAACUUGCAGGUUAAAAACUUAGACUAUUAAAGUCGUGAAUUGGUGGACUUGGGAGAGUCCGGGCAUAAUUAAAUCCAACCGAGCCAUUAGCCUCCUUUAGGCGCUCGCCCCUGAUGUGGGCGCCGAAAAAAAAAGAGGUCGCGACAAAUGUGGACCAAAUGAUCCUACUUCUAAGAAGCUCUAGGACAACAGCGACAUCCUCCUCGAUGGCGGGCAACACCAACACCACAACAACCCCCAUGGUGGUGGUCGUCUCCGUCGCAAUGGUCACUUAAGACCGCCGUAAUUGAGUCUCCAAUUCCAACUCCAACUCUCACUCCGGUAUUGAACCAUGAGAGUUCGCCAUCUUCGUAUUCCAUGAGUUCCGACCUCCACCAGUACAUGCUGUAGUCCUCAUCAAACAGUACAUGAGUAUUAUGCAAGAUUUAUUGCCAAGUUAAUAGGUAAGAGCAAAUAAAAGCUACAGAAAUUAGCAACAACAGGAUGGAUAAAUACCUGCAUUCCAGGUCUCAAUAUAAGAACACUCCUUCCAUAACGAUCAUGAAAACUUGCUCUGUAUACUUUUCCAGUUUCACCUUCAAUAGCAACUUCUUCCUGUUUUAGUAAGCAUCACAUUGUCAAAUGGAAGCAUUAUUCAGCGUCCCAAUAAGUACUAUUGCAUGUCUAACACAACCUGCUCAUUAGCCAUAUUGUCAACUAAAACGGUCUAAAUGAUGAUUUUGGAAACAGCAUGAGUCAAAAAAUAUAUUGGGACACUUAGUGUCCCUUGAACAAUAAACUCUCCAACACCUAAUGCUUCAUAUCACUGCAUCAUGGCAGUCUCAUAGAAGACACAAAAGUUGAGAGCCACUCAAUUAUUGUUGACUAACACCAAUCCUGCAUUCGCAUUCAUUCAGAAAAUCAGUUCUUUUCCAUACCAGGAACUUAGUCUACAAAAUAAAAUUAAUUAUCAGGUCAACACAAUAGUUAGGGUAACAAGGAUCGGAUGUCUAUUGAAGUUUAACAGGCAACAGCCAUCGGCAUAAAUUAUCUAUCACAAUACUCGCGCAGGUAUUCAUUCACCGGGACACUUAGCCAUCUUACCCAGCUGAUUUCCUCAGGCUUAAGAGUUGAUCUCCAUUUCAGUGUCUCAUCUCUUUGCUUUAUCUAUGUUCCAGUUUCAAGCUUCCAAGUAUCUCCUCAAGCAUGCAUCAUCACAAUACUUCAAACUUCGCCCAGAGAGUGGUCCCAUAGCUUUCUUAAGUCAUUCACCUACAUGCAAAUGGACUUAAAAUGUAACUGUAUUUCUCCAAUAUUCUAGGAAGGAACAUUGAUUAUCAUUCCACAACUCUAGAAAAUCAAUGCAUCAUGAGACAUUAAACACAUAUAUGAAAGGGGUACACAUCUCUGGCUCAGGGACUUUUUCUUCUUCCACAAUAAAGCAAAACACAAAUUCAGAGAAAGGGAACAGAGAUGCAGAAAGGAACUUGAAAACUCAAUGGCAACAUGGUAAUCAAACAAAAAGUCCAAAUCUCAUCCUGAGAAAUACUGUUCUUAGAUAGAGUUCCAGAAAGGAGAAACAAAUGGCACAUUCCAUGAAAUAGAAGGAUGACAGACCAGACAUUUACAAAGGAAAAUUCUCACAGAGACCAUGGAAAUGAAGCAGACAAUACGUCAAGCAUUCCGGAUGGAGUAAAAAAUCAAAUUGAUGUUUAUUAUCUAAACAAUCAUUUUGAGCACGUUGAUACACGUGGUUAAUCUGCAGAUUGCAUGAAAGCCAAAAACACUUGUUGGUUUCGACGCUUGGCCCUUAAGGUUGAUGAAAUCAAAAUCCAGGGAUACGAUAAAACGAGCCUACCUUUGCUCCCCACCCUAUUCCACAUGAAGAAAUUGUAGAAGGUGGAGACCAUGAGCCGUCUUCCCUACGAGCAACCACAAGGUCGGUACCAUCAUACCAACUUUCACAACAGUAAUAAUUGCAAGGCCUUUUUGCUUGUCGUAAAAUGGCAUCAGAAAUUGCCUUCUCAGGUUUUAGUGAAAACACCUGAGCAAUCAGAAUGCAUCAUAUAAUAAGCUUAAUAAUCACACGAGAAGUGCAAGAGAACCUAAUCAACGUACCUCCUGAGCUUCUUAGAAGCAGGAUCAUAGGCUUCACCACCAACGUUAGCCCCAUCAACCUUCGCAGCCUCGACCCAGCCGUCGGAUGACGAUCCAGGCUCCUCCUUGUCGCCGGACCCGUCAACUAUCUCCGCGGACCCAUCUCCGGGGGAGUCAACGAGCACGUCAGCGAGGAACCUAUCGCAGAACUCCUGGCUCGAAUCAGCCCUAAUCCCGCCACCGGCAACUCUACCGUCCUCGUUGUCCUUCAUCAGGAUGUUCUCGAUGAACCACGAGAGCCCCGAGCCUGGAGACGAUGACAACGCGUUCGUCGAGGAGCAAGCGCCGAUGACGUCGCUGGCCUCAGGGAGGUCGCCGAAGAAGCCGUCGAGCAUAUGCAACUCCAGAUCCAUCAUCAGAACACUAGGGGAAAAAACCAACAAAACAAAAAAGGGGGGAAAAGAAGAUGAAGGCGACGAUGGGAGAUCUCUACAAAAACAUCUUAUUUGCUCGCGGUGGUUCGCCGGUCGGAAAGAGGGAGGGCAGAGAGAGAGGGAGGUCGCGGUCCUCUCGCCAGUCUCGUGUAGUGGUUCCUCGAUUGCUCGCGGUCCUCUCGCCGGUCCCGUGUGGUGGUUCGUCGGUCGGACAGAGGGAGGGCAGAGAGAGAGAGGGAAGGAGGUCGCGGUCCUCUCGCCGGUCCCGUGCGGUGGUUCGCCGGUCGGAAAGAGGGAGGGAGCUAGGUCUCGCGGUCCUCUCGCCGGUCCGGUGCGGUGGUUCGUCGGUUGCCGGUCGGAAAGAGGGAGGGCGCAGAGAAGCCUCUUCUUCUCCUUCCUCUCGCCCUCCCCCACGAAGUCUCGUAACCACACGGAUUUCGGCUGCGGCUGCAACUGCUGCUGCUGCGCGGCGUAAUUCUCCUUGUCCCCGCUGAGCGUGCCGCCCGCGGUGUCGUGAAACGCCUCGCCGUUCCUCAACGACAGCGGCGGAGGGUUCACCGCCCUCCUCGGCCUCAGAUUCCACGGCCGCCGCGCCGCUUUGGCCUCCUCCGCCUUCCCGUCCUCGCUCACAACGCCGCCGCCUCCUCCGCCGGCCGCACGGCUCAGGCGCUGCCCCUCCGGAGGCGGGGGCUGCUCGUGGGGUGGGGUUGGGAUGCGCUGAGAAAAGGAAACAGAGAGGAGGUGCAGCUCGUUCUCUGCUCUUCACGAGGAGAGAGAGAGACGAAACCCAAAAUAUUCAAGUGAGGAGAGAAAUUUUAAGCGGGAGUCGUCCUUUCUUCUGCCAGCCGAGCUGAGCCGAGCCACCAGCCCAGAGUUAUUUCGGAGAGAGGAGAGAGACAGAAGCGCAGAAGAUGGAGAGACGCGAGAGGAGAGAGACUGAGUUAUUUUCUCCUCUGACGUCCUCGCCUACGUGGCGCCACGUGUCGAUCACUGAGUGGUUUUACCCACCGCCUACGUGGAGGGUAAAACCCACCCAAUAUUUUCUCGCAUUUUGGAGGCGGUAGGGCCCAAAAGGCAAUAUUAGUAUAAAGAAAUGGUGGAGGGGGUCCACUUAUUUCAAUCGAAAAUUGCAUGGCCAGUUGCGGGCCGGGGAUUUUGCUCUUCCGUCCAACAGCACCUUUGACCAUCUCUUCAACAGCUACUUUGAAAAUUGCAAUUCUGAAAAAAAAUAUUCAAAGCUUGCUGAAGGAUUCGGUUUCCGACUUCUUGAUAUUUUACAAGCGUGGUCAUAAACUGCCAAUACUCUGAAGAAUUUUGCCAACAUACGAAUGGAUUAAUAAAUUACCAACUUUUUAUCAAUAUUGUAAGGGAUUUAGUAAUAUCCAAAUAAAUUAGAUUUAUCAAUGUCAAAAUAAAUUAGAAAAUUAUUUAUUUUUUUUUUUAAAUUAGACAUGGUUCAUAAGUUUUUAGCGAUGUUAUUAAUUUACUUAUGUCAGAUUAAUUUGUAAGUAACCUCUUAGCCUAGUUAGUUAGGAUCCUUUGAUUCCACCUUCAAAUGCAUGUACUCAAUUCGGGCUUACUCGACUUCAAGGGAGGCUUUCCUCCUGGCGCCCCAUGAGGAUCUAUUAAUUUCUUUCAUUGAUCGAUAUACUUCAAUUUUUGUCCAUGAGGAUCUGUUAAUUUCUUUACUUGAUCGAUAUACUUCAAUUUUUUUCCUAAAUAAUCUAUUUUUCAGUAUAGAAUUUGCAUAUCAUGGAUAUACAUGUAAUUUGUACCUUUUUAACUAGAAUUUUUUCUAUAUUCACAAUCAAUACAAAACAACCUCUAUUGUGACACUGCAAUAUUUAUACAUAUAUGCUGACUAUCCAAUUAUGUUAGGUUAUUUAAAUUUCAGAGUACAUGAGUAAGUAUAUUUCAUAUACCAUUGAUUAAAAUUAUUUUUGUUUUGGGUGACUUACCGAAUUAGGAGGGUUGCUUUUUUAAGAAUAUUGGCUGCUGUUAGUCGUAAAACAAUUUGUACGAAUUUGGGACUAAAUAUAUAAUUGCGUAUGGUCAUGCACACAUUAACGUGACACUUUCAAGCUUUUUCAGCAAUUCCUUUUUAAUUUCUAUUUUACUAGGUAUCAUAUACCUGAAUAAAAAGAUAUUCUUUACUUGAAUAAUUUUAGCAUUCAGUUAUGAAGUCGCCCUACCAAUUCAAUUAUAUAUGUAAUUCAAAACCUGCACAUCGUCACAGGAUUAAUAGAUAUAUGUCUAUUUAAUAUCAAUAAGGUGUCUAGAACUCUCUGAGCAUCCAACUAAUCUCUAUUUGGUGUGAUGGUCCCUCCAUCUCACACACGUCAGGUAAUCACCGGAGACUUACAAAAGUGUGCUUAUGGGAGUGGCCACAAGAGAAUGUCCAAGUAUAGUGAUUUGAUCACAAGCUUUGACAAGAAAGAUAAACACACUUGCCACCUAUGAAGCACGGACACGUUGCCCGUGCUUCCAUGUCGUGUCCAACACUUGUCUGAGCGUGUCGGACACGUCAACACGCUAGGACACGGUCGGACACGCAGUCAACGCAUGUCGGAUUUUCCGACACGCGGUCAACGUUUCUCGACACAUUUUGACACGCAUGUCUGGAAGACGAUGGAUGGUAGAGGCAAGGGAGGGCGAGGGAGCAGAGAUGAGGCCGCGAGCGACGGUGAGAGAUGGCAAGAGAAAGAGCCAAACAAAGAGAAAGAAGAGAGAGAAAGCAAACUCCCUUAGAGUCAUAAUCAAAACAUCACAGCGUCAUGGCCUAGUGCGGUUGCAAAGAAAACUGAUCUCGGGCCUAUUUGGCUCGCGGUUUACUGACCAAAUCUACGAGAACCUUCAUAGAUAUUUUGAUGCGUAUUCAUAGAUCAUAUUCAUUCUCAGGUGUAAUUCCACUCCGAGGGCAGGUAUUUCUUUUAGGGAAUGAGCUUGACUAAAGUAGGGGCAAAUCUUUUUCAUUAGGGGCCUUAUUAGUGAUUCCCUCUUUUUGGUCCCCGGCCGACUAUUCUCUCCAUCGGUGAUAACAUAAUUCGACGUUGAGUUUUGUCAUCUGCUGUCACGGUUGCACCUCAUGGAGAAAUUUACUAGUUUCUUCUUGCUAUUCAUAAUGACUAUUUGACAUAUCGAUACAAGAGCAUAUUUAUUUUUCUAUAUGUCAUAUGUAGGUUAGGCUAGACGUUCGUCAAUAUGUACGUGUGAAUUGUAUUAAAAAAGUCUCACACCGGAUAAUUGAUGUGGUGUGAUUAGUUAAUUUAUCCGAGUUAAUCUAUAACUUAUUGGCUUAAAUUUUUUAGCUCAAAGUAGAUAUGUUGAUAGGUUCAAAUUUGGACUCUCUCUUGGCGACCACCCUGAACUCCCAAUGUGUGGUGUUUGGUAAAUAUCUCAAGGAACUCAAUGUGCAUCAAUAUUUGGUAAGUAUCUUAAGAAAGAAAUCUCGUGAUCAGUGGUUUUCGAGCAGCCUAGUGUUGUGGUGCAGCAUUGCAUUCUCGAUGGCAGUUCGAGAUGAAGGUUGGCAUUGUUGUAGUUGUUGUGACCUCACACGCAACAAAGUGGAGAUUCACAUGUGAAUUAAUGUAGAACAUACCUAAUAUUGAACUCACACCUGAAUGAGUGGGAGAUUGUUGAGUUGCACAUUUGCAUUGUAUUAAAAAAGUCUUACAUCAGAGAAUUGAUAUAGUAGCUAAUAUAUCAUAGUUAACCUAAAACUAGAUAUAUUAAAUGGCUCAAACUUAGACUCUCUUUGGCAAUGUCCUCAAGUGAAGCUAUCAAGCGUCCAACAGUUUUUGAGGUCAGUAGCUUUUUCCAAUGGCAUGCUUGAAAGGCAAUCGGAAGGUUUGAAGGCAAUGGUGCGGCUACAUUGUGCCUCUUAAUAGACUUUGUGAAGGUAUCAAAGUACAAUAGACAAUCAAGGACAGUUGCCUCGUAGAAGGAAGGAAAAAUAAUACAAAUAAUUCAUGAACUUUGGUCCAAUAUACAAUGUCAUCUUUAAUUUGUUUAACUUGGUUCAUGAACUAUUGGUAAAUGUUCAGUGUUAUCUUUGAACUUCUAAUUUAUUCAAUGUGACCUUUAAACCAUUGGUAAAUAUUUAAUAUAGUCAUUCUGUUUGUUCAAACAACAAUAUGAUGACAUGGAUUAUUAUAUUAUAUGCUGAGUUGGAUUUUUAAAAUUAAUGAGUCAAUAUAUCCGUCUUUUAUCCGUCUACUUUAAAAAAGGAAACAAACAAAUUAGGGACUUCAAAUAUCCCACGUGCAAAUUUCUUUUCCUAAUUUGAGAUAAAUAUUUUACGUGGAUAAUCCAUAUAUAAUUUGUCUACCAUUCAUAUUUAAUGGAAUGGAAGUCACGUAUUCCAUUAACUUGAAUUAACGAAAAGAUGACAUUAAAUAAUUUGAUAUAGUUAGGGAAUUAGAUUGAACAUUUAUUAGUAACUCAAAGUUCAGGACUACAUUGAACAUUUACAAAAGUUUAGACAUUAUAUUUAACAAAUUAAAAGUUCAUAAGUAACAUUGCAUAUUGAAUCAAAUUUUAAGGACCAUUUUUGCUUCAUUUUUCCUUAUAAGGAAAGUGAAAGUAGGAACGUCCUCUUUGGUUUCUUUGCAUCUUGCAAGGUGCUUCUCCUCCGUGAACCACCACUUGCAUGCACGACUGACGUACCACGCGUUUUCCAGUUGUCUUGUAGAUGUUUCAAACAUAUUUACCUUAUUAUUUGAAGAAGAAUAUCAUGUCAUAAUGAACAUAGUACAAGACACUAUAUAAUUUUUUUCAUUAAAUCUUUACUUAUCAAAGGCCGGCGAGUUAUUUCUCGAUCGAUGGGAGAAAUGGGCCAAAAAAUUGGGAAAAUCCAGUUGAAUAGAACCCGGUAUGUGUUGAUCAAAUAUUGAUCCAUUUGAAAUGACAUGGGUCGAAGUCCCAUAGAAUGUGGUGGAAGACUAAACAAGGAGUCGUAAAGGGAAGGUGGUGGGGGAAAGAGAGAGAGAGAGAGAGAGAGAGAGAGAGAGAGAGAGAGAGAGAGAGAGAGAUUUCUUUAGUGCAAGAUGAUUCUUUCAUAAUUUUUCUUUAGUGCAAGAUGAUUCUUUCAUAUUUUUAUUUUUCUUUAUUUAAAGGUUCCAAAGUGAAGAAAGGAUACGAUGGUUGAAGGAUUUUUUUUCUCGUCUUUCAGUUCAAAUACUUGGCUUCCAUGAUAGAGGAUUCUUUUUCCCUUCAUUUAAAGGUUCCAAAGCGAAGAAAUGAUGAGACGGUUGAGGAAUUUUUUUCUCAUCUUUCAGUUCAGAUACUUGGUUUCCACAAUAGAGGAUUCUUUUCUUCAAGCCUAGGGAUUCUUCCUCAAAUUAUUCAAAUUAUUAUUUUCUUCUUCAAAGUCAUCAUCUCCUUCCAACGCUAAAUCCAAACCCCAUGUCUCCCACCACGCUGACAUCUUAAUAAGCCACAGAUUAAACUAAUUCCUGCCGGUGAAGAUCUCUAACUCAAAUUUUCUAGAAGCCAUAGCGAUAAUUGCAUACAGACAAAAUAACCCUAGGCUUUGAUACUAGUUUUACAACUAAUGCGCAAACAAGAACAAAUGAAAAUGACUUAAGUAAAAUAUAAAUUGCAUAAAUAAAACCUGAACGCAGCGGAUUUACUUUGUCCAAUGGUAAAACCUACUUUAUGGGGAAAGUUAACAAGGUGGUUUCAUGAUAAUCGGCGAAAAAUGGAUUACGACCGCUCAAUUACACUCACUCAUAAGUGUUUCUCAAUCAUAGAGUUUCACAAGAAUCAGUCACAAGAAAUGAGUUUUCUCACACUCUCAGCUCUCUCGGAUGAUGAUUCUCAAUAGUCUCUAUGUCUCUCACAAGCUUUUAUACAUAUUAAGCACACUCAACAUGCUCAAAAGACCAACUGACCAAUAAAAUAGUUAUAUGCAAAGAAAUUAUCAGCCCGUAUUUGAUGACAACAUUGAUUUCAUCUUCAAUAAUGAAAAGAGUUAUUGUGAGAAAUUAAUGUCCCUUGUUGCAUCACCCACACUCCGAUUGGCAAGAGUCCAAUUUGGACUUCCUAAUAUGGCCUGAAUUGCUUUGCAAUUAAAUUAUGGGUCGAAUAUCAAAUCAAUCGGGAUUAACUUGGAUUCAUAAUCAACACAUAACAACGUCAUGGCUGAGUGCAUUUGAAGAGGCAAUUGAUCUCAAGCAUACUCGGCAAACUGAAUGUUAGCAAACAUCAGUUUAAGGGAGGGAUUGUUAAUAUAAUAGUUAUUUCCUUUUGCACGUGUUGUUGAUUUGGUUGUUCAGUUAUUAGAGUUAGUGGAGUCAUGUGUGUUGGUUAUCCUAGUUUUUAGGUGUUAGUGGGACAAGUGCUUUAUGGAGAACAUGGGUAGUUAUAGUUAUGGUGUGUUUUACGUUAUGUAUUUUGUCUUUUGUAAAAGACUUGGUUGUUCAGUACGUAAGAUGUUUUUUUAGUCUCAUCUCUCCUCCUUUUUAGCAAUUUAACAAAAUCUACAGGAAUAUUCGUAGAUAUUUUUAUGCUUAUUCAUGAAUCAUAUGUAUUCUUAGGGGUAGUUCCUCUGAGGCGGGUAUUUCUUUCGGUUAACGAAUUUGACUAAGAUAUAAGUAGGUGCGAAUAUUUUUCAUUAGUGGCCUUGUUAGUAAUUCCGGUUUUUUUGGUCCCUGGCCAACUAUUUUGUCAUCCGGUGACAACAUGAGUCAAUCUUGAGUUAUGUUGUCUACUGUCGCGGUUACACCUCUUGUAGAAAUCUACUUGCAAGGUGCUUUCAUUGGUCCCUUCUCUGAGAACCAUCACUUGUGUGCUCGGCCAGGGUACUGUAUGUUUUCCGUUAGUUCUUGUAGAUGUUUUAAAUACAUUUAUCCUAAUUUUAGAAGAAGAAUAUCGUGUCAUCGGGAACAAAGUAUAAGACACUGUAUGUUUCGUCACGUCAAAUUUUUACUUACCAAAGGCCAGAGUUAUUUCUCGAAGGGAGAAAUGUCAAAAAAACAAAAAACAUAAAAUAAAAUAAAAAACAAUAACAAAAGCGACAAUCCAGAAGGGUAGAACCUGCUUCAUAUUGACCCCAAAUCCGAUCUCCCCCAUUUGGCACGUCGAAGUCGUAGAAAUCACGAUGGAAGAUUAAAAGAGCAGUACAAGUGAAGAGAGAGAUUGAAAGAAGAAGAAAGGCGGCAGAGAUUUCUUUCGUGAAAGAUGAUUCUUUCAUAUCUAUAUUUUCCUGUUUCGAGGAUACUUUUUCGCUUUAUUUAAAGGUUCCAGGGAGAAGAAAUCAUGAGACGGGAGGAUUCUUUCAUUUAUUCCCUUCAUGUUGAGGAUUCUUCCUCACCUUUCAGUUCAGAUACUUGUCUUCUAUGACAGAGGAUUCUUUUCCUCCAGCAUGGGGGAUCCUUCUUCAAAUUAUUCUUUUCUUGGCCGAGGAAAAAUGAGAUGGUCUUCACGACCUUUCUUGGCCAACACCUUCGUAUAUAUUUUGGGAGUUUCACUCCAUCUCAUUCAGACAUCUGUCGCAUUUCCUAUCUCGAAUUUUCACCGUCCUUCACUGUCUUCUUCCAGCCAUUAGCGAUCUCUCUCUCUCUCUCUCUCUCUCUCUCUCGUUCAUUGUAUUCAUCCUAUUGAACCUUUCCUCUUCUUCAGUCGUUUCGUUUUCGGGAUCCAUCACUUCAGCCUUCCUCAGUAUAUAUAAAUUCUUGACUUCCAUUUCUCUCCAAAGAGGAAGGAAAGAAAAUCAGAAAGAAAUAAAAAAGCGGGAAAAUGGCGGAUAUUGUUCAGUCUAUAGCUUCCAAAGUGGCGGAAUACCUGGCGGCUCCAAUUGGUCGUCGAUGCGGCUACCUGAUAUUCUCCAACAGCUACGUUGGCCAACUGAAGGAAGAACUUGAGAAGCUGGAUGACGCGAUGGUUGGGCUGCAGCGCUCCGUCGAUGAUGCUGAAAACAACAUGAGGGAGAUAAAACGCGAAGUUAACAGAUGGAAGAAUGAUGCAGAGACUGUUGCCAACAAGGCACGCGGCAUGCUGGAUGACGAGGGAAGAGCCAAGAAAACUUGCUUCUGCGGGUGGCUUCCCAACCCAAAGGAGCGUUAUUGUCUCGGCAGGGACGCGAGGAAGACAGCCCAGGCCAUCCAGGCACUCAUCCCACAAGGUAAAUUCGAGAGGGUCUACUAUGAGAGUGAUCCACCGGGGCGUGUCGCUGGCACUCCUGAUGUGAAUUCGUCAGCUGGUGAUGGGGGUGACACUAUUGUGGACUCGCGAGCUUCCGUCUUUCAGGGCAUAAUGAAAGUUCUGGAUGAUGAGAAGCUAAGAGUGAUUGGGGUCUACGGGCCUGGCGGUGUGGGGAAGACUAAGCUAUUGGAGGAAGUCGAGAAGAACCUCAGUAAAGAGAAGGGACCGUUCCACAUGAUCGUUAAAGCAAAAGUGUCGCAGAUUCCUGUCUCGAAGAAUAUCCAAGAUGAGAUCGCUGACGCCUUGAAACUGGAUCUGAAGGACGUGCAAAGCGAAAGCGGCAGGGCAAAUCGUCUGAUGGAGAGAUUACAGCGGGAUCCAAGUGAGAAGGUUCUCAUAAUAUUGGAUGACCUAUGGGGGGAACUUGAUUUGAACGCGGUUGGAAUUCCUUCAAGAGACAUUAACGGGAAAUGCAAAUUGUUGCUCGCAUCGAGAUUUGAAGAUGUGCUGAAGAAAAAGAUGUCUGCCAAUAAAACAUUUUUUCUUGGAGGCCUAAACAACGACGAAGCUUUCGGGCUAUUUGCAAAGACGGUCGGCAACAGGCUCGAAGACGAUAAGGAUUUGAAAGCAAUAGCAGCUCAAGUGGUCAAGAAGCUUGCAGGUUUGCCUCUUUUGAUUAUCUCCAUUGCAAAAACCUUGAAAGAAAGCCCUGUGUCCGCAUGGAGAAUCGCACAGAUAGAAAUAGAUGAGUCAACUAAAGAAAUACAAGAAACGAUAGUGAAGUUGAGUUAUGGCCAUUUGACGACUGAGGACGCGAAGUGCUUAUUCUUGCUCUGCGGUCUUAUUGGCGGGACCAUUCAUGUCGAACUUCUAUGGGUAUUAGGCAUGGGGUUGGGCUUGUUUGAAAAAAUUAAUGAGACGAUACAAAAUUCAAGGGAGAGAUUGAAUAAUAUUCUGGAUAGCCUCCGUUCCAUUUGUUUGUUGCAGGAUGGAGGCGAUGAUAAGAAAAAUGUGACCAUACAUGAUCUUUACAGUGAGGUGAUCAUCUCAAAUGCAUUUAGUGAUCAGAAUUGCUUAAUUAUUAACAGCGAUUAUGGCUCAUGGCCGAGGGAAAAGCUUGAGAAAUGUUGGGCAUGCUUAGUGAAUGUUGGCAAUGGUAGGCGUGCUGAACUAAUGUUGCGUCAGUUUCCCCAUGUGAAGAUACUUAUGUUGUCGGAACAAUACGAUAUGCGAGAUUGCAGUAGAAUGGAUUUCACAUAUAUGGAGGAGCUCCGAGCCCUAUAUCUUUGCUCCAUGCAUAUCACCAGUUUACCUUCCUCGAUGGAAAUCCUCAGGAACCUCCGGUCAUUAGGUAUAAAUUGCUAUGUGGAGGAUGUGGCAAAUCUUGGCAAGCUCAAAGCACUGCGGAUUCUCAGCUUCGAUGGGUCUAUAAUUUCUAGACUGCCUAAAGAAAUCGGGAAACUAACAAAUCUGAGAUCAUUGAAUCUGAACCAUUGCUACUCGCUUAAGAUAAUCGAGCCUGGAGCCCUAAAAGGCUUAAUCGACUUGGAAGAGUUACAUAUGAAGAAAAGCUUUGAUCAGUGGAUGGGCAAGCAUGAAAUACCCUCGAAAUCGUGUCGUGUUGGGCUUGUCGAGUUGAAGAACUGGACAAAGCUAGCAUCUCUGGAAAUAUCGAUUUGUCAUCCCAUCAUACUCUUGGAGGAUGAUGACCUACCAUUUGAGAACCUGGACAAAUUUUGGAUCGACAUAGGAAAUAUUGGGUUUUGGACCGACAUACAAAGUUUUGGGUGGAGGGAAAAUGAAGGUUUGACAACCAUGCAGCUCAAUCUGGAAGGGUGCGAUAGUAUUCUUUCAAGAAAAUGGGUUAAGAAAAAUCUGCAGAAGACUCAAUGCUUAUAUUUAAGCGAGUUGAGUGAGUUCAAAGAGAGCCCUCGUGAAUUGUGCACCCAAGGAUUCCGAGAAGUGAAGUAUUUCAACAUUAAAGACAGCCCCUCAAUCAAGUACAUUGCCGGAUCAUCCAAUGGCCUCCCUCUCAUUGCUUUUGGGAAGUUAGAGUCUUUUUUCCUUGAAAAUCUUAUUAAUUUGGAGAAGAUAUGCCAUGGCCCCAUUGCGCCAGAGUGUUUCAACAAAUUGAAAGCCCUGAGGGUCAGACAAUGUGACCAAUUGAAAUACUUGUGGUGUCUUUCAGAUGUGCAAAGACUUGUACAGUUGGAAGAGAUUGAAGUGUGGAAAUGUGACUCAAUGCAAUCAAUUGUCACACACGAUGCAGGAGAAGAUAUAGUUUCUACCAAUAACAAAGUUGAGUUGCCUAAUGUACGUCAUCUAGCAUUGAAUGAGUUACCAAAUAUGACAAGCUUUUGCACCAAAGCUGAAAUCACUUUAGAGGAUAUUCCAAUCCAGGUAAUUUUCUUUCACUUUUUCCCUCUGUCAAUUUGUCCUAUUAGGAUGAGAUGAUAUUGGUGUUCACUCAACGUUAGUACAUAUUGCAUUUUAACUUUGAUUAUUCAUACAAUUUUAUUCGCGUUUUGAUUUACAAAUGAAAAAUCAUCUCAAAUAGAACACAGGUCAUAUUAUAAUUAGAGGGAAGCUGCUUUCCACAACUAAUUUUUUUUUUUUUCAACGGUAGAUAAUUGGACCGAUAACUAGGGUUUCUACUGUGACUAAUUUAUUAUUUAUUUAACAUUUUUAAUGAGUUGAAAAAAUAGUAGUGUGAUGAAUGAAUGAAAGCAAGAAUGAAUCUUGAAUGAAUAAAUAAAAUUCAAUAAUUUCAAAAUGAAGAAAGCGACGUCUAGAGAUUCAAUAAAUGGAUGGCGAGCAAGAAGCGACGUAACAAAGAAAGUCCCCAUGACUGUGCAGUUGUGCGGCACUAGCAGCAUGAUAGUGGUGAAGAUAUCAUCAUGAAAAUCAGAAGAGAAAUUCAUUGUUUUUUUUUUUUGUAUUUUAGCUCGAGAGUUUCACUUAUUUUCUCGUGAAAAUAACUUGAAUUGAACAAACUCACCUUUAAUGAGUCUCAUUGUGGUGCUUUGUUAGGUUUCUUUGCCUCACUUGGAAUCCCUGGUAAUGGUUGGAUUCAUUGCCCCAGAAAAGAUACUCUAUGGUGAACCCUUAAAAAAAAACAGCAAUAUGAAAUUGCUAAGGAUAGAAGAGUCUAAAUCCACGUCGAGUAUUCCGAAAGAUCGGAUACUCAAGCUGCCAAAUUUGGAGUCAAUGAAUAUUCAUUGUCGUAAUUCAUUAAAUAAUCGGUACGAGUGAACGAAAUUCAACAAUCUCAAAAUGAAGAAAGUGAGAUUAAAUGAAUGAAAUGCGAACCAAGAGCCACGUAACAAAGAAAGUCCACCUAAUUGAUGUUUCACCUACAUGCAAGUUGCAAUUGAUUCCAACACGUCAUGACAACCUCACCGUGUCAACAUUGUUCUGCAUCCAUCAUCCCUUUCUUCAGCUACUAAGGGGAUAUUUCCUUCUCCAUUCUUUCAGGCACGACAAAAAAUAUACAUGUUCCCCACUCUGAUCAAUUAAUUUUUGAAUAAAAUUAAGUUUUUGACAUUCUUAAGAGACAUCAAGCCCAUUCAUGCAUUCAAUAUCCAUUUGUUUCAUUGAAAAUUCAUUAUUGUUGAAAAAAGUUUUCUUGGUAAAUCGUUUUUCUAGAAAAUGAAUUGUUUUCUGUAUUUGGUUCUACCGAAAACGUAAUUUGAAAAGAUAUUUUAUGAUGUUUAUUAACGAAGCACAAAAAUUUACAAAGUGAAGACAAAAACUGUUAUGGAUCCUUAAUAGAAAAAAGCCCGAAUAAGUCAUAUUUACUUGUUCUUAAUGAAAACCAAUAAGUUAACAAAAAAUUUAUGAAAAAUUGAACUUUGAUAUGAUUUUGUUGUCAAUUUUGAAGUUCAAAAUAGAAAAAACAAAAGAAAAGAUAACCAAAUUAUGGUAGUUGUUUUGAAGAUGGGUAAAUGAUUUCAAAAGAAAAGAUAAAAAAUUAUGGUCAUAGUUUUCAAGAUCAGCUAAAGAAAAGAUAAAAAAAAAAAGAUGAUGACAGUUGAGAGAGAGAGAGAGAGAGUGUGUGUGUUGUGCGAUAGUAUUGCAUUUGCGACAUGAUAGUGGUGAGGAUAUCCUCAUGAAAAUGAUCCUUUUUCACAGGGAAUUCAUUUUUUCUGUAUAGUCAUUUUCUUGUAUCCAUGAGAAGUUUGAAAGCAAUUUCCUAAAAAUAGCUUUACUUGAAAGAAACUCACCUUUAAUGAGUUUCAUUGUGGUGCUUCAUUAGGUUUCAUUGCCUUGCUUGGAAUCCCUGGUGAUGGUUGGACUCCUUGGCCUAGAAAAGAUACUCUAUAGUGAACCUUCAUUAAAAUACAAUAAUCUGAAAUCGCUAGAGAUAGAGGAGUCUACAUCCACGUCGAUUAUUCUGAAGGAUUGGAUACUGAAGUUGCCGAAUUUGGAGUCAAUGAAAAUUGCACGCACUCCAUCUGUAGAAGUAGUUUUCGACCUAGAGGAGCUAAAAGUCAUCAAAGAAGUGGAGAUUCUCUCUCGGCUAAGUACAUUGCAAUUAUCUAAGUUACCAAACCUGCGGCACAUGUGGAAACAAAAUGUACAACUACAAGGAAUAUCGAUACUUCAUAACUUGAAGAAGCUCUUUAUCAAAAAUACAGGACUAUCAUUUCUCUUUCCGCUGUCUGUGGCUAAAUGUCUUAGAGAAAUUAGAGACAUUAAAGUGGUGAAUUGUCCAAAUAUGAAGGCGGUGAUUGUUGAUGAAGAAGGAAGAGAUGAUGGGAUAGAUGAUAUUGUAGAGUUCCCAUUAUUGGAGCGACUAUCUAUAAGCCGCUGUCCCACGGAGAAAUUCUUCUCACAUCCUCAUGGAACAAAAGAGUCAAUAACCACUACUUCAGAUUCACAAGAUACUUAUUUGGAUUCCUUCUUUGAUCAAAAGGUAUGAAUCCUUUCUUUAGAGCUUACGCCCAUAAUAGACACCCAUAAUAGUCAUAGGCACGCGAUUGGUGGGGCAAGUAUUAAUAUUUUUUUUUGAAGAUUUUUUUUAUUUGGCUUAUUAGUUAAAAUGUUUUUAUAAUUUAUAGCUACACUUGUUAGAGUAAGCCCAUUGAUGAAAAUUCUAUCCUCCACCGCAUUAGAUAGAUCGGUAUAUGAUUAGGUCAAAUUGUAAAAUUUUUCAUAGCUACCAUAUAAUGUACAACUCUUAUGAGCAGAUAAGUUUACCAAGCUUGGAGAAGUUAACACUCCACUCGCUAGGAUCCUCUUGCCGUGGCUAUGGGCUCGGCCUCGCCAUUGCUGGGCAAGGCGUAUGGCACAAUGAGCUUCCCAAAAGUUCCUCCGACAAAUUAGCCAAUCUCACCCCAAAACAAGAUUUGCAAUCACAAGGAACAUCAAUAUUUCAAAAUUUGAAGGUGCUCUCUAUCAACAAUACAGGGCUGUCAUUUCUCUUUUCGGUGUCUGUGGCUAAAUGUCUUAGAGAAAUUAGAGAGAUUGAAGUGGAGGAUUGUCCAAAUAUGAAUGCGGUGAUUGUUGAUGAAGAAGGAAGAGAUGAUGGGAUAGAUGAUAUUGUAGAGUUCCCAUUAUUGGAGCGACUAUCUAUAACCUACUGUCCCACGGAGAAAUUCUUCUCAUAUUCUCAUGGAAAAAAUGAGUCAAUAACCACCAGUUCAGAUUCACAAGAUACUUAUUCGGAUUCCUUCUUUGAUCAAAAGGUAUGAAUCCUUUCUUUAGAGCUUAUGCCCAUAAUAGUCAUAGGCACGCGAUUGGUGGGGCAAGUAUUAAUAUUUUUUUGAAGAUUUUUUUAUAUGGUUUAUUAGUUAAAAUGUUUUUUAUAAUUUAUAGCUACACUUGUUAGAGUAAGGCCAUUGGUGAAAAUUCUAUCCUCCACCGCAUUAAAUAGAUCGGUAUAAGAUUAGGCCAAAUUGUGAAAAUUUUCAUAGCUAUGAUCUGAUGUACAACUCUUAUGAGCAUAUAAGUUUACCAAGCUUGGAGAAGUUAAUACUCUACUCGCUAGGAUCCUCUCGCCGUGGCUGUGGGGCUUGGCCUUGCCAUUGCUGGGGGAGGCAUAUGGCACAGUGAGCUUCCCAAAAGUUCCUUCGACAAAUUAGUCAACCUCACCCCGAAACAAGAUUUGCGAUCACAAGGACCAUCAAUAUUUCAGAAUCUGAAGGUGCUCUCUAUCAACAAUACAAGGCUGUCAUUUCUCUUUUCGGUGUCUGUGGCUAAAUGUCUUAGAGAAAUUAGAGAGAUUGAAGUGGAGGAUUGUCCGAAUAUGAAUGCGGUGAUUGUUGAUGAAGAAGGAAGAGAUGAUGGGACAAAUGAUAUUAUAGAGUUCCCAUUAUUGGAGCGACUAUCUAUAAGCCACUGUCCCAUGGAGAAAUUCUUCUCAUAUCCUCAUGGAAAAAAUGAGUCAAUAACCACUACUUCAAAUUCACAAUAUACUUAUUCGGAUUCCUUCUUUGAUCAAAAGGUAUGAAUCAUUUAUUCAGAGCUUACGCCCAUAAUAGUCAUACGCACGCGAUUGGUGUUCAAGUAUUAAUAUUUUUUUGAAGAUUUUUUUAUAUGGUUUAUUAGUUAAAAUGUUUUUAUAAUUUAUAGCUACACUUGUUAGAGUAAGGCCGUUGGUGAAAAUUCUAUCCUCCACCGCCUUAGAUAGAUCGGCAUAAGAUUAGGCCAAAUCGUCAAAUUUUUCAUGGCUAUGAUCUGACGUAUAACUCUUAUGAGCAGAUAAGUUUACCAAGCUUGGAGAAGUUAAAACUUGAGUCGGUAGGAUUGUCAAAAAGGAUAUGGCAUGGUGGGCUUCCCAAAAGUUCCUUUGACAAAUUGGCCGAAUUCACCCUUGAAAAGUGCUCCAACCUACUUGAUGUCUUCCCUUCGACAAUCAUGGGCAGAUUGCAGAACCUCAAAAUAGUCGAAGUUUCAAGAUGUCCAUCCUUGGAAUCGUUGUUUGAUUUUGGAUCCCUUGAUUCAUAUACGGAACAAAAAAUUGUGUUGCUCCUCAAAUUGAAAAAAGUCGAGGUUUUAAGCUGUCCCUCCCUGGAAUCAUUGUUUAAUUGGGGGCCCCUUGAUUCAAGUAUGGAGCACAAAAUUUUAUUGCUCCCCAAAUUGGAAGAAGUGGCCAUGAGUGGAGUAGGAAGGCUAAGACACAUGGUGAUGAGUGAUUCCCAAACUGUUUUGGGUUUUCCUAAUCUAAAAGAAGUCUAUGUUCACAAUUGCUUUGAGUUGAGAUCUCUCUUCCCCAAUUAUACGAUUGCAACUCUAAAGAAACUCAACACCCUGUGCAUUCUCAAAUGCGAACAAAUGAAGGAAGUGGUUCCCAAGGAAGAAGGUGGUUGGUCCAAGGCAAAAGUGAUAAGUUUCCCUUCCUUAACUAUUUUGGUUAUUUGGCGAUGCCCCAACAUUAGAGCAUUCAUAUGGAGUCCUACAAGUGCCAAGAGGCAGUUAGGUGAAAUGAUUGAAGAAAAUGAUGAAUCGCUCCAACCGUUGUUCAAUGAUAUGGUUUGCUCUAUAUCUUAUUGUGAUCAUCUUUAAUCUCGCAUUAUCAUGUUUUAGAAUGAACAAUGUAAUAAUUUGUCCUACUUAUUUUCUUUUCUCACAUUAUCCUCGUGCAGGUUACAUUUCCCAAUUUAGAAAAACUAUAUAUUGGAGGUGUCCGAUGCAAAGAGUUAUGGAACAAUCAAAUUUCUGAUGAUUCUUUUUGCAAAUUGAAAUAUUUUAUAUUGAAGGAUUGUGACAAUCUCCAACAUAUUGCCCCAUCCCAUAUGUGGAAGAGGCUGCAGGACUGUCUGGAAACCUUAGAAGUGAAAUCAUGCCGUUCAAUCGAGAUCAUAUACGAGAGUGAUGGGACGGUGGCAAAAAGUGGUAAUUUGAGGACGCUGGAUUUGCGUGAUCUGGACAACUUGAGGCACAUUUGGCAGUACGACAAUCUCCCAAACAUCCCCUUCCUAAAUUUGAGAUACAUAAAGGCUGUGAGGUGCUCCCGUUUGGAUAUGCUUUUCGCCACCUUCACGGUGAAAUUUCUCGAGCAAAUCGAAGAGCUAGUGGUAGGGUCAUGUGAAGAUAUGGAACUAAUUGCUGGCCAUGAAGAAUGUGAAGAAGUGACUGGUGAGACAAUCACCUUCUUUGGGUUAAUCACUCUUAGACUUUACAAUUUGCCGAAAUUCAAGAGCUUCAUACCAGAGAAAUACUCUGUGGAAUUCCCAUCCUUGGAUGACUCGAGUAUAAUAGAGCUAGACCAAGGCAACCAAAGUGCGGAGGAAAGUGAGGGGGAAACUGAGCAGUUAGACCGCGUAAUUGAGGAGUUAGACAGCGAAAUUGAGGAGGUAGACAGUGAAAUGAGGAAGAGAGUGAGGGGCGAAUAAUUAGUUUUAUGAAGUGAGCCACAAAAGUUUGUGAAUGUUGCACCGAAUGGUGUCUGGCAAAACAAAAUGGACGUGUCUGGUAAUAUGAGAUUUUGUUUUUUUUUUCUUUUGCAGUCUCUUCUACACUUCCCGCAAAGUGUGUAACUGUUUUCUUGGCUAUUCAUUUCUUUGGUUUGUCUCCUGGGCUACAGUGAUGAGUGCCCAAUCAUUGGACCAUAAAUUGUGGGGUUAUGCUGUAUAAAUUCUAAUCAAGUGCAUUAUCAUGUUUAUAAAUUUUCCCGUAAUAUUAGAAAAUGUAUGUGCUAUUAUAUUAAGUAAUCGAAGUCAUGAUGAAUUACCUCAUGACAACCGUCACAAGAGGAAGAAGGAGAUCAAGGAGAUUGCAAUCUGGGAAAGCCCAUGUUCCUCCUCCCAUCUCUCUCUCUCUCUCUCUCUCUCUCUCUCUCUCUCUCUCUCUCUCUCUCUCUCUCUCUCUCUCUGUGACUAUUGAUGGAGGCCGAAACUAUUUGAGUUUGAGGGACGGUAGUAUGAUUUCGAGUUCGACAAAGGUUGAAUGUAAGUUGAAAUUGGUGAUAACAAGGAGUCCUUUGAGUGGGUUGAGUAUUUGAAUCUUCAUGAUUCUAAUCAAGGUAAACUUCGCUCUGUUUCUCCUGGAGGAAAGGAUCGAGUGCUUGAUUCCGCCGGCGUGAAAUCUGGAACUUACUGUCCUGAUGAACUCAUUCAGGUGCCCUUGACUGAAACACCUACCAUAUGUUUGAUUGAAUUCCUGAACGGUACUGGCAUGCAUAUUUUGCAAGUAUUCUUGCAUUGUGAUGAUUAUCUGGCAAUGGCGUGCUUAAAUUGAGAGUUCUCCAGGGCAUAUGGUAUUAUUUUCGUUGAUGUUGGUUGAACUCUCCCGGUUGUGCUCAAUGCUCCCAUGACUGAGAAUUUGAACAUGCCGUGUUGGCUUAAUUUACUUAGAAUUAUGUUUUCCUUAUCAAUCUACGAUGUUGUAUAUGGCUAUUUUAAUAUUCAAGACAAUGACCAUCUUUGAAUUGGAAAUUGUGAAAUCCUUCUUCGAAAUGUGCAUCGUUACUGUGUACUUCAAUGAAUUCCUGUGCGGACUUCAUCCUUUGCUUGAUCUCGCAUGUAAUUGGUUUCGUAUGCCUGGAUGAUUUUGCCUUGCAUUUCUCGAUCUGUUCAGUGAUACCUCAACCCCUUCACAUCGCCAAUGAUAUUCGGUUCAUUUUUUUGGGCGAAUGCAUGGGCCUGUACCUCUUUGAUUUUCUUCAUUUACUAAAGAUUCUGAGGUUCAUUCCUCGAUGUCAUUUGCUUGUAACUUCUCUGUGAAUGGCAUGUGGCACCCCUCGACAGCCCCUGAUCCGAUAGGGUCGCCACAGUUCGCUUACCUUUCACUUUCCCUAUUAACAUGUUACUUUGAUACCAUUUCAAUUGCAGCAGGUCCAUACAACCAUGGGGGUUUACAUUUUUUUUUUUUGAUAAGUCCCUUGCGCAAUUCAUAAAGCAGAAGCACAUCCAUCAACUCCCUUCCCUAUAUUCAAAAAACGAUGCACACCAACUAAACAUUUUAUAUAAGUCAAAGCCGUACACUCUUAUUUACAUAACUUGAUGGAUAUCAUUAAUCGAUACAUCAAAAUGCCAUAGUCUUUCUAUACUUUGCUAUAUUUCAAAAGAUGACCGACAUCUCUUCCAACAGUCAUAUACUUAAAGUCCAUCGAUCAGUGUCGGCGUUCAAAAGUUCCUUCCUCUGCUAUCCUCCUCCUCGCGGCCAUAUCCAACCACUCGGACCAUCUACUGGUGGCGGUGGCGGCAGAGGUAUGUUGUCUAGUCUGAAACGUUAGUCUCCAAACGGGGUGAGUACAACCACUCAGCAGUAAAAGAUUCAUCAAGCUAUAUCAAGCAUUACUAUUAAUAUCCAUAUUCAAGUAUGGUAGACAAAAUAGGCAAUCCAUAAAUGAGUAUGCAUCCCAACCAUAUAACUCUUCGAUGCAAUGACUAGUGCAUUUCCAACCAAUAAGAUGCAUCGUGUCCAGCCACACAAGUCCCGAUCAUGGGGCCAAACUGUGAUGACAUGUCCCAUUCCAUGCCUUACAAUUUAGUCCCAUAACCAGACCACACUCACACUUAAUAUAAUCAUCCGUUUUAUCAUUCAAAAGGUUUCAUCCCCCAGAGGACCAAUGUUUGCAUCCUUCUGGGAUUCCGCACCCAACCUGGCAUCGCGGAAGCCUCCGGGCAUGUAUUCAAAAUACAACCAGGCAUCCAAAGGGCAUCGGCUCAUUCGAACCUCUGGGCAUCUCGCACCCCACCUGGCAUCACGAGGAAUCACUGGGGACCAUAGACAUGGUUACCCCUAACCUUCGAGCAUGCAUCAUAAUACAACCCCUCACCCUCCGAGCAUGUAUCAUAAUACAACCGGGCAUCUCGACACUCCCGGGAAAAACCUUUGGGCAUGUAUUCAUAAUACAACCAGACAUCCAAAGGGCAUCGACUCAUUCGAACCUUUGGGCAUCCCGACUCCCGGGGCAUCGUUGACCCGAGGGUUCAACGGUAACAGUUUAGCAUUUUAAUUCACAAAAUAUUCUCAAAUGCUAAAACAAGACGUCUCAUGGACUCUCUAUCACAUCUCAAUAUUGCACAAAUAUUUACAGCCAUUACCAUCAUAUCACAUAGCCAUUCGAAAUACCUUCACUUUCGGAUACUUUUGUAAAAUUCAAGAGCAGAAUAGUCCAAUUUUUACAAUGCACAGUUCUGGUAGGAAUUUUGAAAUAAAUACUAAAUGGACUCAGAAAAUUACGAAAGUUUGACAUGUUAUCAAUGAGACCUAAAGGAACAAAUUUCAUGAAGAGCACAAAGUCAAAUUCCAUACACAUCGAGAGUAAAAACUUCGGUAUUUCUUGCUACAGUUUCUGUAAAAUUUCCAGACUUAGCAUUUCCGUAUGAAAAUCAUUUAGUCGGCAAAAUCUUGUCCAUUUAUGCUAAAUUUUUUAUAUGUUACUCUCACAGAUGUGUUCUCCAACUUUUGUUAAGACUUCGAAAUCAGAUUUUGGCUAGAAAAUUCCAGAAAAAUCGAGAAAUCACUGAUGGUCAUGCUGUUCUUGCGAAAACAGUUUACUAGCCUAAAGAGGACUCUUCCUAUACUUUGAGUUUCAGUAUCCAACUUCCACAACCAAGAUUUAGAAGCACGUUACACCACAAUACAGCCUCUUUACUUCUCAAAAAUUCACCAUAGCUAAAUCCUUGAGUUCUCAUUUCAAUUUAAAAGCAAAAUCCACCAGAAACUUGCUCCAAUACCUCGGCCAGCUUCAUCUCAUUCAUCACAAACAACAUGCAGCUCCAAAUCUCACAUUUUCUCACAUCUACCCACUCUUCACUAGAUAAAACAGCAAGCAAAACAUAGGUUGAAGAACUUCUACUUGCCUUAAACUCUCUCACUCGGUGGCUGUCCGAAAAUGGAGGUUCGGGGGUCGCGGCUUGACCGGUCGGCGACGGGAACCGGUGGCGAGGCGGCGGCAGCUCGAGCACGGCAGAAGGUGGUCCCUUCUUCUUCUUCGCCGUUCACCCACCUGCUGCUCACUCGCGAAUUUCCUCGCUCGAUAUCUCUCUCUCUCUCGGUUCUGCUCGGUCACUCUCUUUAGUUCACUUUCACGAGCAGAUUAGCUGCUGGUUUUGCUAAAAACCAGCCAACAAAGAGGGGGAUUUUCGGUGGAUGCAUGCAUGGAGGACAGGUGGAAGAAGUGUGUCUCCAGCUGGGUUUUCUUGACCUUCGCUGGUUGCUCCACACGAAGCAACAUGGCCUCCUCUGGCCUUGCUUCUCGAUUACCAUUUACCAUGGCCGCUGGUUUUUACUUAAAACCAGUCAACUUAAGGGGAGUUUUUCCAUGGUUUGGCCGCAUGAAGGGCAGCUGGAUUCGUACGUGUCCAGCAUGCAUUUCUUCCUUCGACACCUUGCUCCUCCUUGCAACGUGUCUUCAGCUAUUUAAUUAAUUCUUUUCUUAAUCCCAAUUUGCUGGCCGACCGUGAGAAAGCAACGUGGCAUCAAUGGUCAGAAAUUUUCCUCUCAUAGUUGACUAGGGUGUCGACCAAAUGGAGAGAGGUUCGGGCAGCUUUUGGGCGCAGACGAUUCCUCCUUUUCCGCAUGGGUGUGCAUGUCCCUCAUGCACGGCUGAAUUCAAUUUCUUCGGCUCAGAAUUUUAAUUAAUAGAAGUCCAAAAUUUUCCUCUCAUUUCGUAUACAUUUUGGUGGUACAAUUGUGUAGUGUCAUCAAAGAAAUUUGCACAACUCAAUAAGGUUGAAUGUAGUACUAACGAUGACGAAUUCCAAUAGUAGCUUCAUCAAUCCAUGACGUUUCAUCAUCAUUCAUUUUUUUUUCUAAGAUCGACAAAAUAUGGAUGAGAUUGGUCUCACUAAUAACCUUAUGUAAAGAGGCUUCUGACAAUACUCUAGUCUAUCCCACAAUUGGACUAUUUUCUAAACGUGAGGUAUCGGUCCAUUAAUGAAAUAAAACGGAGUUCACACAUGGUGCCAACGACACCAUUCGACCGUACUUCCAUAAUCAGUCAUGGUCAUCACAUAUCCGAGGGUUGUCGAAAUUCUCGGGUGCCACAUGGCAUGCGAGUCCCUGUCAUACUGACAUUCGAUGGCUGAGUGCAUAAUGAGUUGUUUAUGCCAUGGCCGAAUGCUUUGCUCGAUUCAUUGUCCACAUUGCCGAUUUGUAUGCAUGUUCAGUUGUUGCUGAACGAGUCUCAUCCAUGAGAAUUGAUUGUAGAAUGUGGCUCAAUGUUGUUUUCCUGUGUUACGUUGCUAUGCGUUUCAGUUUUUGUGGCAUGACGUUCUUUGAAAAUGUCUCCGCUGGAGCCACCCGUGGGUAAUUAGAAUGCGGUCUUUAGCAUUUGGUCCCAAGAGUUCCUGUUGUGUAAAAUCAAAGUUGUUUCCAAGUUAUUCAAGUCACAUUAGCAAUAUAUGUUGGAUUCAUGUCGACUCCAUGUUGAUUUCUUAUAGAGUUCAAUGUGUUUUUUGCAUCAUAUGUGGGCUAGGAUUGGAUUUGAUAGAUCUUGGUUUCAUAUGAGGGUUAAUUCGGUAGCACAUGAUGGUACAUCGACAUGUAGAUGAUUUCUCAUCAUUUUGUAGUUACUAGUCCCUAUCUAUCUAAAUCAUGCUCAUGCAUCGUCAUUCUACUACUCGUGUUUCUCAAUUUUUAGUAGUUGAAAUUACCUCAAUAUCGUGAGCCAUAUUGCUUUAGAAUCCAAUGUGAUUAAUUUACAUAUUUGAUCAUGUUGUAAUCGUAUUGGGAAGAGUGGUGGGAUUUUAGGAUUUUGCCUCCCACCUAAGGAAAUGUUUGGAAACUAGCUGUCACAACCAAAAUUUCGGAUGCAUCACCUAAAAUUGGACUAAUGGAUUGUUAAGCCUAAACUUAGCUCGGCUCUCCCAAGCCUAUACCAAUUCGCGACUUAGGUUCAAAUAUCUAGCAUGCAAAAGGGAGUCGCCAUUAAUCAAUUUAAUGAAGGUCGAUUAGACACCUAAGUAAAAUAAUACUCCUACAAACCAUAUUUUGGGUACGGGGACUUGGUUACACUAGACUUCUCUAAUGCCCUUUAGGUACCAUUUCUUUUAUUUUUAAAAAUAUUUUUUGCAGGCAGCUUGGAUUGAUUUUAAAUAUAUUUUCCUAACACAUGAGGUGAUCAUAAGGAUGUGCAAACCACCAAUUUAAUACUCAAUAAAACAAUGAAUAAAUUGUAAACUUACCUUAUAUUAACGAAAGCAUCUGCAACGUUAAAUCAAAAUUCACAUCAUCAAUCCUAGAUAUGAUUUCUAAUUAACACGCAAUCACUCAAUUUUUAUUUUCAGCAACCACUCAAUUUUUAUUUUCAUUUAUUUAACUUAUUUAACAAGAAUCAUGCUUUAUGCAAUGCGUGCUACUAAUUUAAUAUGAAAUGAUAUGAUAUGGCAAUAUCACCUAAACUAUAUGACAUAAUAAACAUGCAGUCUAUUCAAAAGAAAUGCAAUAAUUAAAUGUGUAAUCUAAAUUAACCUAAUGACUUAAUUCUAAUGACGGGCAAUUUCUAAUUAAAUGAACCUAACAACAAUUACUAAAUGAUGUACGUUUCAUGAACCUAAUUCUAGAUGACAUGACUUUUUUUGUAUUUUUUUUAUGAAAAUUCGUAAUUAAAUCACUACAAAAUAAAAAUCUAACUAAAGUGAAAUGCUAUCUAUUCUAAAUGCCUUCUAAACAUGCAUUUAAAAAAAAUAAUAACUAACCUAUCAUGCAAUCAAUCCUAAUCUACAUGAAUGCAAAUGCAAUUUUUUGUAAUUUUGGGAUAAACAAAACAAUUAAAAGAUAAACAUCAUGAUCAUCAAAAAUGCUAUCCACCAUUUGAAUCGAAAUUCAAACUUGACUAUUUCGCUAAUAAAAUCGAUAAAUUGAUCUUAAACCUUAAAAAUCAAGAUAUCAAUUUUACUCCUGGGUGAAUAAUUAUUCCAUUUAAAGCCUUAUGGAUGGGAUUAAAAAUUCGUGCGGUUGCGAAUUGGAUGCUACGAUUUCAAUUAGGCAUCAAGAAAUAUUUCAAACAAUGAGACAAAAUAUCAAAAACUAAAUAAGAUCAAAUAAAUCUACCUAAAAUAAAUCUCUACCUAAAUUUGAAAUUUUACAAAAAAAUCCAAUUGGUAGAAUGGACAACGAUGGAGGCUCGGCACGGCAUGGCUCAAGGGCAGCGGCUGUGGUGAAAGGUCACCCAAGGAAAGGUUGUUGCUAGUGGUGCUAAAGGACAAGUAUUGCUCGAAAAUUCGCUGGGAUUGCCGGGGCGGUGACUGGAUUUGGUCAAGGAAGACCUACAAUAAUAAAAUUCAAACGAAAGCAAAAUAACUGGAUCGGUGGAGGUCUCGGGCACGUCAAGGACGCCUGGAAAAUCUGCAAGAAAGUCGUCAGGUGCGGCCAAGCUGCAUGCGCAUGUCAGAAAGGGACGGGCUGGUGUGGCAAAAUUGGCCGAGAAAGCUGAAGAUCAUGCAAGAGCAGACAUGCAAAGAAGCAUAUGGGCUAGAUUUUGCUAUGGUUCAGAAAUAUGUAUUUUCUCUCAUUCCAUAUUGAUCUCCAAGCAUCGCCAAGUGGAGCCUUGUUAGAGCCGCCAAAAUCUGAUCGUUGUGAGCUUUCAACCAUCGUCAUCGGAGGCUCCUUGGCGUGUGAUCAUCCGAAGGUCGUACCUCGGCUGGACAGCAAAUCGUCAUGGACUCUCGGGACAGCAACUUCGUCAUCGGCACAGCAAAACCAGAGCAGCGGUGUUGUCCUACGGCAGCGGAAGACGUCUCGUCCAGAGGGAGCGCGGCAAGAGGAACGUCCCAAUGGUGCGGCCUCUCUGCCGUGCUAUGGGUUCCGAAUUGCCGGCCCUCUCUUUGUUGACUAUUUUGUCCUAUAGCCGUCUCUAUUUUUCACGAGAUUGUGGCCAUCAUGAUGGUCAGAUAAUGGGAUAACCCAUGUGACCAUCCAUGAUAACGAUGAAUUGUAAAAACAAUAUAGUGGAGUAUGUGAUUUGCUCGAAGAAAAAGGGGGCAGAAGCGUGAAUGUGAUGAGGGGAGGAGAGAAAUAUUGUAAAAAGUCUGAAUUGACACAGUCGCUUCUCUCUCUCUCUCUCGCUACCUCUCACACUUUUUCUCUUUUUUCGUGAAUGAACGCGCUCUCCUCAACGUGGCCGCUUGUAUCAAUUGUGUGGCCCCAAAACUGUACGUGAACAAUCUAGGGUUUCAAUUUUUCCAAAUCAAUAUCUACAGAGAUUUUUUUUUUCAAACGCAAUAUUUAUUUUACCGAACGCAAUAUUUACUUUUCCACUUGCUCUAUCCAAAAAAGAAUUCAUCAUAUCCUAAAAAAUUUCAAAUUUCUAUUUUCACAAGAUAAUCUUUUAUCAUUAAAAAAAAGGGAGCUUGCACCAAUUUGCUCACUUUGUGGGCUUAGUCCGACCUGCCAAGUUAAGGUUCAAAAUCAUUAAUUUGAACCCAUCCAUCACCGGUCCAAUAAAUAAAUGCAAAAAAAUGCAAAUUAAAAAUAAAUGCACAUAAAUCUAUAUGUUAUGCAAUUAAUAUUUUUUUAGAAUUAAAAUUAACCUCUAAUUUUUAAUGCGAUAAAUGAUUAAAUGGGUUGCUAAAAUUUAGGUGUCAACACUAGCCAAAGGACCAACUUUACCGUCUUGGCUCAAAUGGAUCGGAUAUUGCAUUAGGUGGCCUCUCAUUUCCAUGGGAUUAUGUUGGUCCUCAUCCGCAUAAGCCCUCCAAUUCCGUUUGGCUAUUUUGUUCACCCUCUUCAUGAGUUCAAUGCUUUGCAACUCCCUGAAGCUGUCCUCUAAAUCUCCCAAGUGCUCCACCCAAAGCGACAUCCUAUAACCAUAAGCCUGCACAACAUCAUUAAAACAUUAUUAGUCACAAGCUUGAGUUUUUGAUAAAUGUCGAUGCACUCGCUGGGUGUUCAGCUAGUACCUGCUAUUAAAUAGAUGUAACCACAUGGAAAUAUGACAUACUUGAACUUCAUACACAAUUCCAUUGUUGUGCCCUUUGAAUCCAAAAUCAGUGGUAUUAGCUAAUGCAAAAUUCUCAGUGGGACCCACAUACACUCUACAUCUCGCGGCCCUCUGCAGAAUUCUCUGCCUCUCUUCCUGUCUCUCCACAUCUAAUGAACUGAGUCGCUUUCCUUUUCAGCUCAGGCUUGGCGCGCUCUGAAGCAGGGGGCCAGAACAGAAACAGAGGACCUUCCAACACGGAAAAGGAGCUCAACAAAUUCUCUCUAGCCCUCAGUUAUUCCUUUGAUCUUCAUUCCCUCUUCAUUGUCCUCUCUGUCACCCUCCAUCCACCAACAGCUGCUGCCACACCUCCAUCGCUGGCCACCACAGGACAUGUCACACUGAGAAGGGGCAAGAACAAACAGCGUUGAUUAAAGGAACUCGGGUGAUUUUUGAGCAUUUAUAAGGCUGAGAAGAACAGAGGGCGAGCUUUAAUUGACACCGUAGACUGAUGCUUCAACGAGGAUUAUCACCGUAGACAAAUGAUGUGGACAAACAUGAAGAGAUUGUUAAGAUGGAGCUGACUGAAUAGUGAUGGCUAUGUUCUUUUUACUGAAGGCAACGGGAAAGAUACAGUUGGAGUUUUGAUUUGGAUCCCUCUUCCUUGGUGGCUCUUAUACCAUGGAAAUAUUUCUAUGAUUUGCAAGCGAGAGAGAGAGAGAGAGAGAGAGAAUCAACAAAUACUACACCUUUACUCAAUAGCCGAAUAAAAGAGGAUAUAGUAGCUCCACUUAUAAAGCAUGAGAGACAUUAACAAAGCUUCGAUUACCUUAUUUGUGACCACCUGCUAACUGUCGACUAAUUUUCAUAAAUAUACUCCAACACAUAUCACAAUUGGAGCAAAUACUUGACAGUGUUUUUGCAUGUUUUUCCAGGAUGUUAGUGCGUCAUUUUCAAAUAAGUAUCCACAACUGUACAAGGAGGGAAUACAGAAUUCAUACUUCAACUGUAGAGUUGUGGCAGCCUGGUCUGUUUCUGCGGUCUACCAGUCUCUCGUCCUUUUUCACUUUGUGACAGCUUCUAGUUCUACUGGUCUAAAUUCAUCGGGAAAAAUGUUGGGCCUCCAGGACGUCAGCACAAUGGCAUUUACCUUUAUGGUUGUCACUGUAAACUUACGCCUUCUUAUGAUGUGGAAUUCAAUAACAAGAUGCCCUCAUUUCGCUGUCAGUAGAAGCAUCCUUGGGAUGUUUGUUUUAUUUUAUAUGUUCACUUAUGAUGGUGAGUCUUCUCCCUUUCUGGGGGUUCUUUUCUUCCCUUCACCUCAUCUAGUCCUCUUUUGGAUAGCAAUUAUUCUGAUAUUCGUCUUAUUACUUGUAUGCGCAAGAAAGUCUCUACCAUGUCAUCCACGUAUUAAUGAGUACAGUCUACUUCUACCUGACAUUUCUUCUGGUUCCAAUUGUCGCAGUACUUGGUGACUUCUUAUGCCAAGGGCAAGGUUUCAGACUCAUAUCUGGCCCAACAAAAAACAGUCGGGCUUUUUUGUUCUUAGACAUAUUUCUCGUUUAGAAACAGAGAGAAACACUGUAACAUAGUUCUCAAGUAAAUUUGCUCAAGAAUACUGAUUGCGAAUCUGCAAUUUCGCUUUUCUAAAAGUAACAAAUGUCGUUUGUCAUGGAAAUUAUAAUGGAGGACCUCCUUUUUCGCUCAAAUAGCCUUCAUUAUCUUCAUUGUCGAUUUCGUGGGUCCUUUUUUCCCUAUUUGCUCCGAGACAAGAUACAGGGCUUGUCAUGUCCGUACUUUUCCAGUUUCUCAGAUGGUUCAUCAUUUGGGAAUUGUAUCUGCUUCUCUCUCUCUCUCUCUCUCUCUCUCUCUCUCUCUCUAACCCCUCUUCCUCCUCUCUGGGCUGAAGAUGGUCUUAUUUCCGGAAUGCGGUUACAGGAUAAAUCCAUAUAUCAGCCUUAAUUGGUAUAAGUAUUUAUUGGCUUGUGGGAACUUGACAGCUCGCUCAUCUCACGCGAUUGAUUUCUGGGUUCACCAUAUUCUAUUUGGCGGAUUCUGUUUAUUAGCAAUGAGUGUUUUCUUUAAGUAAUUGCAAUGGAUACUUCCUCUGAUUAGUUUCUUUUUUUUCCUUCUUUUUUUUCACGCACUAAUUUUUCAUGCACUUGGUUAUAGGAUUCAAAGGUGGUUCUUCCCAUAUGAUUAUCAGAUAUUAUAGGAAUUUCUAUGGGCACAAGCCACGGGAUGAGGACAAAGCCGAAGACAUUGCCCAGGAGCUCUGAUUUACAGAUAUGUUUCUUAGUACUGUAAAAUGAAAUUUUUAGAUUGUUCGAGUUUCUCUAUUAUUGUCAGAAUCACAAGCAUACGAUCUUUAGGAUUCUGCCUUCCAAAAUUCGUACCCAUCCCUAAACGGAAGGAAAGGGAGGGAUGUGAUGAUAACAGACUUCUGGACUCCUUCCAGACGCCAAGAGUAUCGCACGUUUCAGAGCAGUAGGAAAGCGGCUUACGUUAAUUCUGUUCGUGCAUUUAUGGGCUAGUUCUAGCCCAACCGCAAAGUCCUAAAUGCUUUUCAGUAAACGUUUUUUUUUAUAUCUUCCUGUUCAUUGUUUCUUGACAAAGCUCGCUUCACAAAGGAGGCUUACCUUUUAUUACGAGCCACGCUGCUCAUUUCUCGCAUUGUGACUGCUUAUAUGGCUGCAAUAAGGAGUUCCUUUGCCUGUUCAUUAAUUCUCUGGUCGCUUUUUCUCUGGUUGAGUGGGAGAUCUGUUAACUGUUAGGUUAUUUUAGGUGCUACUCUGGGACCCAUCGCUGGCUGCAUCCCGAAGUUGUUUGAGGAUGACAAACUGACCAUGCCUCUGUCGAAAAAGUCGGGUGGUUUCCUAGGAAUUGCUAAAAGUGUGAUCGUUGAAAGCACCUCAUUAGUUGAAGAAGGACAUUUUCUCAGAUUUUUAUAACUGAUUCCAACCGUGUCCUAUGAUCCCCUUCCAACACAGAAGUCUAUUAUAUUCUGUAAGCAAAAGCCGUUGCAAGAAUCGCAUAUAAUCACCUUAACGAUGGACCAAAUAUCUCAUGAGGAGCUGAUGAACUUGGCCAAGUUUCUGAGACACUUGACUGCUGGGAUUCGUCCAACUGUUCUUCAUUACCAUCGUCGCCAUCAUCAUUCUCGAAAACCAUCUGUAUCCCAUGCUUUUUCAGCGAGAGCCCAGGAAAGUAUGGUGGGUCUCGCAGGACUAUAUCUAUUCCUGUCUCCUUUGAACAGCCGAACCAUUGGCUUGAAUUCUGGAUGUCUAAUCUAGUAAAGCUGGUCUUGGCUUGUGUCAUUUAAUGUCUGACGUGUCUUGGACCUUCAAGCCUAAGAAGCCUUCCUUUAAUGUCCUCGAUUGCUGGUAGCAGAAUGUUUGCCCGGUUUGCACUGUCCAUAGAGACAACAACAGCGAAAAUCAUUCCCUCUAACCUCGCGGUUCUUCUUCGGAGCAGCAAAAUGAGGAACUUCCUGAGAAAACCAUCCAGGAAUCUCACUCCCAGGGACACUCGAGUUGUGAAAAUGCUUUAGAGCAACCUGAAAUUUCCCAUGGAAAAAACACAUUUUAAGGUCAAACUAUCUGCAUUCAUGAUUGAAGAUACUGAACAAAGGUGGAGAAACUGAACUGGUGAUCUUCAUCCAUCUUUUUGCCACAGUUCAAGUAGUUUUCCCAAAAUGGGAGUUAUGAGUUAUCUUUUUCACCUUUUCAAUUCGUCUCUCCCAAGAGUAAAAGCCUCAGAGAUUUCAAUAUCCGGAGACCAGUGACGUCAACUAGAUUGCUGCAAUCAGUAAAGUUUGGCUCCUUCAAAUCAGUAGAAUUCAGAUGAUCGGCGUAAAUUUGAAAUUGAUUAACCUCAACUCGGGAUAGUUCUCGGAGAUGAUGGCCACGACUGCGCUGAGUCGCGGAUCGCCUCCAGAAGGCCCAACGCUAUCUCCUCCCCUCGCUUGAGGCCUUCUUCAUCGAGCCGGAGCUGCAGCACGCUGCUGAGCUCGUGCUUGCGGUAGAGGCAAUCCACGAUGCCAUGGCAGGGGUGUCGGCGCCGCAAGAGCUGAGGAAGACGUCGCAGCGGAAGCGAGAUGAGAACAUAGCGUCGUCCUCUUCGGGAUCGUCUGUCAGCAUCGUUGUCUUCGGCUUCUUGGUCGGCCUCACUUGGGAGUCGCCGGUCUUUUGACAGAGGCGGUCCAUGCAUUGAUUGGGGCACCACUUAACGAUGAGCAAGGAGCAACGAGCACCUUACUGAUAGAUUUGUGUUCCCUUUGAAAAAACUAAAGAGCGAUUUCCACAGCAUGGGAAAUGUGCUGUCUUAAUUUUUAAUUGACAAAUCAUGGCAUUCUCGUUAGUUAAAGGAAAAAUUAUCAAUGUAUGGUGAUCAAUUCAAUUUUAAAUUUAUGUAUUAAUUUAGUAUUAAGCAGUCAUAAAUAAUUUAAUCGUGUCAAUUUAGUCUUAAAUUUUUUAAAAAUUAUAAAUGUAAUCUUUUUGGGUAAUUUUUGUUGGAAAUUUUCUUUCUUUUUAUUUUAUAGUUUUCUUCUUAAGGUCAGCAAGUCCACCGGUCACUGGCCGAGGGCCAGCAGCCCAGACACCCCUGUAAAUAAAAACAAGGAUGGUAAAGAAAAUUAAAAGUUUUAAGGAAAAAAAAAUUCAAGUACUCAGAUUGAUAGUUUAUGCCAUGACAUAGCAACAUGUCUCCUCGAUACGUAACAAAAAUUAUCACGACAAGGAUGUUCAUAUCUACUCCGGUUAAAUGUAGGAUCGCAAGUUUGUCAAUUUAGCCUGAUUUGGUUUUCAAUUUCAAUCCUUUAGACUAAAAUUAAUUUGACCUUGGGGCUGCACGCCUUGCACGUGCUGGUGUCGGAGAACGUCAGCACCUCCCUGCACCGACGGUUGCGGCACGCCGACGUCUUCUUCUCCCUUGGAUCGCAGUCCCCGAACCUCUCUUGCCUCUACAAGAUGACCUCUCUGGUCUUGAUCUGCACAUGAUUUGCUCGUUUGCAUGUAAAAAAAAUGUGCGAUUCAGGAUCGAAAAAUUAUUGAACAAAUCUUUCUUUUCGUAUAAAUUUUUAAUGGAUUGGCCACCAAAAUCACAAACUCGAUUGCGUCAUGAUCCGACGGAAGCAAUCGAAGUGAUGAAUUACCUCACGACAACCGUCGCGGGUGGAAGAAGGAGAUCGAGGAGAUUGCAAUAUGGGAAAGCCCAUGUUCCUCCUCCCACCUCUCUCUUUCUCUGACAAUUGGUUGAGGCUGAAACUGUUUGAGUUUGAGGGAUAGUAUCAUGAUUUCGAGUUUGACCAAGGUUGAAUGUGGGUUGGAAUCGGACAUAACGAGGAUUUCUUUGACUGGGUUGAGUAUUUGAAUCAUCAUGAUUCUUAUCAAGGUAAACUUCGCAUGCUCUGUCUAUGCUAGAGGUGGGGACCGAGUGCUUGAUUCUGCAGGCGUGAAAUCUGGUUGAGUCCAAGAUUGUCCUAAUGAACUCAUACACGUUUCAAUGAUUCAGUGAUUGUUUGGAUGCGCACCUCUUCCUUAUCAUUGCAUUUAGGUGCCUCUACCGAAACGCUUACCCCAUGUUUGAUUGAAUUCCUGAACGAUAUUAGCAUGUGUAUUUCGCAAGCAUUCUCGCAUCGUGAUAAUUAUCUAGCAAUGGCGUGCUUAAACUGAGAGUUCUCCAGUUUAUGUGACAUUAUUUUCCUUGAUGUUGGUUGAACUUCUAAAGUUGUGCUCAAUGCUUCCAUGACUGAGAAUUUGAACGUGCCGUGUCGGCUUAAAUUUACUAGGAAUUAUGUUAUCUAUAUCAAUCUACGAUGUUUGUUUGUGGCUAUUCUAACAUUCGAGACAAUUACCAUCCUUGUACUGGAAAUGGUGAGAUCCUUCUUCGAAAUGUGCAUCAUGUGUUGUGUACUUCAGUAAAUUCCUAUCCUGACUUCAUCCUUUGCUUGAUGUCGAAAGUAAUUGGUUUCGUAUGCUAGGAUGAGUAUGCCUUGCAUUUCUGGAUCCGUUCAUUAAUACCUCGAUACCUUCUGUAUAUUAAUAAUAUUUGAUUCUUUUUUUUUAGGCGAAUGCAUGGCCUCUACCCGUUUGAUUUUCUUCGUUGACUGAAGUUCAUUCCUUGAUGUCAAAACUGACAUUCGAUGGCUGAGUGCAUAGUGAGCUUUUUAUGCCAUGGCCGAAUGCUUUGCUUGAUUCUUUGUCCAUUUUGCAAUUUGUAUACAAGUUCAGUUGUUGCUGAAUGAGUCUCAACUAUGAGAAUUGACUGUAGAAGGCGGCUCAAUGCUGUUUUCCUGUGUUUAUGGGUAGACAGGCAUGCGGCAUGCUGGAAAACGACAAAAAGAGCUAAGAAAACUUGCUUCCGCGGGUGGCUUCCCAACUUGAAGGCACAUUAUCGUCUCGGCAGGGAGGGGAGGAGGACAGCCCAGGCCAUCCGUGCAAUCGAAUCGUAGAUUAAAAUAAUAAUCUAUUUCUUCUAAAAAUAAUUUUCUAGUUCACCACAUGCAAGACAACAUUUUAAAGCUUUGGCUUUUAAGGGCGUCCGACUUUUUAGACCUCAAAGAUUUUCUCGGGCAAAUCUAUUGCUGUUGGUAAUUAUUUUCAUAUAGUUAGUGAAAUCUUAAAUAGAGCGGUAACUUGAGAUAAAUGAAAUAACUUGUACUCGGCAUCCACAAAUUUUAUUGUUGACCUUUAGUUUUCUCUAAAUACGUUGUUGAUUUCAAUACUUGUCUGGAUUCCCUAUUCAAUUUUUCACCUAUACUUUCAAUUUGCUUGGGAUUUCAAUUUCCUGCAUUUCGACUCGAGUUGCUUAUUGUUUCAUAAAAAAAAAAAAUUCAUGUAAUUUCCCGAAAACAAAUACCAAGUGUAGAAAACAAAGGUAAGAGAUGCAAAGGAAAUCUCAGUGAUUGAGGCUAGCUUUCUCUCAGUAAAGAAUAAGACUCAAAUGGCUAACUUCAAAAUUUUCAAGUCUGAUUCCAAGGGAAGAAGGGAACUCUGGAGUCAAUUUCACUUGCAUAGCUCUUUUGCAUCAAAGGGAUUGAGUCGACUAAACGUUCUAUUGACAUCUUAAUUUUUAUCGACAUCUAAAUAUCCAUUUAUUUCGAAAAAAAUAUAUAUAAAUUUAUAAAAAGAUAAAAAAAAAAGGAAAAAAAAGAAUAAUGAAUAAAAAUGGAUCAAAUAAAUUGAAUGAAUGAUGAAAAAUGAAGUCGUGUGGGCAGGCGUGUCUAGCCCACUUGGUUAUUUUGAGCUCACCCCUUACCCAGGCUUCCCAUUCAGAAGGGAAGAACUUAUGUGAGUGUCUCAAUUUCAAUUCAAACAUGGGUUUGGCCCAUUUUCCUUCUUUUCUCUGGCCCACCAGAGCCUAAAAAAGAAGCCCAGCCCAUCACUCUUUCUCCUUGCGCGCGCGCGCGCUCGUGAGAAGAGCGUCUGUGACGCAAGGAGGAGAGAAGGUACAGUGACGGUCACCGAAGAAAUGCCCGUGAGCGAGUGAUGAGAAAGGAACCUAUGAAUCUUAAUCGAUAUACUCGCUGCUCAACCCUGCGAAAGCGAAAUAUAUUCGUGCGAGAUAAUGGAACCUGUCGCGUCGUGUUUUGUUUGGAAAAUAGUGUCAAAGCUGAAUCAAAAACCUGCUCUCGUAGCUGAACAACAUGUGUUCGACAAAAUGCUCGAAUGAUGCACCGAAAUCCAUGUUAUCCGAUCGACGUUAAAAGUUUAGUUCGAGGCUUGAUCACGCAUAUGUUGUUGACGCACGUCUGCUUUCUUCGUUUUUUGCUAUGUUUUUGCUUGAUUUCACGGCCCACCUUUUGAUAUUCGUUAAUGGCCAUGCAAAACCGAACUUGGUUCUGCCGUGGCCAGCGAUAGGCAGACGGCGAGGGCCGGAGAUGUAAUCUGGUGAUGGUGUGUAGUGGUGUGAGCUCCGGUGUCCGUAGAUGGCAUCUAGUUGUACGGGUUCAAAAAAUGGAGAAGAAGACGAAGGUUGGGAGUGAAAAAAUGGCUUCGGGGAAGAAGAGGGGAAGAAAAAGAAGUGGUGCGGUAGAAGUGGACUUAAUGAGGAAAAAGACAAAAGAGAAAAAAAUUCAAAAUAUUUUUGAAAAAUUCGUUUUCUAUAUCCCACCAGGUCGGAUCCGGUAGACGGGUUAGGUCAAUGGGUCGGAUCGGGUUUACGGUCCAAACGCAUUCUCCGAAUAUAAUAAUAAUAAUAAUAAUAAUAAUAAUAAUAAGUAAAAAAUCGAAAAAAUUAAAAAUAUAAAAAAUAUAAAAAAUUCUGAAAAAUUCUAAAAAAUAGUAAAAUUUUAGAAAAUUCGAAAAUCAAUAAAAAUAAAAAUUUUAGAAAAUAAAAAUAUAAAAAAUCUGGAAAAGUCAUAAAGAUACAGAAAAUACUAGAAAAUCCAAAAAAAUAAUAAAAAAUUGGAAAAUUUCUAUAAAAAAAAAGUAAAACCAAAAAUUGUACAAACCAAAAAAAAAGUAAAACCAAAAAAAAAAGUAAAACCAAAAAUAAAAAUGUCAGCUCCAUGUUGAUUUCUUAUAGAGUUCAAUGUGUUUUUUGCAUCAUAUGUGGGCUAGGAGUGGAUUUGAUAGAUCUUGAUUUCAUAUGAGGGUUAAUUUGGUAGCACAUGAUGGUACAUCGACAUGCAGAUGAUUUCUCGUCAUUUUUUAGUUACUAGAGUCUCUAUCCAUCCAAAUCACACCACUUACUUGGUCAUGCUCAUGCAUUGUUUUUUACUCCUCAUAUUUCAAAAUUUUAAGUAGCUGAAAUAACCUCGAUACCCUGAGCCAUAUUGCUUUAGAAUUGACUGCAACUAAUUUACAUAUCUGAUCAUGUCCUAAUCGUAUUGGGAAAAGUGGUGGGCGAUCCAAGAAUUUUGCUGCCCACUUGAGGAAAUGUUUGGAAACCGGCCAAAGGACCGACUUUUCCAUCCCUCUUCACAUUGAUCGGAUAUUGCAUCAGGUGUCCUCUCAUUUCCUUGGGAUAUUGCUAUUUUGUUCACCCACUUCAUGCAUUCAAGUUGGAUUGUAAAAUUCUACGAAAGACCUUUGAUUGUAUGCAACGACAUGAUACUCUCCGAUGGCUAUGUUCGCAAACCUUCAGGGGGAAGCUGUGCAGUUAACUAACGCGAGACAAAGGAUGCAGCAUUCUGUCGAUGAAGCUCAAUACAACACGAAGCCAAUCGAAGCCGACGUCUAGAGAUGGGAGGCAGGCACAGAAAUCCUCGCUUAUGAGGUGCGCAGCGUGCUGGAAAACGAGAAGAAAACUUGCUUCCGCGGGUGGCUUCCCAACCUCAAGGCGCGAUAUCGUCUCAGCAUAGAGGCGAGGAGGACAGCCACGCCAUCCAGGCACUCGAAUCGCAGAGUGAAUGCCAAAACGUCUACUAUGAGAAUUCUCGGCUAUAUAUCAAUAUAUAAGGACUUAAAAGAUGGUUUUAAUCAUCAUGAUGUACUUAGGGAUUUUUAAUUGACCAUAUUAAACUAAUAACCCGUUUCUUUUAGAGAUAGUUGUUUAGUUCACCACCUACGAGACAAUAUUUUAAAGCUUUGACUAUCAAGGACGUCUGAUUUGUCAGACCUCAAUGAGUUUCUUGGAAAAGUCUGUCUCUAUUGGUAAUUUUUCGCAUGUACUUAGUAAAAUCUUAAAUAAAAGUAACUUUUAUUCGGCAUCCGUAAGCUUCAUUGUUCACUUUAAGUUUUCUCUACAUAAGUUGUGGAUUUCAUGACAAGACUAGAUUCCAUAUCCAAUUUUUCACCUAUACUUUCGAUUUGCUUGCGAUUUCAGUUUCCCAAUAAUAAGUCUCUUUAAACGAUGGACGUUGCAAUUCUUAUUUGUCUGUUCGAUUUUUUACCCGCAUUGCUUUAGCUAGUUCAAUUAAGGAGGAUCACUUUUGGGGUAUGAACUAACAGAUGGCACUAUUGAUUAGUAAUUCAGACAGUAGCUAUUUUACUGGUUAAUACUGAAGAAUUCUGAGGGUCGUGUCAUUUUGCGAGUUAAACACAUUGAAGCCUUAUUUUCUUGCAUAACUGAGCUCCUUGGCUCCUCACUUCUGCCUUUUGUUGUCCUUGGCAGAUUCCUGAAAAUGCCGGUUGCAUUGCAAGGACAUGUGCUGCGUCGGCCAUCGGCUUGCAUCUUGUUGGGGUGCUUAGUUGUUCCAACCACUCGAGCUUCUCUUUAGGGUACUUUGAAGACAUUCCUCAGUGAAACAUAUGUUGACGAGUCACUGAUGAUUUGUGAUUGUUGCAUCACCAUCCAGUUUCUUUUGAUGCCUUCAGAGUUUAAACUAGUGAGCCAUGUUUUAGUAAUAUAUUACUAAUUGAAUUCUUAAUCAUACCAGAUAAAAGUACCAUACUACUACUUAAAAUCUAGAUCUUAACAAAAUGGUGAUGAAACUAUCCAAACUUUGUAUGGAGUACUGUCAGGCCACAGGCUAUUUUGGAUAAGUGCUGGCAUUUAGUAUAUAUAAACCACUGCUAUAAGAACAGUAAUCAUCGAUGCAUCACACGUAACAAUAAUCAUGGUCGUGCCAUUUUGAUAUAAGCAAGAUCAUCUAGAAGCAGUUUUGCCUAGAUAACAAAAGGACCGUAUAAGAAGAAGCAACGGCAGGACAUCAAUUGGAGCUUGAAUCAACAGAAACAAGCGGCGGUGGCAACGAUCUGCAUCUGGCGCACCUGAAAGUCUUCCAGACAGAGACAUUGCUAGCCAUAGACAACGAACGUGACUUGGAAUCUCUGUCUACACCAAGCUCAGCGUCAAGGCAGAGCGAGCGGCUCCUUUCUUUGGUCAGGUCGAUUGUGACGUCCUCGCAAGGCGGAGGAGAAGGGGAGAAAAGGCCAGGCCAGGGGAAAAAGCUGAAAUGUUGGGGUGAUGGGCGGGUCUGGGCCGGGGAUAAAACCAAUGGGUUUGCUCUCGUGGGCUGCGCUGCGCCAGUUGGACCAAAUCGUCCUUUUCUAUUUGUUAUUUAUUUACAUUUUUUAUUAUUCUUUUCAUUUUGUUCUUUUUACUACCAUUCAUUGUUUUUAUGUUCUUUUUUUUUUUUUAUUACAAAAGCGCAUGCUUAAUUUUUUGACUAAAUUUCAGGCAUCGACAAUUAUGAAUAUAUUCACCUUAAUAUAUGAAGAAAAAUAUCAUUCCAUCCGAACAAACUACAAGAUGUUGUAUGCUGUAUUGCGUCAAAUAUUUAAUUACCAAAGGCCAUAUUUGUUUCUUGAUCAAUGGGAGAAGUGGGCUAAAAAUAUGGCACAAUCCAAUUGAGUAGAACAUAUAUGCGUUGAUGAAAUAUCGACCCAUUUAAAAUAACUUGAUUUAUGAACCGGAUUCAUAUUAAGCCUAGAACCUAUCUUGUCCAUUUGUGGGGUCAAAGUCCCAGAAAUCGUUGUGCAAGAUUAAACAAAAAGCAAUACAAGUUAAGAGAGAGAUUAAGAGAAACAGAGAUGGCAAAUAUUCUUUAGUGAAAGAUGAUUCUUUCAUCUUUUUUCUUUCCCUCUUUCAAGGAUUUUUUUUUACUUUACUUAGAAGGUUCCGAAUUGAAAAAAUGAUGAAAAUGUUGAGAAUUUGAAUCUUAUUUGGAAAAAUAUAUGACUGCUAACUUACUUAUUAAAUCACCCUUAAGUAAGUUGUCAUUUAUCAGGAUCUUGUCAAUGUCUAAACAAAAUAGUAAAUUAUCUCUUCUUCUGAAAUUUCACGAGCGUCUUUUUCUUUGUUUAUAUAUUAGUUAUGAUAAAGUUACCUAUAUUUCACUACUACAGUGAUUGAUCAAUUUCUUUGAAAUUUUAAAACUUUCUUUUGGUAAAAUACCAACUCAAUAAGGAAUCUACCAACCUCUCAAUAAAUCAGCGAAUUAUCAAGUUUUUUCAAGCUGCUAAUUAUUAAACUAACAAGAUAAUAUAUAAAAAUAAAAAAAGGAACAAAUAAAGAUGAGAUAACAUAGGAUAAAGACAUGGAAAAGAGUCCACGAAAAAGCAAAUAUGUAGUGGGCCCAUAGAGUCGUGUAAGGGAAGAAGGAACUCAUUUUGCAUUUCCCGUUCUUUUUUUUUUUUUUUUUGGUAAAGGGUAAUGAUAUAUUGAGCUAUAACCAGCAAAUAUACAGGAUCCGGCACCACAAAACUUGCACUCAACAAGACAGAAGCCUCUAAUCGAGUGAAAGGGCGCCAGACACAAAACACCGCAAAGCGGUCAACUCAAGCAAGGGCCGAAACAGGAAGCCCAAAACAGCGACGCAGGGUCGAAGCAACAACUAAAAACAGACAGACUAAACAAAAGGCCACGAAGGGCCAAGGAGAAACAACUCGCAAAACUAGACUAAGGCGACCUCGACGAUCGGCAUAGGAGAGUUGAAGAUAGAUGGGUCAAGGCCCCAGUUUCUUUGUAACCUCCUAUUCCUUGGGCAAUCUUCCACGCUUUUGAACGUUAAGGCUUUAUCCUUCACAACUUUAAUGAGAUGCUUCUUGAUAGCCGCAACCACAACCGGAUGAUCUCUAAAGAGGAUGUCGUUUCUAUACUUCCAAAUGAGAUGGCACAAAGCUCUAAAAGAGAAGCAACCAAUGGCGUGAUAGAAAUCCUUACCUGUAAGGAAUCUCAUUGCCCACUGAAGAUUUUCUGUCCAAGUCCCAUUUCUCCAUGGGAGAUUGCACCUGGCCGCCCAAAAGUAGGCCAUGCUAGCCGUGAUGCAGCAACUAAAGAAGAGGUGGUCAAUAGAAUCCGGCGUGAGCUUGCAAAAUGCACAUACUUCAUUCCCAAUUCUCCCAUAAGACAUAAGAAAAGCUUGGGUAGGAAGUCGGUUCUUAGUGAUCAGCCAGAGGUUGAAUUGGUAUCUCGGAGUGAUGGCCUUGUUCCAAAUAAAGGAUGACCAUACCACCUUGUCUUUCCUUUUUCUGAGUAAAUGCCAAGCUGAGGCAAUCGAGAAGACCCCGGAAGGAUCAUCUCUCCAUACAAAUCUAUCCGGAACCCUAGUGAGAAGAGGAAGGGGAUGGUUCCAAGAAUCCAUCACUAGCCUGAAUUCCCGACCCGCCGAAGAAAAAAGGUCUGCGACAACUGCAUACCACGGUAGUCCCGAAUCAGAGAUAGUCUGCUCAGAACAUAUAAGAUCCAGCGGACCUCUCUGAUGCCAAUGGUCAAACCAAAGGGAUGUCCCCUGGCCAUCUCCAAUCUUCCAGUGGAAGUUGAGGCGGAAUUCGGAUCUAAGGUGGAGGAUCCUCUUCCAAGCCCAUGAGCAGCUGCCCGGCGUCUUAGCCACCCAGAAGUUCGCCUUACGAAUAAAAGUAGAGUGAAUCCAUUUGCACCAAAGAGACUCAUUGUCCGUGAAUAGGAUCCAGAUGUGCUUGAGCAUUGCCGCCUUAUUGCACUCUCGCAAACAUCGAAUCCCAAGGCCCCCUUCUUCCCUUGGGAGACAAACAUCCUCCCAGGAAACCUUAGCUCCUCCCCUGCCAAGGCUGGGUCCCUUCCAUAAGAAUUGUCUAAGAAUCUGCUUGAUACGGUCCAGGACUCCUACAGGAAUAAUGAACACACUAGCCCAAUAGGCUUGAAUUGCAUGGAGCACUGACCUUAUGAGCUGAACUCUCCCUGCAAAUGAGAGAAAUCGAUGGGUCCAAGAUUGCACCCUAGCCAUUAUGCGAUCGACUAGACCUACACAAUCCGCCUUCCCAAGCCUCGAGGAAAUAAUCGGUGUUCCUAGAUAACGUACCGGCAAUUUUCCUUCCACAAAACCGAAUGUAUCCUUUAUAUGGCCUCUCAAUUCAUCCGAUCCCCCUGCAAGAAAUACCUCACUUUUGCUAUUGUUCGGCUUGAGUCCACUCCACUUCGAGAAGGUAUCCAGCCCAUCCUUUAGCAGCCGGAUGGAGACCAUAUCCGCAUGGCAAAAGAGGAAGACAUCAUCCGCAAAAAAAAGAUGAGAUAACCGAGUGGCCUUGCACCUCCAAGAGAACUUGAAACCCGGCUGCUCCGCACUAGAAGUAAGGAUCCCGGAGAAGACUUCCAUAACCAAGGUGAAAAGAUAAGGAGACAUUGGGUCACCCUGUCGAAGGCCGCGGCUACUAGGGAAGAAUCCAUGGAAAUCCCCAUUCAAGGAGAUAGAAAACAUCGGGGUACGAACACAUAUCAUGAUAAGGCGAAUGAAGUGGUCCGGGAACCGAAAGGCACGAAGAGCUGAUUCGAGGAAAUCCCAAUCCACUGUAUCGUAAGCUUUCUGAAAGUCUACCUUUACCGCACAUUUGGGGAGAUAUGGCUGCAGGUGAAAGCCGGCAAAUAACUCCUGGGCUAGGAGGAUAUUAUCACUAAUCCGUCGACCCUUCACGAACGCAUUCUGAAAAGGGCUAUGGCAUCCUGGAGUACUGAGGCGAUGCGGUUAGCCAAUACCUUGGUAAUGCAUUUGUAGAUCGUAUUGCAGCAAGCGAUGGGCCUAUAAUCAUUAACCGAGGUAGCAUUAGGAAUCUUAGGGAUCAACACCAGGAUGGUGGAAUUAAUUUCCCUUAAUAGUCUCCCCGUAACAAAGAAAUCUUUUACAGCUUCAACCGUCAACGGUCCAACAAUAUCCCAAUUACUCUUGAAGAAUUCGACACCAAACCCAUCCGGACCCGGUGCCUUCCCACGUGCUAGAGAAAAGAUAGUGUCCUUAAUUUCCGUCUCCGAAAAGGGACGACCAAGAGAAGCGAUUUGAUCCUCUGAGAGCGGACGACGGAUGGCUUGCUGAAGGUCUCCGAAGGCCGGUCCAAUAGGAGGAGAGCGUGAUGCAAACAACUCCUUAAAAUGAGCGACAAAUGUAUCCUGAACAAGGCUCGGCUCGGAGACAAGGUUGCCAUUCCUAUCAAGAACCGAUAUAACCCUAUUCCUUAGUUGCCUCGUAGUCACAGAGUGAUGAAAGUAUUUAGUGUUUUUAUCACCCCUCUCAAGCCAACGGCUUCUGGAUUUCUGUCUGAAGAAAGCCUCCUCCUAACUCCUCAACUCAACGAACAUCCUCCGAUGACUUUUUUCUAGCUCUGCCAAGAGGACAUUGGUCUGGUCGUGCUGAAGGGCCACUUGAGCUUGUGUAAGAGCAUUUCUGGAUUGAGCAACCCUCUCGGACAGGUUGGAGAAAGAGUCUCUAUUCAACUGCUUAAGACGCCCCUUGAGUGUUUUCAAUUUGGUAACCAACCUGAAGAUGGGUACUCCAUCACUCGGGGUCUGCCACACCUGGGUAAGAAUAUCCUGAAAAGAUGGGUGCUCCAUCCAGAAAUCAAAGAAUUUGAAGGGCUUUCUUCGAAAAACUGGCUGGAUCACCUUGACCACCAUAGGAGAGUGGUCUGAAAUACCAGAAGGUAAAAAGGAAGCUUCUGAGUAAGAGAAAUACAAGCUCCAGAGAGCGUUAACUAGAACCCGAUCAAUCUUCCUCGCUUUCCGAUUAGCCCCCGAAGACGUCGACCAAGUAAACCUAAGUCCAACAUAUCUCAAAUCCUCAAGCUCUGCCUGAUGCAGACACUGAUUAAACUCAUCAAAGCAGGGCGGCCAGGCAUUAGUACCCCCUAGCCUAUCAGACGGGUCUCUUAGGGCAUUGAAGUCACCCGCCACCAUCCACGGUAAGUCGAAAAUACAAGAACUCAUCCUGAUCAAGUCCACCCAUAGAGGUCUCCUACGAACAUAAGAAUUCUGAGCAUAGACUACCGAGAUACAACAACAAGAACCUGUCGAGAUCAGUCUAACUCUUCCAUGAAUAACCUGAUCAUUGGAGGAUAUCUCCUCAAAACAGACCAGCGAAGGGUCCCAGCUGAUCCACACCCUGCCCCCCGGAGAAGAAUCAUAGUUGGCAAUCCACGUCCACCCCGAUAAUAGACUCGACGACAGAGAGCCAAAAAGAUGUUCCGGGACUUUAGUUUCCAAUAACCCAACCAAACAAAGGCCACUAGAGAGAGCCCACUUACGGACCUCGGCUCUCCUCAAAGGAUUCACGAGACCUCUAAUAUUCCAAUAACCGAAAUACAUCUAAGCUAUGUACAAACUACUCUAAACAACGAAGAGCAAAGGGCAGCAAGGCCUACCUCAAUUUCUGAGGCCUGCGGCGCGAAACUCCGGACGGCUCAACAGUCUCCACCGGCUCCGGGACAGGGGCUAAGGACAGCAACCUGUGUUGGAUUGUUUCGACUGAUGUAUCUAUCAAGCGAGGAGGCUGACACGGCGCUUCUGGGGAGGAGAUAUCAUCAUCCUCUGAGGAAGAGGCAACCUCUUCCAAACGCUUUCCAGAGUCCUUCAAGGAUGGGGCACGGGUAGGUCGGGACCCAGCCGUGAGAGAGGAGACGACUUUAGGGGGAGCACUGGCGCCCCUAGCCCCCUUGCGAGCAGAGGCGGAAGGAGGGGGAGCUGCUACCAGCGGUCUGUCCCCAGAAGGCUGGUCAGCAGCCGAAGGGAGAGGGGAUUCACCUAUCUUGAGGUCCUUAUUCCUCUUCCUCCUGUUCUUCACCCUUCUCCAAGGUUGAUCCUGGUCGGGCAAAGUUGGAGUCGGUUGAGGGGAGUCGCUAACAUCUGUGAGGGACGCCUGCACAGAGACCGUGGAAGGUUGCAACCGAACCGGAUCUAUAUCAGACUGAGGUGGGAUGGGGGCAUCCACCGCCCGAGGCAGACUCGGAUCAACUUCUGGCCUCUGCACAUCCUGUUCCAAGACAACAGGCGAAGGAGGAGUGGCCGAUCGCGGAUUUGGAGCAUGGACGACCGGCUGAGCAGGAGCAACCGCAUUCUGCCUAGCUGGAUGACAGACAGCCUGUCCUGCAUUCUGUGUGCGCCUCGUGGGAUUUUCCGGGGGGGGGGGGGGGCAGUUGUGGCCGAAGGCGUUGCAAUCCGGACACGCAAUCGGGAGCCAUUCAUAUUCAAUAUUAAUGACCCGAGAGACACCCUUCAAGGUGAUUUUGGCCUUCUCAACUCUUGGCUGAUUGGCCGUGACCUCGACACAAACUCUUGCGAAGGAGACCAUCUUCAUUUCGUCGGUCCGUUGAUCCACAUACAACGGCUUCCCCGCCACACUAGCUAUGGCACUCAUGGCUGGCACUGUCCAAAUGUCAAACGGAAAAUUCCGUAGGCGAAUCCAAACGGGUAUGGUGGAAUGCUCUUCUCUCUUCAAAUCCAUGAGAGGCUUCCACUGCCGAAGUAUUAACGGCACCCUUGCAAUCGUGAUCGGCCCAUCUUCAAGGAUCUUUCUUCUAAAUCCGGGGUCCGGGAUUUGGAGAAAGAGGAAUCCUUGAUCGUCGGCAAAGAUUUCACCAAUCUUGGAGCCCCACGUUUUCCUCAGCACUUGCUCCACCAAUCCGAAUGGUAGCCUCCUUUUCGCAACCAAUUGGCCAACCAAGCAGUCAUGUCAUUUCGGGUCCAUAGCAUCAAGUGCUUCAUCCAGGAGAUUCACAACAGCCUCUCCCUCCACAAAGGUGGGUGGAACAUAAGACAAUUCGGAACCUUUCACAGCCAAUCUAGCCACAUUUGCCCAAGAACGUGCCGGGGCUUCAUGGUGACCAGCAGGUGCUUUCCCUGGGUGCUUGGAAGUUGAGCGAAAUCGGCUUCGUCCUCUCGACCGACGAGCGCGAAGGUCAGACUCCUUCGAAGCUUGCUGCCUAUUCUUCAUUUCCGGACUAAAGUCAGCAACACCCCUGGGUCCAGAAGAGACCAAGCUCGCACGGCAGAAGCACUAGAAAACCAGAGCAGCUCGAAUCUGCAGCUUGCUGGGAGACAACAGCAGGAGAAGCCAAGCUAGGAAGCUGUAGGAGAAUCCCCCGGCAGAACCGAAUCCCUAGCCGUUUCCCUUCAACCCGCAGAUGAGGAGCGAACAGCAGCUCCCACGUACAGUCACGCGCAGCAACUUAUCCGGAUGGAAUUCCUCAACCAGCUCAACCCAACCAGGGACAUUCGGAGGGUGCGAAGGGCUAAGUCUGGCUAGACUCUCUUCCGAGACUCAACCAAAAACAGCCAUGGAAUCUCACCAAACGAACAGCAGAACAGUCGGACAACCAGAGGAGAAAACUGCAGAAAUUCGUACCCUAGGCCAGACGAUUUCUCUGCAUGCAGGCCUUCUAUUGCGAAACCGUUCGGUGGAAACGUAGAGGGGACUGAGCUGAAUCUUCCUUCCGAAAAUCAGCCGAAACCACCCAUCGUAACUCCUCAAACGAACAACAGAUCAGCCAGAAACCAGAGAGAAAAACUGGGCAGUAAUUCGUAACCUAUGCCAGACGAUUUCUUUGCACACAGGCCAUCUUAUGCGAAACCGUUCGGUGGGAAUGUAGAGGGGCCUGAGCUGAAGCUUCCUUCCGAAAAUCAGCCGAAGACACCCAUCGUAGCUCCUUCAACGAACAAAAACAGCCGAGAAACCAGAGGAGAAAACUGGGCAGAAAUUCGUAACCUGGGGCAGACGAUUUUUCUGCAUCUAGGCCAUCUUUCGCGAAACCGUUCGGUGGGAAUGUAGAGGGGCCUGAGCUGAAGCUUCCUUCCGAAAAUCAGCCGAAGACACCCAUCGUAGCUCCUUCCACGAACACAAGAACAGCCGAAAAACCAGAGGAGAAAACUGGGCAGAAAUUCGUAACCUAGGGCAGACGAUUUCUCUGCAUCUAGGCCAUCUUUCGCGAAACCGUUUGGUGGAAACGUAGAGGGGACUGAGCUGAAGUUUCCCUCCGAAAAUCAGCGCAUUCCGACACCCAUAGCCACGGGAAUCAGCAACACACCAGACGGAUGAACAGUGACUCGGGAAUCCGAGUUGAGAGCAUAGUUUUGGAGAACUUUUUGCAUUUCCCGUUCUUUUUUCCCACUUUAACGAGGAAUAUAUUUUGUGGGCCCCAUAGGAACAGUUUUGUCUACCACUCUUUCCACUCCCCGCGCUCUUGUUCUAGCCCUACAAGACAAGCAUUAUUUCCUUGUUUCUUUGUUUACUCCCCUUUUAACCCAAGUCCUAAAACCCGCUUUACUCUAGGAAAUUAUCCGAUUCGAUUCUAUAAGGGUCAUGUCAUCAAACAAAGGGGGACAAUUGCCUGUUGAAUAGAAUCGAAUAUGUGUUGAUAAAAUAUUGACCAUUUUAAAAUGACUUGAUUUAUGACCCGAAUUCAUAUUAAAUUUAGAUUCGAUCUGAUCUAUUUGGUGAGUUGAAAUUUAAGAUAUCACGAUGGAAGAUUAGACUUAGAACAAUACAAGGAGGGAGGGGGGGAGGGGGAGAGAUAUGGGAGGUGAAAGAUGAUUCUUUCGUAUUUUUCUUUUUCCAAUUUGAGGAUUCUUUUUCACUUUUUCAAAGUUUUCCAAGGUGAAGAAAUGAUGAGAUGCUUGAGAAUUACAAUCUCGUUUGUAAAUGGAUCGAGAAAACUAUCCAAAAAGUUCUAAACUUAUUAUAUUUUAUCAAUUCAAUUCUUAAUUUUUUUAAUUUUACUAACAAAUUCAUUAACAUUUUGACAAUUUGCUAAUUGAGUCUAUCCAAGCGACCGGAAAUCGUUAACAUGAACACUAGGCAUCUUGCUUCACACGUAGUCAUUAGAGUGGACAUUUUUAAUAACAUUUUUGAAUAUUUUAUUCCCAUUUCUUUACUUUCUUUUUUAUUUUUGGAGUGAUGGCCGACCAAAGCAAGGGUGUGUGAGCCCUUGCCUAUGCAAGGGCUGCCAAACCUUCGCCUAGCCUAGAUCUAACGAAAGUGUCAUGGCAUUCAUUAGAUCUAGGUAAGAGCUCGUGAGCUCUCGUUUAGUGUCGGGGACCUAGCCUAGGCUUUCAACAGCCAUGGUGAGGGCCCAUAUGGCCAUUGAGGAUUGCAAUGCCCUCACCCAAAACUAGUGAGGAUCGCCAGCCAUCACUCCAAAAACCAAAAAAAUAAAUAAAUAAAGAAUAAAAAAAAAAAAGCUAUUUGUCAUCGUUGAUAGCAAUGUGUGUUAACUUGACUAUAGAUGCUACGAUAAGAACAGAGAAAUAGAGAUGAGCUGUUAAUGGUAUGCGUAAAGAAACAAGGUGGAUGAACGCGAUGACUUCUUCAUCCUUUGCAAUGGCGCUGAGAUAUUUUAUAUAGGAGCGAGAGGUUGUUUUGAUUUCUUUCGUUGAUCAAUAUCUUGUAAUUGUUUAUCUUACAUUACCUGUUUUUCAAUAUAGAACUUGAAUAUCACGGCUACAGAUGGAAAAUAAACCUUUUUAACUAGAAUUUUUUACUAGGUUCACAGUUGGUAGAAAAAUCUUCUGUUGCAGCAUUACAACAAUUAUGCGUAUAUGAUGUCUAUUUGAUUAUAUCGGGUGAUGUAAAUUUAUGGAUUAUAUGUAAGUAUUUUUUCCCGUCAAUUAAAACUAUUUCUGUUUUGGAUAAUUGACCGAAUUAAAUGGUUGUGCACACAUUAACGUGAUGCUUUCUAGCUUUUUCCAGCAAUUCCUUUUGAAUUUCUAUUUUACUGGGAGUACAGGGAGAUACAUGUACGUUUUUUCUUUUAUGUAGUUGGAUUGACGAUAUCUUUACUCUUAUUUUCCGAUGACUGAGUUUUGACUUCUUUCGAUGCAAUUGACUAUAUGCUUGGAGAUGUAGGGGCUAAAUAAUUUCAUAAACAUUUUGUCUUUUUUAAUUUCAUAAACUUUUCAUAUGUCAUUAUCUUAAAUUCGCAUCUAAGUAAAAGAAAGAACGAUAUUCAAAGUCCUUAGUAAUUGUCAUUCAAAUGAUGAGGUAUGAUCAAUUAAAAUCUAACAAUAAAAAUUUUGGAUCACUGGCUUGGAAGAACUUGUGAUUGAGGGUUGUAGCAUAAUUAGCUUAAAUAUUAAAAUUAUAGGAAAACUGAGCGCAACUCUCGUGGACCUUAUCUUCAUUACGUUUCAUCAAAUAAAUUGGGUGUAAUCAGCUGUGCAAUUGAUGUAGCCUCGUACCCCCGUCGGCAGCUUGAGGUUGACAUAACACAAAGCUUUAAUAAUUCCCAAGGGACGGACGACGGUGAAAAAGCAACUUAACUCCACCCUGGUUAACUUUUAGCCUCACUUUGCGCUGUCUCCUCCACCACCUCCUCCUGGUCUGUGUUUUAGAGAGAGAGAGAGAGAGAGUGUGUCGUUGGUACGUGUUAUCAACGUGUGGCUUUGUGAAUUGUUACAUCGCUUUGCCUUGAACGAAUCGGAAAGAGGGUCAUUCCACGGAGGUUAAUAGCGAAGGGAGGUCAGCAAGAGAGAGAGAGAGAGAGAGAGGUGGUCCCAUAUAAUCCAUGAAAUAGGAUGACAUUAUCGAGUGCAAGCAGCACCGAUAUGGAGUUCAUGAUCCCCUCAAACAUACAUAUAAUUACAUAAAAAAUACUUCAUAUUAACUAGAUCCAUGGUGUGAUCAAUCAAUGAGAUUGGAUUCUUUAGAACUAUUAAAUCGAGGUUUCAAGAAGUAAAUGAUGAUUAUAACAAAGGCAUCUUCCAUGAACUUUCAAUUUCUCUCAAUCAGAUGGAGGCAUUUGCUCUUUUGGAGAUUCCGUAGAUGUUGUGUAAAGAUGAUCAUAUGAAGCAUUACACUAUCCAUGUAAGCGCGGCCACCGUGCAUGCAUUAACAAAAGUAUGAAAUGGAGCUCAGGUUCGCAGAGUCCAUGUAAAAGAAAUACAGGUAAGUUCACUGUUACCAAGCUUUUGAUGAAAGAGAGCAUCAUAUUGAUAAAAGAUCAAAAAAACCUCAAUACAAGUAGCCAGAUUUUCUAAAUGUGAGAGGGAAGUUCGAAGUUUUAUAUAUGAUAUGUGUCGGCUGGCCUUUAUUUAGUUUGCGAAAAUGGUGGUCUUUUCAGUUCAUGCUUUUAUCUAAGAACGAUUAGAGAUUCUUCUAUAAAAUUUCAUAUGAUAUUUUAUCCAACAAUUUAUACUUUUAGAAUAGUUCAUAUUAUAUUUUAUCUGACAGCUUAAACUUUUAAAACACUUAACAUAACGCACUAAAACUUUGAUAAUUCCCAAAUGACCACUAAUGGUCAAAAGGCAACUUUACUCCACCUUGUUAACGUUUUAUGUAUUAUAUUUUCUCUGACGAGAGAGAGAGAGAGAGAGAGAGAGAGAGAGAGAGAGAGAGAGAGAGAGAGAGAGAGAGAGAGAGAGAGAGAGAGAGAGAGAGAGAGAGAGAGAGUGUGUGUGUGUGUGUGUGUGUGUGUUAUGUAGGGAGAGACACAGAAGCAUUUGGAAGUCUGUAGUGAGAAGUUUCAGCUUUGUGAACUGUUUCGUUGCUUUUGCUUAGAAUGAAUCGGAAAGAGGAUCAUUCCGUGGAGGUUAAUAGCAAAGAGGUCAUAGAGAGAGAGAGAGAGUCCCAUAUAAUCCAUGAAAUAGGCUGAUAUUGAGUUAAUGAUCCCCUUUAACAUACAUAUAAUUACAUACAAAUACACUUCGCAUUUAUUGGAUCUAUGGUGUAAUCAAUCAAUGAAAUAUUACCUAGAAUUAUUAAAGUGAGGUUUAGAGAAAUAAAUGAUGAUUAUAAUAAAGGCAUCUUCCAUGAACCUUCAGUUUCUCUCAACAAAGUUUUGUAUGUUGCUCUAAACCUAUGCAUAUUCACAAGAUUAAUAAAUAGGUGUCUUUUAGUUACCAAUGGAGUAUCUAUGACCUCUUUAGUUGCAUUUGGCAAUCAAGAUCAGAUUCAAGAUAUGAUAAAAUAUAUCAUAUCUUGUGUUUAAUGCAUGCUUAAGACAGGAUAAAGUCAAAUAUAAAUAGAUAUAAAUCAAAUUAAAUUAUCUCAUGGGGGGAGGUAAGAUAAAUGUGGAUAAGAUUUCUAAUAUCCAUAAUAGAAAAGUUAUUUUUAUGAAUAACAAACUUCUUAAAUUAAGAAAUUAAAAUUAUAUUUAAUAUAGUUAAUAUUUGAAUUCUAAUAUGAGAAGUUCAAAAUAACAAAAAAAAUAAUAAUUUAGUUAUUUUAUUUUUAUCUUAUUUUUAUCUAUAUAUUCGAAUUUAAUUAUAUUUUAUAAUAUAAAUUCAAUAUAUAAAUAUAGAUAUACAUUUAUAUUUAUUACAUAUUUUAGGUAUAUUUGUACAGUUUACUAUUUAAUAAAAAUUUAUUAUAAAAUGAUGGAAGGGUAAGAAAGAAAUAAAAAAGAAAUUAAUUAAAAAAGAGAGGAAAAUAAAAUAAAAAAAAAGUAAAAAAGAGUGUCCCGAAAGAUUUUUAACAUAUUCAUUUGUAAAAUUUUUAGUUCAUUUUUACUAAUAUGCCAUUUUUACUAAACAAUGUAUAUGAUAUAAUAUGAAUAUAUUUGACUUUUAUCACUACAAAUAUCAAACAAUGGAUAAGAUAUAUCAAAAACCCUGGAUUUCAUAUCCUAUCCUAGUUAAAAAUUCGAACAAUCAAAUAUAAUCUUUAAGCAUUCGAUUGAUUUUCAUCAGGUGUGACAGUCACUGCAUUUCACACCUACCAAAUAAUUACUAGAGACACGGUUUUUAUAUUACAUUCUUUUGAAAAACUAUUAGUUGCCACACUUGAUUUUUUUAUCUCAAUUUCUAUAUGAAGUUGGUUUUGGCAGCUUAACGUUCUAAACUUGGGAGCUAAGUGCCUUGUCCUUUUUUGUUACUCCUGGGAAGGUUUUGUGAAUAUUUUUUCUAUACUAGAAACAAUUACUUAUCUAAUUUCUAACCUUAAUCUUGCAUUACAUAUGUCCUUUUUUUCAUGUGAAAAAAUAAGAUAUAAUUCGUGCAUACCUAUAGGGACCAAAAAUCUACGGAUAAGUACAUUGGAAACCCUAAGACUUAUCAUAAAAGUGCAAUUGAGUUCUAAAAUUUAUCAAAAGUGCAAUCAAGCUCUAAAAAUUGUCAAAUUGAUACAAUCAAAUCAUUCCAAUAACUCCAUCCAAUUAGACUAAGGUGACUUUUUUAAUAUUUUCCCUUCUACGUGGCAUUAUCUUAUUAAAACAUGAAAGACAGGACUAAAAUGAAGUUGUUUUGAUAUAAAUCCUACUUUUUUAAUUGAAAAAUCAAUUAAAUGAGAUCAAGAAAUAAAAGAGGUACUUGGCAGACUUAUUACAUACAAGAUGCUUUUAUAAGGAAAAUAAUACAAACUUUCAAUGAGAAAAGCAUUUUGGUCAAGACUAGUGGUGAAGUGAUUGGAAUUGGAGUGUAUUAUCUGAAUCGAAAUCUGGCCUUCGGCUGCUGUUGAUUUGCUGGAGUCAAGCACGGCUCUCGUAAUUUUGAGCUGGCGGGGCCUGAAGUCAACUUCAAUACAAAAGAAGUUGGGGAGUGAGCCCUUUUGUUUUCAAUCAAACGUAAUCAGAUGAAGGCAUUUGCUCUUUGGGAGAUUUCAUAGAUGUUGUGUAAAGAUAAUCAAACGAAGCCUUGCACUAUACAUGUAAGCUCGGGCACCUUGCAUGCAUCGACAAAAGCACAAAAUGGAGCGAAGGUUCGCAGAGUCCCUACAAAAAAAUAAAAAAAUACUGGUGAGUUAAGAGUUACCGAGCUUCUGACCAAAAAUAACAUCAUAUUGAUAAAUGAUCAAGGGAUCCUCAAUACACGUAUCGGGAUUUUCUCAAAUGUGAGGGAAGUUGGAAGUUUUAUAUACGAUGAUGGCAUGAUGGCAAACGGCCUUUGUUUUAUUUUGCGAAAAUGGUGGUCUCUUCAAUCUACAUCUUCAUCUAAUAAUUUAAAACUUUUAGAAUAGUCAGUAUCAAAUUUCACAUGGUAUUUCAUCCAACAGUUCAAGCUUUUACAAAAUUACACAUAUUAUUUUAUCUCAGAGUUUGGGCUUUUAGAACAAUUGACAGUGGUUCUAUAAAUUCUCAUAUGGUAUCAAAGCUAGGAGGUCUUGAGUUCAAAUCUUCCGUGCUCCUAAUUACCUCUCCUUAAUUGAUCUUUUUUGGAAGUCAUGACAUUAGAAAGUCUUAAUUGGAUCUCUGGUAUGACCAGAAAGCAUCAAUUGCACAUGUACCCUAUGGUUAAUAUGUAUGCAGCUCAGUGGAAGAUAUUCAGCUAUUGCCAUAUCUAUGUGCUCUUGAGAUUAUUAUUUCAUAACAUGCUUGUCCUUUAAUCAAAAUUAGUGAUGGACGGUAAAAAACAUAGUACUAAAGCCCAUGGUGAUUAAUGAUGAGUCCAUCAAAAGAUGACCUUCAGAAAUUAAUGUUUACUUUACCUCCACAUCUGACAAAUGGAACAUAGUUCAGCUAUCGUGAUGAAGAAGAGAUCCCAUAGGAUGCCAAGGAAUAACCGAUGAUAAAGCCUUUUUCUAAAUUCUAAUAGAAUACUAAUCGAGGGGCUCCAUUUGAUUCCUCACAUGAAGUACUUUCUUUCAAAAAGUUUUAGGGGUCACGUGAUAUCCAUUAUAGCUUUGUAACAAAUACAGUAGCUACUCUGAUGACAAAAUACUGUGAUAAGUAAUAUGUUCGUGGUAGUCGUGCUAUAUAUUAAGUAAUCUUUAGGUGUCAUUGUGUACGGCAGAUUUAUGCAUGUAAAACUCAAAUGGCUCUUCAUUAACUCGACCGGUUUGGAUUUAUGACUGAUACUGCUCCACCAUGGAAUGAUGAAUUGGGAAAUUUUGAUCUCAAGAAAAGGAUAAUCUCUAGGGAAAUGCUCAUCUCGUUUCAUCGGAGUCCAGCUAUCCCGAAAUAGAACGAAAUUGUGGACUGCCUGGGGAUAGAACGAAAUUGUGGACUGCCUGAAUCAAAACAGAUGCACAUCUACAAAAGGGUCUCAAGACUCUCAACCACCAGAGGUCACGUCAAUUUCAAUACUUGAAAAUCUUUCUACGGUGUAAGACGGUGUCUGAAAUUGCUCACCUCAAGCUAUGGUGAUGGGAGGGUAUCCUCGGGAAAAUAAAAAUUUAUGUUAGUGGACAUGGGCCCAGGGGUGGGUUUAUGUGUAACUUGGUAGCGCUCUCUCUAUUAAAGCCAGAUGCUCCUCUUUCUGAGCGUUGCAACUCUCAAUGAUCUCUUCCUCCCUCUAGAUUUCCAUCUCCAUUUACGCCUAUUGCUGGAAGCUGUCUCUUUUCUCCUAAUUUUUCGUGGUUGUGGAUUCAUCCUGCUGAAUCUUUCCAGUUCAGUCAUUUCGUUUCGUUUCCGGGUUCCAUCAGUUCAUAUAUCGAGAUGGCGGAUAUCGUUCUGUCUGUAGCUUCCAAAGUGGCAGGGUACCUGGUGGCUCCGGUCGGUCGUCAAUGCGGCUACGUGAUAUUCGCCAGCAGCUAUGUUGACCAACUUGAGGAAGAACUUGACAAGCUGAAAGACGCGAGUCAAAGGGUGCAGGAUGAGGUCGAUGUAUUUGAAAACAACAUGAAGCCGAUUCAAUCCGACGUCAAGAAAUGGGUGGAAAAAGCGAAGACCGUCAUCAACAAGGCUACCGUGCUGAAAAACGAUGGAAGAGCCGAAAAAACUUGCUUCUGCGGCAGGCUUCCCAACCUGAAGGCGCGUUAUUGUUUUAGCAAAGAGGCGAGGAGGACGGCCAAGGAGAUCCAGGCACUGAUCCUACAGUGUCAUUUUGCCAAGGUUGCGUACGAGAAUCCUCCACCGGGGCUUGUUGGCGGUGCGCACGAGGUGAAUUCGUCGGCCGGUGAUGGGAGUGACACUGUCUCUGAUUCGCGAACUUCCAUCUUUCAGGGCAUAAUGAAAGCUCUGGAUGAUGAGAAGCACAAAGUGAUUGGGGUCUGCGGGCCUGGCGGCGUGGGAAAGACUACGCUGUUGGAGGAAAUCGAGAAGAAACUCAAGAAAGAGGGGAGACCGUUCCAAAUGAUUGUCAAAGCGACAGUCUCGCGGACUCCAGACUUGACGAAAAUCAUAUACGACAUCGCUUAUGGCUUGAGUCUAAAUCUGAAGGACGUGCCGAGCGAAGACGGAAGAAAAGAUCUUCUGUCCAAGAGACUAAAGGACUUGAAUGAGAAGGUUCUCAUAAUAUUGGAUGACCUGUGGGGAGCACUUGAUUUGAAGGCGGUUGGAAUUCCUUCGGGAGACGAGAGCGUGAAAUGCAAAUUGUUGCUCACUUCGAGAGAUAAAAGUGUGCUAGAGCAAAGGAUGCGUGCCGAUAGAACAUUUCAUCUUAAAGGUUUAAGCGACGAAGAAGCUUUCAGCCUAUUUGAAAGGAUGGUCGGCGACAAGCUCAAAGACGAUGAGGAACUGAAAGCAAAGGCGGCUCAAGUGGUAAGGAAGCUUGCAGGUUUGCCCCUUUUGAUUACCUCCGUUGCAAGCACCUUAAAAUGUAGCAAUGUGUCCACGUGGGAAAGCAUGUUAAUAAAAGUAGAAGACCCAAAUAACGAGAGAAUAGUGAAGUGGAGUUACGACCAUUUGCAGUAUGAGGACGCCAAGUGCUUAUUCUUGCUUUGUGGUCUUAUUGGUGGGACCAUUGAAGUCGAACUUUUGCUGGGGCUAGGCAUGGGUUUGGGCUUGUUUGAGGGAUAUAACGAAAGAGUACAAUAUUCAAGGAAUAGGUUGAAUGAGAUGCUCGAUAGCCUCCAUUCCUUUUGUUUGUUACAAGAUGGUGGCGAUGGCAAGAAAAAUGUGACCAUACAUGAUCUUUACAGCGAGGUGGUUGUUUCACGUGCAUUUGGAGGUCAGAAUUCUUUAAUGAUGAACAGCAAUUAUGGCCCAUGGUCAAAGGAAAAGCUUGAGAAAUGUUGGGCUAUACGCCUAGCUUGUGUUGACAAAGAUAGGCUUGAUAAACUAAUGACGUGUCAGUUUCCUGACUUGAAGAUACUCAUGUUGUCUCAACCAAAAGGCUGGAGUUGGAUGCAAGUACACGAACAUGAAGUGGGAGAUUGCUCUGGACUACCAGAUUUCACAUACAUGAAGGAGCUCCGUGUCCUAUAUUUUCGCUCUAUGCUUAUCGACAGUUUACCUCCCUCGAUUGGAAUCCUCGAGAACCUCCACUCUUUAUACUUACAGCAUUGCAAUGUGGAGGAUGUGGCAAUUUUUGGCAAGCUCAAAGCAUUGCAGAUUCUCAGCUUUAUGUGGUCCACAAUUUCUAGGCUACCUAAAGAAAUGGGGGAACUUACAAAUUUGAGAUCGUUGAAUCUAAGCAACUGCAAAAAGCUUCAAAGAGUCGAGCCUGUUGUCCUAGAACGCUUAAUCAAAUUAGAAGAGUUACAUAUGAAGGGAAGCUUUAAUCGAUGGAUGGGCAAAAAUGAAAAACCAUCGGAAUUGUGUAAUGCUGGGCUUGCCGAGUUGGGGAGCAUGACAAAGCUAAAUUCUUUGGAAAUAUCGAUUCGUGAUCCCAUCAUACUCUUGGAGGUUGAUGACCUGCCAUUUGAGAACUUGACUAGAUUUUGGAUCAACAUUGGAAAUGCUGAAGGAAGGGAAUUUAAAGGUUUGAGAACCAUGAAGAUCAAAUUGGAAGGGCAUGAUGGUAUUCUUUCAAAAAAAUGGGUCCUGAAAACUCUCCAAAAGACUCAAUACUUGCUUUUGGACGGAUUGGGAGAGUUCGAGAAUGCUCACAAGUUGUGCAUUCGAGGAUUUUCACAACUGAAGCAUCUCGACAUUCAGGAUAGCCCAUCAAUAAAGUAUAUUGCCAGUUCAUCCAAUAGUGCUUUUACGAUUUUGGAGUCUUUGUUCGUCAACAAUCUUAUCAAUCUGGAGAAGAUAUACCACGGCCACAUCGCCGCAGAGUGCUUUAGCAAACUAAAAGCUUUGAGAGUCAAAGUGUGCAACCAAUUGAAAUACUUGUGGUGUCUUUCACAAAUGCAAAAUCUUGUACAGUUAGAAGAGAUUAAAGUAUGGAAAUGUGACUCAAUGCAAGCCAUUGCAAGAAAAUAUAUAGUCCCUGCCGAUUACAAAGUUGAGUUGCCUUACCUUCGUCGUUUGGAUUUGGCUAAGCUACCAAAUAUGAUGAGUUUUUGCACAAGAGCUGAGAUGACUUCGGAAGGUGCUCCAAUUCAGGUAACUUUUUCAUUUUCUCCCGUGUCAGUUUGUCUUAUUGAGAGGGUAUAAGUUUCAUUCACAUACUACACAUUUUCAUUCACAUUCAACUAUAGGUAGAGGGAAGCCUCUUUCUAUGACUGUUUUUUUUUUUUUCUAUUUUUUUCUAUUUUAGAUAAUUGCACUAAUUAAUUGGGUUCAAGGGUUUCUACUAUGACUAAUUUAUUACUCAUGUCACAUUUUUAAUGAGUAGAAGAAACAGUGUAUUGAACGAACGAACCUUCGAUGAAUGAACGAAAUUGAAUAUUUUCAAAAUGAAUAAAGCAACCUCCGGAGAUUAAAUAAACCGAAGGCGAACGAAGAGUCACAUAACAAAGAAAGUCCACGUGGUUCAUGUCCCAACUUCAUGCAAGUUGGAACUGAUUCCCACAUAUCAUGCCAUCAUAACCGUGUCAACGUCAACUACUUUGGGGAUUUUUCCUUCUUCAUUUUCUCAGGCUUGAUGGAAGAUCUUAAGCUUUCCCUCUCCAUCCAAUUGAGUUUUAAAUAUUUUAUACCGAUCGAUUAAGUUUGCGACAUUUUUAAAAGCAAUAAUAAGCCCAUUCAUACACUUUGGGUCCAUUCAUAUUCUUUUAGGCAGGGGUUGUGGAUGGAGGAGGAGGAGGAGAUGAAGGGACAGAGCUAGUCACCACUACUUCAGAUUUACAAAAUACCUAUUCAGAUUCCUUCUUCGAUAGAAAGGUAAAUAGCCCUUCUCUUGAGAUUUUACCCACAAUAACCAUAGAUACUCAGUUUGCUACGGCAGGUAACAAUAUCUUUUUGAAGAAUCUUAUUUGGUUUUAUUUGUUAAAAUGUGUUAACAAUUUAUAAGUACAUUUAUCAGUGAAUAUUAAUUCUUCCACCACAUUAGAUUGGUGAUUAGGAUUUGCCUAAAUUGUCAAAUUUUUCACAAUUGUAAUCCAACGCAUGACUCUUAUGAGCAGGUUAGUUUACCGAACUUGGAAGACUUAGAGCUUGACUCAGUGGGAUCCUUCAAAAGGAUAUGGCACGAUGAACUUUCCAGAAGUUUCUUUUGCAAAUUAGCCACCAUGAGUGUCAAGAAUUGCUCCGACCUACUCCACAUCUUUCCUUCGACGAUCAUAAGGGAAUUGCACCACCUGAAAAGUGUUGAGGUUAAAAACUGUCCAUCCUUGAAAUCAUUGUUUGAUUGUAGAUCCCUGGAUUCAAAUACGGAACAAGCUAUGGUGUUGCUCCCCGAAUUGUUUAGCAUCAACGUUGAAAGCUGUCCCUCCCUAGAAUCGUUGUUUAAUUGUGGGUUGCUUGAUUCAAAUGCGGAACAGAAAAUUAAAUUGCUCCCCAAAUUGGAAGAACUGAGAGUGAGUGGAGCAAAAAAGUUGAGAAAUGUGGUCAUGAGCCACUCCCAAAUAGUUUUGGGUUUUCCUAGUCUUGAAAUUGUUAGUGUUGAGAAUUGCUCUGACCUGAGAUAUCUCUUUUCUAAUUAUAUGGCCACAAAUUUGGUGAAACUUGAGAGGCUAGAAAUUAUUAAAUGCGAACGGAUGAAGGAAGUGAUUCUCAAGAAAGAAGUUGGUCAAUCAAAGGCAGAAGUGAUGAGUUUCCCUUGCUUAAAAUAUCUAAGAAUUGUGGGGUGCCGUAACUUUGGAGCGUUCAUAUCGAGUCCCACAAGUGUCAAGAGGCAGCUAGGUGAGACGGCCGAAGAAAAUGAUGAAUCGCCACAACCGCUGUUCAAUGAGAUGGUCCGUUCUAUUAUUUAUUGUGAUCAUUUGGAUCCUCACAUUAUCAUGUUUUAUAAUGAAGAACAUAAUAAAUUUGUCUUACUUAUCCUCCUUUCUCACAUUAUCCUCGUGCAGGUCACAUUUCCCAAUAUAAGAAGUCUAGAUAUUGAAGGCAUUCCAUGCAAAGAGCUAUGGAACAACCAUGUUCUCAUCGAUUCUGUUGUUUGUUCUCAUCGAUUCCUUUUGGAAAGUGUCGAGGUUAAAAAUUGUCCAGCCUUGAAAUCAUUGUUUGAUUGUGGGCCCUUGGAUUCAAAUACGGAACAAACAACAGUAUUGCUUCCCGAAUUGGCAAGCAUCAACGUUGAAAGCUGUCCCUCCCUGGAAUCGUUGUUUAAUUGUGGGUCCCCUGAUCCAAAUGCAGAACACAAAAUUAUAUUGCUCCCCAAAUUGGAAAAAGUGAGAGUGAGUGAAGCAAAAAAGUUGAGACAUGUGGUCAUGAGUCACUCCCAAAUAGUUUUGGGUUUUCCUAGUCUUGAGACUGUCAGUGUUGAGAAUUGUUCUGAUCUGAUAUAUCUCUUCCCUAAUUAUACGGCCACAACUUUGGUGAAACUUGAGAGGCUAGAAAUUAGUAAAUGCGAACAUAUGAAGGAAGUGAUUCUGGAGAAAGAAGUUGGUCGAUCAGAGGUAGAAGUGAUGAGUUUCCCUUGCUUAAGUGAAUUAAUACUUAAGGAGCUUGAUAACCUGAUUAGUUUCGGUUCGGGAAGUUGUUCAUAUUAUUUUUCCUCCUUAAGAAAUCUAAGAAUUUUGGGUUGCUGUAACUUUGGAGCAUUCAUCCCAAGUCCCACAAGUGUCAAGAGGCAGCUAGGCAAGACGACCGAAGAAUUUGAUGAAUCGCUACAACCGUUUUUCAAUGAGAUGGUUCGUUCUAUCAUUUACUGUGAUCAUUUGUAUUCUCGCACUAUCAUGUUUUAUAAUGAAGAAUGUAUUGAAUUUGUUCUACUUAUCUUCCUUUCUCACGUUAUCCACAUGCAGGUUACAUUUCCUAAUAUAACAAGUCUGGAAAUUGAUGGCCUUCAAUGCAAAGAGCUAUGGAACAAUCAAAUUCCCACUGAUUCCUUUCAGAAGUUGAAAUUUCUCAAAUUGAAUAACUGUGACAAUCUUCAACGUAUUGCCUCUUCUUAUAUGUGGAAGAAGCUGCAGCGUUGUCUCAAGGAACUUGAAGUGGUUUCAUGCCGUUUGAUCGAGAUCAUAUACGAUGGUGAUGGGACAGAUACUGAGAGUGGUGAAUUGAGGAGGCUGGUUUUGCAUGAUCUCGAAAACUUGAGAUGCGUUUGGCAGUUAGACAGUCUCCCAACCAUCCCGUUCCCAAAUUUGAGAGAUGUAAAGGCCGUGAGGUGCCACCGUUUGGAAAUGCUUUUCCCUAUCUUCACAGCGAAAUUUCUCGGGCAAAUCGAAGAGCUGAUGGUGGAGUCAUGUGAAGAUAUGGAAAUAAUUAUUGGUCAUGAAAAAUGGGAAGAAGCAAUCGGCACCACAAUCACCUUCUCCGAAUUAAUUGUUCUUAGACUUCUUAAGUUGCCGAAAUUCAGGGGCUUCUUACCUGAGAAAUACUCUCUAAAAUUCUCGUGCUCCGAGGACUUCCCAUCCUUGCGAGUCUUGAGUAUAGAAAGCUGUGGAGCAGAGCCGGACCAAGUCCUUGGUGACUGGCUGGACCAAAUGCAACGAGAAUUGUGCAUGCUCGAAAGAAUUGAGGUAUUCCUUCAAUAUUUCAUUUCUCAGUGAACCCACACGUACUCUACAUCAUGUAGCCCUCUCUCUUCCUUUCUCUCUCUAGCUCUCUUCCUUACUCUCUUCAACUAACGAUUUGUCGAUUCCCUUUUAUACUCAGGAAUAGUGCCCUCUGGAGUCCCCUUGAUCUUCAUUCCUUGUUCAUUCUCCCUUUCCGUCGCCUUCCAUCGACCAACAGCCGCCAUCAAGAGUCCAUCGCUGGCCACCACACGACGUGGCACGCUGAGAAGGGACGAAUGACAAAGAGCAUUGCUCGAAGGCUCUUGGUGAUUUCAAUUGAAUCCUUUCCUCUCACUUUGCUGCUGGUCGUCACCGCUUCCCGAUCACCACCUGUUUCGCUGCCGCGAGGAAGUUCUGUAAUGCCGGAGUGCUCAAACUUUGAUCAUGACUGCCUGCUUCCACGACUCCAUCCCUUGAUGUUGCUUCUGUUAUCUCCUGGCUCAUGUCCGAUGUCAAUCGCCAUAACUAAUCGUUCUUCAUUCAACUAAACCAUGCAUGCUCUGUUUUCCAUUGCUAUUGCUACUAUCUGCGUGCAAAUUGACUGUGUGAUAGAGGCUAUAUUAAUGAUUUGAACUAGUGCUCCUCCGCUGAAAUGUGUACCAUCUGUUUGAUGAAAUUGUUUUGAACUAAAUUUGUGUGUAUUUUGAUUUAGUUCUUGACUAGAUUCUUGAUCUAUUCUGGUCAUACAAGCGUAUUUGAGUUUUGUUGCUUCAUAAGAAAAACCAUAGGUAUUCAAUUUCAAAUUUGUUUUGAAUUUGUUGGAAACUUGCCAGUGCAUGUUGAUUUGUGGCUAUUGUGGCCCUGAACUGAUGUGAUUCUGCUCAAGUAAGCAUGUGCAGUAAUAUAAGAUUGUGUUAUGGUGACUUUCAUGUUCGCUUGGGAAAGAAAUUAUGGCAUGAAUGAAUGAAAUUCUAUUGGAAAUCGAUCCGUAGAUGCAGACUCUGUCUUGAUAUGCCUGAUUUGGCGGGUUAUUGAUUCCAUCUUGAGACUAGUUUGGUCAUGGGAUCGUAUAUUUUCAUGCUAGGAAAGUAAUAUGGUGAAUCUCAUGCCAAUUUUGUGAGAAUUAUAGUCAUAUGGCUUGUAGGAAGAUAUGGCUUCAAUUUCAUGUCUAUUAGUCAUCAAAUGAUCACGAUUUGUAGUCAUGUAUGCUCUGUUACAAUUCUGAACGUGUGCUAGAAAUUUUUGGAAUGAGCAUGAAUCACAUGGAUUUUGUCUUUGGUUUGGUUGCCUUUUUGAUUGCUUGUGGAUAAAUGAUAUCGCGUGUGCAUUAUUAGAUUGAUGAAAUGCGUGCUUAUUCUUGGCCUUAUAAAUGAUUUAGAGGACUCCGAUGUUAAUUGAAGUUUAAUUGCAUGAUUCUUGCAAUUCCUCUGCUAGUACACAUAUUCUAAAGGUGAUCUGGUAGAUUGAGCUAGAUCCGAGGAAAUCUCUCAACAAAGCUGGUCAAUGAGACCCCUUGAAAUAUCGCACGUACGACGCUUGCCAACAAAGUACAUGUUUUCUCUCCCUCUCCUUCAAUGCUCACCUUUCAAGGCUUAUUUAUAAGAGCUAUUGCUUAAUCUAAUCGAUCCUUCAAGUGUGUGUGUUUGUGCUAACAUAGUGUACACAACACCAAUUGGAACCUACUCAUUCAUGAUGUCCUUUCCUUCCUUGGAGUGUUCACUGGCCACUGCUGUUCAAAAUGAUGUUUCAAAGAUACGACUUUUGUUUUCCUCCCUCCCUCAUAAAACUCGCAAAAGCAACCCUCACCAACACUACCAGUACCCCGCCCUUGAAAUCCAUCAAGACCUGCCCAUAUGUUCCCCCUGGAGUAGGUGCAUAGUUCAGAUUGUCUCCCCUAUAAUCCAUUCUGCAAUGGAACUGUAGAGCUCCAACUAUCUCCUCGCAGUAGGUCUCCCCAUUGAUUGUAGGUCCCCUGAUCUGAAAAAGUUGAAUCUUUCCCUCUAAGAGGUUCAUGCUAUAAAUCUCGAAUGGAAAACAUUUAGGCAAGAACUUGAUGAACCAUAUGAAUUUAUCUUAAUGUCCACACGAUAAUGUCAACUCAUAUGAAGCAUUUUAUACAACAAUGGCAUCGUGUGUCCUUUCCACAACUUGCUUUAAUUAGUAGAGAGUAUCUAUUUGAAUCAUUACUUUGUCAUGCUCAUGAAUGCUCAUUGCACUCAUAUUUCUUCAUUUCAACUGCUCAAAACAAUGAGAUUUAACCCAAAAUCACUAGAAAAUUUUGUUAUAUAUUAUUGCAUUUGUACACCGUCAGAAUCAAAUGCCACUAAUUUGACAUGAUUGAUCAUGUCGUGAGAGCAUCGGGAAGAGUGGUGGGCGAUCCGAGGAUUUUGCCGCCCACAUCAGAAAACCUUUCAAAACUGGCCAAAGGAUUGACUUUACCGUCUCUGCUCACAAGGAUGGGACACUGCAUCAGGUGCCCUCUCAUUUCCCUGGGAUCAUGUUGGUCCUCAUCCGCAUAAGCUUUCCAAUUCCGUUUGGCUAUUUUGUUCACCCUAUUUACACAAUCAAUGCUUUGAGGUUCCCUAAAGCUGUCCUCUAAAUCUCCCAAGUGCUCCACUCAAAGUGACAUCCUAUAAUCGUAAACCUGCAUAGCGUAAGUCAACAUAAUUAUACAAAAGCUUAAGGUUUUUGAAUGGAUGUCGCUGCACUCGCUCGGACAUACGCUUUGUAUAUGCUAUUCAAAUGAGAGGCUAACCCGAUGUAACUAACCUGGCCACGCGGAUGCCUCUUUUUCCCAGCCCAAGUGUGGCAUGGCUGAUAAGCCCCCAUUGCAAUUUCAGUGUCUCUUGAGCCAUCCAGAGAUCUUUGGUUGAUAUUUGCCGAUCCCAUGAUCACAUACUCAUCAUCUACUAUCAUUCCUUUGGCAUGCACAUAUAUCAUGAAUCUGCGAAAACUUUUGAACCAACGCUUGCAUGGAUAGAAACAACAGCAUGCUUCAACCAAAAGUCUUUUUACCACUCAUGCUCUUAAUGACUUUUUUCGUUUUGUUUUUUUUAACGGAUGAGUCAAAGGAAGAAUCCCUGAAAAGAGUAUAGACAUAUACCACGGAAUUAUUUUCGGAUUGUCGAUUCAUUGCUUGGAAUGAAGACUGUGAAGAGGACAGGGGCUCCCGCUUGCCUAGUCAGUAGAAGUUCAAGUAAUCCAGGGGAUGGUACUUGUGUGACAACCCGGCUCUUUCGAGAGCCUGGGCGAUAAUUUUGUACAUCAUUGUCAUGGUUUGUCCCUAUCCACAUUAUAUAUACACAUACGAUAAUAGUGAAUAUUAAUAUUUUUACAUCAUCAUAUCAAUAUUUUUACAUCAUCAUAUCUCUUGGAGAAAAAUACUAAAAUGACUGAAAUGGGGUCGGGUCCCAAAUUUCCCCUCUAAGUUUCUCGGCUUGGUCUGCUUGCAUCACUUCGUUUUUUGCUUAAUUCCGUUGGCAUGUUAUUUAUUUUCGAUUUGCUUGGACAUCAUCGAUUUACAUGUGUCAUCACUAUUUCUUUACAAGAUGAAAGAAUUUAUCCUUGAUCUGACCUGCCAGAAGAGAAUUUCCUGCACUGCAGCACUAGUAGGGGCACCCUCCGGCCAUGUCGAUAUCACUAUAUACAUACAGAAGCGCUCGUCUGCACUGAUCUUGCUUGCGAUCUUCAACGCCAGCUCCAUCAGCACUAAAUUAUUUGCAGCUGCAUGUCAAAACCAAAUCAAGCGUUGGUUGCCAUAUAAAAUUGAACUCAAGAAAUUAGAUAGGCCAAGACAAAACUAGAAAAAAAGGAGGAAAAAUAUGCAUUUAAAAAGUUCAGAGAGUCGGUCUCAAAAAUAUAACAUAUUGAAUCAGAAUGCACGCUUAAUGUCUUAUACAGUGAGUUCUAGCGAUUAUUAGCUGACACACAAUCCUCAGAGGGAGCCAAAUCCAUACACUCUUUACUGGAGGCAUUGUUGCUCGGUCAACUCAGUCGGUCGAAAUGAAUAGAAACGGGCAUCUUAUACCUGCAUUUUUGUAUGGUGGCCAACGAUAGCAAGAGCCAAGCAAAUAUUGGUUUUCAAUGUAAAUGAAGUGUUGUGCCGAUCUAAUUGCUUUCACAUACGUCUUGUGAAUACUCUUGUCUACUUUCAAGUUCUUUCCACAUAUAAGAUUCUGCAACCGUGAAGAGAUUGAAAGAAUGAACAUUAUUAAUUUGGAAUUCAAUCUCUACUCAAAAACACUAAAAACUCUGCAUAAAAAAGAAGAGUAACUUUCUAAUGUAAGAACACUUUUCAAGUUAUGCACAUAUAACAGCCAAUUGCAAAUCUAUCAAAAUGGUAUUAGCAGCUAAAAUUACUCGCUUUGCAGCUUCUUCAAUGCUCUUCGGGAAUCCCUUUACAGAACCUGAAUCAAUCGAUCUAAAGACCUACGCCAACAAAAAAUAAAAAUGAAAGAUGGUUGUCACACUUCAUUUGUUUACAAUUGAAGUUCCUUGAAAAUGGUAAUUAAUUUGAAGUAAAUUCUCCCGACCUGCACAUGCCAAUUUUCCGGGUUGUCUUCGUCCCUGACUUGUACUAUUUUUUCGCCAUCGGGCUUGUCAAGGGACAAAGUAUCCACAAAAUCCUGUCGAGCCUUAAGAGAGCAUUCUCAUAUGCCAACGCCUAACAUUUUUUGGCUUAUACUCACGCCACUUCACUGCCUUUCUCCAUCUAUGUACAAGACUCUUCAAUUUGUGUACACAGCUUGUCCCUCAACUUUGGAAUGUAGAUCAUGCCACGGUUGCCUUGGGACAUUGAUGGUGGACUAUAAUUAUCACAAAGAGCGAUUCCUUCUCAUGAUUAGAACAUAACAUAUACAUGUUAUUACAAUGCUAAAGGUAAACAUUAGCAUACUACUGUGAACGUGGGGUUGUGAAUGUUAUUCUUAAAGACCGUAUCAAGAUCGCUAUAGAGUUUGUGCUCCAGAUAGUCAUAUCGUCCAUCACAUAGGUCUAGCUUGCCAAUGAAUGUGGUUAUUUUGUAGUUGUUUCUCAAGGCUUGAGUGUCAAGAACCACAGACUUUUGGUAAUGCAAGGACAAGGUCACCCCACUUGGACUACAGAAUAUUGUAAAAUUCCCUUUUAGAACCGUCCUAAAUUUAUGUCAUUAGGUUAGAAAACACUUGAUAUGAUCUAGGACAGCAUGAGCUAGAUCAAUGAACUUUUGCGGAUUGCCUAAUGAGAGAAAAUCUUUGUUAUAAAAUUAUACCCGAUUGUAAUAAUCAGGUAAUAUACAACAAAAGCGGUGUUUUUGAUGCAAUCUAACGAUUAGAUUUUGAUUAAGAAUUGACCUAAACAUCUAAGGAUACAUACCUGUUGCUCGAAAAUGCUGAGUUUGGUACUUGCAUAACGAGGAGAAGGCACGCAGCCGAUGCCAGAGUGUCGGACAAACUUCUUCAUCUCUUCAUCAUGAGUUUGCAUCAUGUCAUCCUAUGCCACAAUAUGGCACGUGCCAAGUCUCAGUGAUGAGAGAUCUCAAUAAAGAACUAUCAUUUCCUAAGUCAUGGAUUUGAAUUUUUUUGGCCAAACGGUGCAUUGCACCAUAAAUGAGGAUACUUUUUCAAGAAAGAGCCAUUAUAUAACAUAUUUUUCCAAUUGCAUCUUGUAAAGGCAAGCCGAAAGAAAGAACCAUUAGAGGUCAAGAAUUUGUGUUAAAAAAAAAAUAGAAAACUUCUUAUACUGUAAACGUUCAUUAAGCCGAUAGUAAAAGAUGGAAAAUCUUUCACUGUCUGCGCACCCUUGAUAAAAGGAUGAUCCUUACUCUAUUGCACUAGCCCAACAAAUCAACAGUGAUGGAAGCCACAAGCGGGCAAAUUUUCUCAACCUAGUAGUACUCCAAUCAUCCCAAAAACCAUAGAGACAUUUCCAUGUUUUAGCGAUGCUUAAUUACACGUGAGUAUAGUCCAGUAUUACUGUCUUCAAAAGGAUCAACUCAAGCCGAACGCAGCGUGGUCAUUCACACAUAAAGUGCUCAUCUUGCAAGGGUUCUUAUAGGUCGGGAUUAUUGACACUUGAACUGUACCAACAAUGAAACAAUAAAAAGAAGAAUAACAAUAAUCAUAAAAAAUUUGUCAUACGCGACAGCUAAUGUGAUAGAAUUUUUCGUUCCCUAGGGCCCACCGCCGAUUUUCCCUUAUCUCUUGAAUUCGGUUAACCAAAGGGACAUUUUCGUCGUUUAAAUCAGGGCACUUUCGUCAUUUGGUGAGGAAGUUCUCGAUUCUGCUUCGCGUCCGUAGCCUUUACCGUCCUCUCUAGCUUCACCGAUGGCCGCUGGGUCCACCGGAAGCCGCCGUCGGCCUUCCGUCUCCGAUCACGGCAGAUGCACGGAGGGAGGCACACAACACACACGCACAAGAAACAAAGCUUGAUCCUGGAAUCCAAAGUUCAUUGUCGUUGAUUCGAGGUUCGCCGGAGGUGAAUCGACGUCGAUUCCACUGUUCAUGACUUCGAUUGCGGUUCCGGUGUCGUCUGGUUGCAGUUCCGAUCGCGUGCUGUUCUGACCACGAGGCGUUCCUGCGAUUCGUUCUUUCGUUUCAGUGAUCGGCGGAAGUUUUCGGUAGAUUCGAAUCGCAUGGAAAAGGACGCCCCGUCUCAGUUGACUCCAACCAUCGCUUACGAAUCUUCUCUCCACCGAUUGAGCUCUUCAAUUCUUACUCUAAAUCAAGCCCAAGAGUCGUCAUCUCGUCGAAUGAAUGUACGGAUAUUGCUCAGGAAGUGUUCAAUGAAAUGACUGAAGGAAUCCAUCCGUUAUUCUGUCCUGUUGGUGGCCGUUAGAAUCAAUGCUAUGAUAGUGAGGCUGUGCUCGCCGUCUGGAAAGUCGCUAAGUCGUCAUCUCGAGCUCGCGCCCUCCUCGGCACCAAUUCAUCAGGUCGUCUCUUCUCCAAUUAAACUUCGUUAUUGGUGUCGAUUUGUUCUAGACUCGUCUCUCUUGAUCUCUGUUCUGUUUAUUUUUUUUUUCCUCGCCUUUCACUUCUACCGCUUCGUCAUUUGCUGCGUCGUUGUGCCGAGACACUCCUCAUCGCCAAAAGCCAGAAGCAAGACUGCGACGGCAGAAGCCAAGGAGAUGCGGUCGCGAUUGCUUUCGAUAAUUCCGCUUGCGUAGCUCACUGCACAGAGGAAUCUAGUCAACUAAAACCUUCUACAAAGAACAAUAAUCAUUGAUGCAACACACGUAACGGUAAUCAUCAAUGUGCCAUUUUGAUACUAGCAACAUCAUCUAAAAGUAGUUUCGUCUGGAAAGCAAACCGACCGAAUAAGAAGGAAGCAACUGGAAUGACAUCAGCUGGAGCUUGAAUUCACGGAAACGAGCAGCGGCGGCAAUGAUCUGCAUCCGACGCUCCUAAAGGUCUUCUGGUAGAGACAUUGCUAGCCGAAGACAAUGAACGUGACUUGGUAUUCUGUCUACUCCAAGCUCAGCGUCGACGCAGAGAAGGCCAGGCCAGGCUAGGGGAAAAGGUUGAAAGGUGGGGAGUAACGGGGCUGAUGGGUCUUGGCCGCGGAUCAAAUCAAUGGGUUGCUCUUGUGGGCCGUGCCAGUUGGAUUAACUUUGGCCUUUUCUAUUUGUUAUUUAUUUUUAUCUUUCUAUUACUCUUUUUCUUUUGUUGUUUUUUACUUCCAUUCAUUGUUUUCAUGAUCAUUUUUAUUAGAAAAACGUGUGCUUAAUUUUUCGAUUAAAAUUUCGAUGGUUUCGAAUAUGUUUACCCUAAUUUUUUAAGAAGAACGUCAUGACAUCUCGAACAAAGUACAAGACGCUAUAUGUUUUGUUGUGUCAAUCUUUAGUAACCGAGGGCCAAAGUUGUUUUUAGAUAAAUGAGAAAUGGGCCCAAAAAAUGGGACAAUCCAAUUGAACAGAAUCGGGUAUGUGUUUAUGAAAUAUCGAUCUAUUGAAAAUGACUUAAUUUAUGAACUGUAUUCAUAUUGACCCAAGUCCAAUCUCACAAAGAGCACUACUACUACUACUACUACUACUACGAGAGAGAGAGAGAGAGAGAGAGAGAGAGAGAGAGAGAGAGAGAGAGAGAGAGAUGGCUGAGACUUCUUUAGUGAAAGAUUAUUCUUUCGUAUUUUUCUUUUGCUGUUUGUGGAUUCUUUUUUAUUUUCUUUAAAGUUUCAAAAGUGAAGAAAUGAUGAGAUGAUUGAGGAUUCCCCCAUCUUCUUUGUAAAAAGAUAUGACCACUAAUUUAUUUGUCAGAUCACCCAUAAAUGAGUAAUCAUCAUUAUCAGGAUUUUACCAAUGUAUAAAUAAAUUGGUAAAUUAUGAGCUCUUCUAUUAUUUUACAAGUGUCUUUACCAAUAUAUCCAAUAAUAUAAUAAAGUCACCAAUAUUCCACUAAUAUAGAGGCCGACCGACUUCGUUGAAAUUUUACAAAUGUUUUUAGUAAAAUACCAACUCAAUAAGAAAUCUGCCAACCUCCUAAUAAAUCAGCGAAUCAUCAGUUUUUUCCAUGUUGGUAAUUAUUAGACUAACAAGAUGAGGAAGAAAAAAAGAAGGAACAAAUAAAGAUGAGAUAGUGAACAUAGGAUUUAAGACAUGGCAAAGAGUCGAGGAAAAAGCAAAUAUGUUGUGGGCCCACGGAACUCAUCGCGUAAGGGAGGAAGGAACUCAUUUUGUAUUUGCCCCUCUCUUUCCUCCCACUUUUAAGAGCAAUAUAUUUUGUCUACCAUUCUUUUCACUUCUUCCGCAUUUAUUCUAGCCCAACAAUGGAAGCAGUUCCUUCGAUCUUUAUUUUUGAUUCCUAAAACCCGCUUUAUUCAAUGGAAUGGCCCGAUUCGAUUCUUUUAUGCGUCGUGCUCUCAAAAGAAAAAAUUAAGGAGGCGAACAUUUUUUUUUUUGGUAAAGAGGAGGCGAACAUUUGGAGUGGCUUUUUAUCCAUAAAUAAUAUCUUCAUAUUGAUGUGAAAUUUGAAAUGUACAAAUUCCUCUAUAAAUAUGUGUUCUCAUCGAUAGCAAUGUGUAUCGACUUGACUAUAGAUGCUAUGAUAAAAAUGAAGAAGUAGAUAUAAGCUAUAGAUGGUAUGCGUGGAAAAACAAGGUGGAUGAGCGAGAUGACGUCUUCAUCCUCUGUAAUAGCGCAUAAAGGUAUUUUAUAUAGGAGGGAGAGGUUCUGAUUUCUUUCACUGAUCAAUAUCUUGUAAUUAUUUAUCUUAUAUUACUUGUUUUCUUAAUAUAGAACUUGAAUACCACGGCUAAAUAUGGAACAUAUAUCUUUUUAAUUAGAAUUUUUAAUUAGGUCCACGGUCGGUAGAAAAACAUCUUCUAUCACGUCGCUACAAUAAUUAUAUGUGCAUGAUGACUGUUUGAUUAUAUCAAGUGAUGUAAAUUUAUGGAAUGUAUGUAAGUAGAUUUUCCCAUCAAUUAAAACUAUUUUUGUUUUGGGUAAUUGACCGAAUUAAAUGGUUGCGUUUUUUUUUUUUUUUUUAAACUUGCUUCUGUUAUUCGUAAAACAAUAUGUACAGAUUUGGGACUAAAUAUGUCAUUAAAUAUGGUAGUGCACAUAUUAACAUGAUGCUUCCAAGCCUUUUCAGCAAUCCUUUUGAAUUUAUAUUUUAUUAGGUGUAUAGGUAGAUGCAUGUAUUUUUUUUUUUUUUUUUGUUCUUGGAUGAAAGAUAUUCUUUACUCUUAUUUUCCGAUGAUUGAGUUCUGACUACUUUUGGUGUAAUUAAUUAUAUGCUUGGAGAUCUAGGGACUAAAUAAUUUCAUAUACAUUUCACAUGUCAUUAUUGUAAAUUUGCAUCUAAGUAAAAGAAAGAACAAUAUUUACAUUUCAAUCAUUCGAUUUAAUUAAAGAAACUGAAAGAAAAUGCACAAAUUAUACAAAGUCCUUAGUAAUUGCCAUCUACAGUGUGAGUUUGACAUAACGCCAAGCUCCACCAUGUUCGACCAUUAACAUCAGUCUGCUCUUUUCUUCUGUUUGGUGUAGCGCCGCGUUUGUCUUCCUUCUCCUCCUCUGCGUUUUAGAGAGAGAGAGAGAGAGAGAGAGAGAGAGAGAGCAGCGGCAGCAGCAGCAGCAGCAGAACAACGAUGGUGAACGUGGGGUUGGUACGUGUUAGGGAGGGAGAGACACGUAAGAAUAUGGAGUUUGCAAAGAGAAGCGUCGGGUUUGUGAUGAAUUGUUCACGUUAUAUUCUGCGGAGAAGAGGGUCGUUUACGUGGAGGUUAAUACCAAAGAGAGGUCAGAAAGAAGUGGUCAAGCUCGACUGUUGGAUAAUCUGUGAAAUAGAGUCACAUUAAGUUGACGGUCUGUGAGGAGAGAACCUUCUUGGAGCACUGAAUUCUCCAACUCACUCCAUCCUCUUUUCUCAAUUUGACCUCCACCGAACCUUAAGAGAAUAUCUUGACCUCAGCAAAUCCCACUAUCUCCUCCCAAAAUGGCCGAGAAUCAUGUGCCAAAUAUGUGGCCAUAUAUCAUUCCCUUUUGUGAUGAUUCCUCUUGUUGGCCGAAUGAAUCAAUCGCCUACCAUGAUGGGCAAUAGCUUAAGAGUUAUUCACAUUCUUUCCUUGUCGAUCUUAUUCUCUAAUUGGAAGCAUCACUCGACAUGCAUGCGAAAACUUCGGCUAAGCCAAAUGGGGUUUGGCUGAGUUCAUUCGUAGGGGUCCAUACUCAUGUGGGCUUAGUCUUAAAAAUUCAAAUGAGUCCAAAGUCAAGCUUAUUUUGCAUGUUGGGUUAAUUCGAAUGCAAUUCAUGACUGGACCAAUUUAGAUGAAAUUUAUUUGAUGUGGACAUGCUAUUACUAAACGAAAGAUGUUCCCAAUGCCUAAUUGCAAUGUGAAUGCAAAAUUACGUCUUUUUGUUUAGGGUGAGCUUGAUCCCUAAUUUUCCAAUGAGUAAAUGAUGAAUUUACGAGUCAAAAAUUAGGUGUUAGCAGAGAUCGACCAAGAUAGGGAUGUAUUGGAUGUCUCUAGGAUCUACCAACCAAAAGAAGAACUUAUGAAAAUUGAUUCCUCAUAUGGUAUCUCAUCGAUUUGAUGGUUGAUCGUAAUUUGGACAUUUUAUAACCAAGGAAGUCCGAAUUAUAUGCAUGGUAUGAACAAAAGGCAUCAAAUGCACAAGUAUCAUAUGGUUAAUGUGUAUGCAACUCAGUGGAAGAGAUUCAUUUAUUGACAUAUCUAUGUGUUCUUGAGAUUAAUAUUUCAUAAAAUGCUAGUCCUUGAAUCAAAUUUAGUGAUUCAUGGUAAGCAAAAUUAGAAAGUGGUUUUUCUUUUUUGUUGUUGGUGCCGAAUGUGAUGUCCGAUGCAUAUAUUCAAUUGAAAUAAUCAAAAAAGAUGUGAACACCUUAGAAAUCAAUGUCUUCUCCAGAUUUGACAGAGAUAACAUAAUUUUGCUGUAGUGAUCACGAAUAGAUCCUAUAGGAUGUCAAGUGCCAAACAAUAGUAAAGCCUUUUCCUAAAUUCCAAUAGAAAUAUCAUCCAAAAAGCUUCAUUUGUACUUUCUUCCAAAAGUUUUUUGAAUCUUGUUGUGACAUCCUGAUUUUCCAAUUUUGGUUUCAAUUAAAUAAGUCGGGCAUUUCAUCUUCGCGUCUAUAGCUUUCUUCUCUGAGUUGGCCACUCACGAGAUAACUAGUCUAUCAGGUGAAGCCGUUAAGGAAUCUAAACGCAAUAGACUUGAGAAUUCGACCAGGAACCGACUGCUCGACCGUACUAAUCUGCAAGGGUCAUUACGGCAUAGACCGAUUAGAGACCGGAGAUAGGUCGAUUCAACAGAACCAUGUACUUUGUGGCUUGAAAAUAAUCAACCACAGGUCAAUUGCACAGAAAAUUCCUAAAAGCUACCCGGUAGAUUAGGACGCACUAAAGUCGCACCAGAUUGAAUUUAACCGUGAAAUUGAACCCAAUUACAGAAAUUGGAAGUUCUGUCAAGUCACAAUUCAUUUUAGGAAUGUCGACUCAUCUCCAGAAGAUUUUUCUACAAACCGAGAUUUUUGGCAGAAAAGCAAAGUAAUGCCGUUUUUGUUCAGGAUUGUCAGAGGGCCAUUUUUAAUCGAAUCUUCGGGAUGCAAGUUGGAUCAUUUGACGGGGAAAUGUCAUGAGAAGGCUGAGGACACAUGGGUUGAUUUAAUUGAACUUCAAUUGGAUGGAAUUGAGUGAGAAUUGAUUGAAUUUGAUGUACAAAUGUAUGAAAUUCGUAUACCAUGGGGGGAGAGCUAUUUUGCACCUAUUGGCAAGGUUGUGGAGGAAGAUUGAGGAGAGAGAGUGGAUGAUGUCAUGUGAUGUCAUGGUGGGGGCAAAGCAAAUGAGGUUUAGACAAGUGUUGAGCUCUAGUGAGCCACCAAGGAGGCCCCCCUCUUCAGCAGACCAUCUUCUUCCUUCAUUCAUGGCUUUCUCCAUGGUUGAGGCUUAGGAAAAGCUCAAGAGAACCAGAGGAAACCGAGCUCACCAGCCCCUCCAUCGUCGCACGCCCGGAAGGCCACCGUCGGCCGUUUUCCUCCCUUGUUUUCCCCUCGUUCCAGUUUCUGCUCCAGCCGACCUUUCGCCAAAGAUCCGAGUAAAAAGUUAACUUCCCGGUUGAAUCAGCGAACGAGCCACCCAUCGCCGCGAAGAAGACAUCCAGACCGUUCCGGAGCACCUCGCCGCUCGCCGGAACGAUUCUCCAGCCGUCCCGUACGGCCGCCCGAAGCUGCCGCUCGCCGGACCGUCUGGUUCCGCCCUGCUCCGCCUGUUCCGCGUUUUCUUGCUGUUUCGCCCCUUUCCGACCCUUCCUUUGCCCAUCCCAACCUCCUACAAGAUCCCCAAGACCCCCGGGAGCCAUUGGUUGCCAACCACCCGCUUGCCGGAGCUCCGAUCGGCCCGUUUUCGCCGUUGAAGUUGCUGGUUUCUUCUCUGCAGUUCAGUCCAGAUCAGAAGCAGAAAACCAGAAAGCCGAGAGGUCUUCGAGGCCCGUUUUCAGUGUCUUCCCGGCCUUGGUUGGUGUCGCCGCCUUGAGGUUUAUCGCCCGCCUUGGUGUCGGGGUCGCCGUGAACUCACCGGCGCGCAAAACCGGUGAGUUUAUCCUCUAAUUCUUGCUUAGUGAGUUAAUGACGCUUAAGGGGUGCUUAGAUUAGUCUAAUUAGGUUUAGGUGGUUAGAUUAGAUUAUUUUAAUGUAAAUUAGAUUAGUUGUGUGAUUAGUUUAAUGGAUGUUUAAUUAGGGCUAAUUGUAUGUUUAAAUUAGUGUAAUCUAGUUUAAGCCCUAAUUAAUUAUUUUUAAUUAAAUAAUUAUUUCGAAUUUAUAAAUAUUAUUUUAUUAAAUUAUAUUAUUAUUAUAAAAUAAUAUUUAAUUAUUUAAUUUUCGGAAUUAAUUUAAUUAUUUAAUAAUUUCGAAAAUUAUGCCGGGAUGGCCGGUCAUUAGAAUUUCACGCUGAUCGCAGCAGUGCGGUCGGUUUGUGUUAAUUGUAUGUUUAAAUUGAGAAAUUGAGUGAUUGAUGAUUAUGGUGAAUAAUUCCAAAAGUGUGGAAUUGUGUGAAAUUCAUGAAGUUGUGGUAUUUAACUUGAAAAUACCCGGUGUUAGCUUUUAGCACCGUAAUUGGUUUGUAUGACCAGUUUGAAUCGAUUGAAUUGAUUGAUUGAUUGAAUUGAGGUAUGAGUUGGUUUAUUAUUGAAUUAUCAGCUUUGGCGAGCAAUUGGUUUAUAUAUGUAUCACCUUGUGUGAGCAUCAUUGUCAGCUUAUGAGAGCAAUGAUCAUUUAUCAGCUUGUGAGAGCAAUGAUCGUUUAUCAGCUUGUGAGAGCAACGAUCCAUAUAUCAGCUUGUGCGAGCUACCAUCUAUAUCAGCUUGUGAGAGCAUUGCAUCCAAUUCAGCUUGUGCGAGCCAUAAUUGUAUUGAUGGAUGAAUAGAUGGUAUGGUUUAAUAGAUGAUAUGAAUUGAUAGAUGUGUGGAUCGUAUGACAUCAAUUGGAUUGACUGAAUUGAUAGACCGAUGGGUAUGUCGGUAGUUUCAGCUUGUGCGAGCAUUGUUGAAUAUGAAUUGUACUGACGUGCAGGAAGGAAUUGAGGCGAGGUAAGUCCUCUAUCCUAUUUGUGUGGCUAGAGCGCCCUGAGGCGUAUUUUCUUCCUAAUUGAGUUUUAGAUUGAGACGUAGUCUCAUCCCGGUUGUGGGAUAAUAUUUCAGGUCCCUAGAUGACGGUCGUGGAGGACCGGAAGUUCUGGAGUUCGGAAGGUGGAGGCUGAAGAAUCGGCAAACGUGUCUGACAAGUUGGUCAUAGGACAGUUCCCUAGUUGUUGAGCCUAUCUAUUUUGUAGACCAUCCAGUGUUGUAUAUAAACCUAUGUGUUUAUAAGAAAGCUUGUUUGGUUGUGAUUGAUUGCCUGCUUUUCUAUCCCAAGUUAGAUGUUGUCAGGGGAUUUGUUUCGCUUCCGCAUGCGUAAUAAAAAUGAAUGGGUCGGCGACGUGUCCUGGGAAGUCGCAUUUCUAUCGACCGCAGAGGGAUGUGCGCGCGCUCGGAGGAUCGGGGCGUGACACUUGUAAUAUAUAUUACGGCUUUGUAACAACCGUAGUAGCUAUCGCAGCGAGAAAACACCGUAACAUGUGGUACAUUUGUGGUAGACUUGCAAUAUACUAAUUAUAUUGCUUUGAACAGGCCAUAUAAUUGACAACUAAUUCUUCGAUUGAUUAAUAUGUUUUGUCAGGGAACAUAAAUUUCAACCUAUGGGAUUCGGCAACUGUCAAGGUGGUUAGUGAAUUUGAUAUGAAAAUUAAGUAUCGAUAUAUCAUGGUUUUAUACUAUGUAUUUUUUUUUUUGACAAUGAUAUUUAAGUUUACACGUUGAAAAAAGUGGAUAUGCAUCCAUUUGCAACUUGUACUAUUCCAAAGCAACUGAAGAGUUUCUUGGAUCAUAAGUAACAUUCAACAUACAUGCAGUAAGUAACUUUUCAACUACAAAAGUGGUAUCAAUAAAUGUAAGGUUUGUAAUUAUUGAGCAUCAAUUAGUAACUUUUCUUAGUAACUUUUCUUAUUUAAAAGGUGAGUUUGUACCCUUUUUCUAUGACAAGGAAGCCCACCCUCCUAAGUAAAACAUGAACCCAUAAAAAUACCCUACUAAUAUCAUAAAUCAUGUAAAAUGUGAGUUAAGAUCCAGAUAGAUGGUCCAAAUAUAAUAUUAUUUGUAUUUGGUAGUGUGGGAAGAUGGAUAUUUGUAACCAUUUGUAAACUAUACCAUUGAUGAUGGUUUGUAUGUUUAUACGAGGAAAAGAAACUUCUCCAAGUGAUUAGUAAUUUUUCACGUAGAAAAGAUAAUUUUAAAUUGCCAAGUAAUUACGACAAAUUAUCUUUUUAUUUGAAAAGUAAGUUUCUACCCCUUUUUCUAUGACAAGGAAGCCUACCCUGACUAGUAAUACAUGAACCCAUAAAAAUACUCUAUUGAUAUCCUAAAUCAUGUAAAAUGUGAGUUAUGAACUAGGUAGACAGUCCAAACAUGAUAUUAUUUGUAUUUGGUAGCAUAAGUAAAUAAAUAUUUGUACCCAUUUAUACACUACUAUUCAUGAUGAUUAGUACGUUUAUAUGAGGAAAAGAAAUUUCUCGAAGAGAUGAAUAAUUUUUCUCAUUGAAAAGUAAAUUUCAACUUACCAAGAAAUUAGGACAACUUUUUUUUUUUUUUUUCGCAACGGUGAGUAGCUUUAAAUCUUGACAAAAGUAAUGGAUGAUUGUAGUUUACCAGUGUCUUGUGAAUUGAUUAGUAAAUUUUGUUAAUCAAAUGUAACUUUCAAUCUAUUAGGAAUCAGAUGCUGAAUAGGGAGACGAACCCUGAGACCGGCCAUUGUCGGUUAAAGAGCUGUCCUUUUUAGAUUCUUCUGGGAGAACUGGUGGAAUGGCGGCAACCUGCCACGCGUUACCGGCUAUUCGCGGUUGCUCCUUUUCUUAAGCUUCACACAUCCGCUUCGCCUCGUCUCUCAGCCCUGUUCUGUCUCUGUUAGCGUUUGAUUUUCAAAAGAUGAUAUUCUCUGUUUGAUUCUCUGGUCCCAAUUUGAUUUUUGCCCCCACCAAGUUGUUGCCUUCCAGCUCCAUUUCUUGUCAGAUCAAAAAAAAAAAAAAAAAGCUCCAUUUCUUGAAGGUAAUUCAAUAUUCUUCUUCUCUUUCUGUUCUCUUUCCUCUUCCUAAGUCAUUUCCUUUGUGGGUUCUGCAGUCCCGCCUUCCUCGGCAUAUAUAAAUUUUUAACUUUCUUCCUCCACAAAGAGAAAAGAAAGAAAACCAGACAAGUAGAAGUCGAAAAGGGGGAAAAAUGGUGGAUAUUAUUAUAUCUGCAGCUUCCAAGGUGGCAGAGUACCUGGUGGCUCCAGUCGGUCGUCACUGCGGCUACGUGAUAUUCUCUAACAGCUAUAUUCGCCAACUUAACGAUGAAGUUGAGAAGCUGAAUGACGCCAGGGUCGGGAUCCAGCGUUCCAUCGAUGAUGCUCAAAACUGAUAUUGCUAGUGUAAACACCUAGAGGGGGGUGAAUAGGCGCACAAACUAUUUUUCUCAAAUACGUAUGCAACAGAUUGAAAUACGAUCGAUGUAGAGAGAGUAAGGAAGAGAAAAUCAAACACAGGAUUUAUAGUGGUUCGGCUUAUUCCAAGCCUACGUCCACUCUUCCGCACUGACAGCCCACGGGCUGGAUUUCACUAUGAUCAAAAGAGGAGUUACAGCACAGUUUUGCCUUGAUUCCAUAGUGUAGAUAUUCUAUCACACCUCCUCAAGGUCUCUCACAAAUAUAGACUCUCUUUUGUAUACAAGUAUUCGCUCAAGAGAUUUAUCUAAACAAAUAGGAGCUUCAGACUUUGGAAUUUUUCUAUCGCGCACACUCUCUUAAACAACUAAGAACGUCUUCCUUAUAUACUCCUUUAUGCCAUCAUACCCGUUGGCACUUUCCAAAGGAAUUCCUCCAAUCUACCCGUUGGACGGAAUCAAUUAGGAAGAUCGUUCGAGCUAUUAAAGGAACGUGUUGAUAGCCCAUCAAUCCUGUUCGCCCAUACAAUCAGGAUCUCGGUUUCCAUAAGCGAAACCUUCCAAUAAUAUUUAGACAAUCAUCGAAUCUUCAGUCAUUGAAUCAAUCUUGAUCAAUCAAAGGAUUCUGAUACGUCUUCUCUAGCCACGAGAUCUUCUCCAGAUGAUAAGGUUAAAUCCCAAACAAAACAUCCAGUUCGGGAUAACCUUUCUUCAACAGAUCAGAGACUGUCAAUGAGGAUAGACUUUGAGUCUUGAGUCUGGCAGUCUGGAAGUCUUCAGACUUUAACUGGCAGAGUCUGCAGACCUUCAUACUAGACUGACGGAAACAUUUUGUCAACUUCAAAACUCUUCACGAGGAUUUCUCCAACAAAAACAACAUGAAGGAGAUAAAACGCGAAGUUGACAGAUGGAAGAAUAAGGCAGAGACCGUCGCCGACAAGGCGCGUCGCAUGCUGGAUGAUGAUAGAAGAGCCAACAGAACUCGCUUCUGCGGGUGGCUUCCCAACCCAAAGGAGCGUUAUUGUCUCGGCAGGGACGCAAGGAAGACAGUCCAGGCCAUCCAAGCACUCAUUCCUCAGGGUAAAUUCGAGAGGGUCUACUACGAGAGUGCUCCGCCGGGGCAUGUCGCUAGCCCUCCCGAGGUGAAUUCCUCUACCAGUGAUCGGGGUGACACUGUCACCGAUUCACGAGCUUCCUUCUUUGAGGGCAUAAUGAAUGAUCUGGAUGAUGAGAAGCUCAAAGUGAUUGGGAUCUACGGGCCUGGCGGCGUGGGGAAGACUACGCUCUUGGAGGAAGUCCAGAAGAAACUCAGGAACGAGAAGAGACUGUUCCACCUGAUUGCCACAACGACUAUAUCGCAGACUCGAGACUUGAAGAAAAUCCAAGAUGACAUUGCUUACGCCUUGAGUCUGGAUCUGAAGAACGAGACAAGCGAAGUUGGAAGAAGAGAUCUUCUGUUUCGGAAAUUACAGAGCGAUCCGACAAAGAAGGUUCUCAUAAUAUUGGACGAUCUGUGGGGGCCACUUGAUUUGAAGGCGGUUGGAAUUCCUGCGGGAGACGAGAGCAGGGGAUGCAAGUUGCUGUUAGCAUCAAGAUUUAAAGAUGUGUUGGAGCAAAAGAUGCAUGCGGAUAAAACAUUUCAUCUUGAAGGUUUAAACAACAACGAAGCUUUCAGGCUAUUUGAAAAGAUAGUCGGCGACAAGCUCAAAGACGAGGAAUUGAAAGCAAUAGCAGCUCAAGUGGUCGAGAAGCUCCUAGGUUUGCCUCUUUUGAUUAUCUCCGUCGCAAGCACUUUGAAAUACAGCCGUGUGUCCGCAUGGAAAAACGCAUUGAUAAAAAUAGAGGACUCAAAUAUAGAAACCAUAGUAAAGCUGAGUUAUGACCAUCUGAAGAGUGAGGACGCCAAGUCCUUAUUCUUGCUCUGUGGUCUUCUUGGUGGGACCAUUCCAGUCGAACUUCUGCUGGGACUAGGCAUGGGGUUGGGCUUGUUUGAGGGAUUCAAUAACACGGUAGAAGAUUCAAGAAAUAGAUUGAAUACUAUGCUCGAUAGCCUCCGUUCUGUUUGUUUGUUGCAAGAUGAUGGUGAUGACAUGGAGACUGUGACCAUACAUGAUCUUUAUAGUGAGGUGGUUGUCUCAGCUCCAUUUAGAAGUCAGAAUUCCUUAAUGAUGAACAACUCUUAUGUUUCGUGGCCAAAAGAAAAGCUUGAGAAAUGUUGGGCAAUAUGCCUUGUUAAUGAUUACGGUGAUGGCCUUGCUGAAAAAAUGCGGUGUGCGUUUCCCGACUUGAAGAUAUUCGUGUUGUCUCAGAUAGGGUCGUUCGUGACACCUAUACACCGACAUGAUGUGAGAGAUUGCUGUGGACUAGAUUUCACAAGCAUGGAGCAGCUCCAAGUCCUAUAUCUUCGCUUCAUACAUAUCACCAAUUUACGUUCCUCCAUUGGCACCCUCAGGAACCUCCACUCAUUAUACUUAGACUAUUGCAUUGUGGACGAUGUGGCAAUUCUUGACAAGCUCGAAACAUUGCAAAUUCUCAGCUUGGCAGGAUCUCAAAUUUCUAAGCUACCUAAAGAAAUUGGGGAACUUAGGAAUCUGAGAUCGUUGAAUCUAUAUGAUUGUGACUCGCUUAUGAUAAUCGAGCCUGGUGCCUUGAAAGGCUUAGUCCACUUGGAAGAGUUAUAUAUGAGGGGAAGCUUUAGUCAAUGGAUAGUCGAUGAUGAAAUACCAACGGAAUCGUAUAAUGGUAGGCUUGUUGAGUUGAAGAGCUUGAGAAAGCUAGCCUCUUUGGAAAUAUCGAUUCAUGAUCCCAUCGUACUCUUAAAGGAUGAUGGCUUGCCAUUUGGGACCCUGAUCAGAUUUUGGAUCAACAUAGGAAAUACUUACGGAAGGGGAUUUCGUGGUUUGAGAACCAUGAAACUCCAAUUGAAAGGAUGCGAUGGUAUUCUCUCAAAAGAACGGGUUCAGAAAACUCUGCAGAAAACUCAACACUUAUAUUUGGAUGGAUUGGGAGAGUUCAAGGAGAAUGCUCAUGAGUUGUGCAUUCGAGGAUUUAAACAACUGAAGCAUCUCGACAUUAAGAACAGCCCCUCAAUCAAGUACAUCACCAGUUCAUUAAAUGACCUUCUCACUGCAUUUACGGAUUUAGAGUCUUUGUUCCUCGACAAUGUUAUUAAUCUGGAGAAGAUAUGCAAUGGCCCUGUCACACCAGAUUGCUUCCGCAAAUUGAAAGUUGUGUGUAUCGAAAAGUGCCACCAAUUGAAAAUUUUGUGGUUCCUCUCAGAGAUGCAAAGACAUGUACAUUUGGAAGAGAUCAAAAUAUGUGAAUGUGACUCAUUACAAGCCAUUAUCACAGGUGAUGUAGGAAAAGUAGAAGUUGAUGUUGAUGACAUGAUUGAGUUACCUAAUGUACGACGUCUAGAUUUGCGUAAGUUACCAAAAAUGACGAGCUUUUGCACUAGAGCUGAGGGUGCUCCAAUUCAGGUAACUUUUUCAUUUUCUGGGUAUAAAUUUCUUUAAUUCUUAAUCUUGCAAACAAUACCUAGAUUAUACUAUUAUAGGGGGAUUUAGGAUAAGAUGAUAUUGGUGUUCACCGAGCCUCAGUGAAUAUUGCAUUAUUUUGAUUAUUUGUACAUCUUGAAACACAUAAAAAAUCCUUUCAAAGAAAACACAGACCAUACAUUUUUAUUUACAUUCAACUAUAGCUAGGGGAAGCCUUUUCCUACGAUUUUUUUUUUUUCAAUUUGUUUCAGUGUUAGAUAAUUGCACUAAUUAUUUGGGCUUUAGCAUGGGUUUAUACUAUGACUAAUUGAUUACUUAUUUAACAUUUUUAAUGAGAAGAAAAAACAUUAUACAUAAUGAAUCUUAAACGAAUGCACGAAAUUCAACAAUUUCAAAAUGAAGAAAGUGAGAGAAUAAAUAAAUAGAAGGCGAACUAGUAGCCACAUAACAAAGAAAGUCCACAUAAUUCAUGUUUCACCUACACGCAAGUUAGCAAUUGAUUCUAACACGUCAUGCCAAUCUCACCAUGUCAACAUUGUUCUGCUUCUGUCAUCCCUUCGUCUCAAUUAAGUUUUUGACAUUCUUAAGAGACAUCAAACUCAUUCAUAUAUUUAAGUUUCUUUUGUUUCGCUGAAAAUUCAUUGUUGCUGAAAAAUGUCUUCCUGGCGAUUCAUUUUUCUUGUUUUCUUGUAUUUGGUUCUGCUGAAAACACAAUUUGAGAGAAACUAACCCAAAUAGAUCAUAUAUCACCUGUUCAUAAUGAAAAGCAAUAAGUUAACAAAUAAUUUAUUAAAAAUUUAACUCCGACAUGAAUUUGUCUUUAAUUUUGAAGGUCAAAAUAGAAAAACGAAAGAAAAGAUAACAAUUACGAUGACAGUUGUUUUGAAGAUCAGUAGAUGAUUUCAAAAGAAAAGAGAAAAAAAAUUAUGGCCAUAGCUUUGAAGAUCAGCCAAAUCAAAGAUAACAACUAUGAUGACACGCGGGAGCAACAUGAUAGUGGUGACGAUAUCUUCCUGAAAAUGAUUUUUCUUUUCAUGGAAGAGAAAUUCAUUUUCUUGAAUUUUAGCCUGAGAGUUUCAGUCAUUUUCUAGUAUCCAAAUACAAGAAAAAUUCUAAAAGCAUUUUUCUAAAAAUAGAUUUACUUGCAACUUACCUUUAAUGAGUUUGAUUGUGGUGCUUUGUUAGGUUUCAUUGCCUCGCUUGGAAUCCCUAGUAAUGGUUGGACUCCUUGGCCUAGAAAAGAUACUCCACAGUGAACCCUCAAUAAAAUUCAGUGGUUUGAAAUCACUAAAGAUAAAAGAAUCUAAAUCCACAUUGAGUAUUCCGAAAGAUUGGAUACUAAAGCUACCAAAUUUGGAGUCAAUGGAAAUUGCGAGCUCUCCAUUAGCAGAAUUAGUUUUCGACCUGGAGGAGCUAAAAGUCACUGGAGAAGUCGAGAUUCUCUCUCGACUAAGUACAUUGGCAUUAUCUAAGUUGCCAAACCUGUGGCGCAUGUUGAAACAAGAUGUACAAUUACAAGGAAUAUCGAUAUUUCGAAACUUGAAGGAGCUCUCUGUCUGUAAAACGAGGCUGUCAUUUCUCUUUUCAAUGUCUGUGGCUAAAUGUCUUAGAGAAAUUGAAGACAUUAAAGUGGAGGAUUGUCCAAAUAUGAAGACGGUGAUUGUGGAUGAAGAAGGAACGGAUGAUAUUAUAAAGCUACCACUAUUGAAGCGACUAUCUAUAACGCGUUGUCCCACAGAGAAAUUCUUCUCAUAUCCUCAUGGAAAGAAAUAGUCAAUAACCGCUACUUCAGAUUCGCUAGAUGCUUAUUUCGAUUACUUCUUUGAUCAAAAGGUACAAAUCCCUUCUCUUUAGAUUAUACCCAUAAUAGCCAUAGGCACAUGCUUGCAAGUCAAGUAAUCAAAUCUCUUUGAAGAUCUUUAUUUGGUUUUAUUAAUUAAAAUGCGUUCAUAAUUUAUAACUAUAUUUGUUAGAUAGAUGCCACUAAUGGAAAAUUCAUUCUUCCACCACAUUAGAUAGAUUGUUGGAAAUAGGCCAAUUUCACAAAUUUUUCAUAGCUACAAUUUGACGCAUAGCUCUUGUGAGCAGGUUAGUUUGCCAAGCUUGGAGGAGUUAAAGCUUAAGUCAGAAGGAUCCUUCAAAGGAAUAUGGCAUAGUGAACUUAUGGAAAAUUCCUUCUGCAAGUUAGCCACCCUCUCUAUUGGAUAUUGCUCUGAGCUACACAAUGUCUUCCCUUCCACAAUCAUAGGGAGAUUGCACAACCUAACAAUUGUUGAGAUUGAAAAUUGUCCCUCUCUAGAAUCAUUGUUUGAUUAUGGGUCCACAGAAGCAAAUACUACGCAAACAACUAUAUUGCUCCCCAAAUCAGAAGUAAAGAUGGUGAGGGAAGCAGGAAAGUUGAAAUGUACGGUGAAGAGUGACUCCCAAAUGAUUUUGGGUUUUCCUAGUCUAAAAAAAGUCCGUGUUUGCAGUUGCUGCAACCUAAGAUAUCUCUUCCCCACUUGUAUGGCCACAACUCUAGUGAAACUUGAGAGCCUAUGGAUUAUCAAUUGCGCACAGAUGAAGGAAGUGGUUCCUAAGGGGAUAGCUAAAGGGGAUGAUGAAUCAUCACAAACAUUGUUCAAUGAGAUGGUUUGCUCUAUCCCUUACUAUGUUCAUCUAUAUUCUUGCAUUUCAUAUUAGAAUGAACAAUCUAAUAAUUUGUGCUAUUUAUCCUCCUUUCUCACAUUAAACUCGUGCAGGCUAGAUUCCCCAAUAUAAGAAAACUACAAAUUGAAGGUGCUCGGUGCAAAGAGCUAUGGAACAAUCAAAUUCCUUAUGAUUCCUUUUGCAAACUAGAAUUUCUUCGAUUGGAGCACUGUGACAAUCUCCUAUGUGUUGCCCCAUCUCACAUGUGGAAGAGAUUGCAGCUUUGUCUCGACUUCCUAGAAGUGAGAUCAUGCCGUUUGGUUGAGAUCAUAUACAAAAGUGAUGGGACAAAUACAAAGAGUGGCAAAUUGAGGAGGUUGAUUUUGCAUGAUCUCGAAAACUUGAGGCAUAUUUGGCAGUCCGAUGGUCUCCCAAAUAUCCCGUUCCCAAACUUGAGACAAAUUAAGGCUAUGAGGUGCUCCCGUUUGGAAAUUCUUUUCACAACCUUCACGGCGAAAUUUCUCGGGCAAAUCGAAGAGCUAGUAGUAGAGUCAUGUGAAGAUAUAAACUAAUUGCUGGCCAUGAAGAAUGUGAAGAAGCAACCGGUACGACAAUCACCUUCUCCGAGUUAACUGCUCUUAGACUUUUCGAGUUGCCGAAAAUCAGGAGCAUCUUAGCUGAGAAAUACUCUGUGGAAUUCCCAUCCUUGCAAGUCUUGUGUAUAGUAAGCUGUGGAAUGGCGCCGGACCAAGGCCUUGACGACUGGAAACACUACCAAAGGUUCAAUAGUUAUAAACUCGAAGAAGUAUUGAAAUAUAGGUUUGAUGACUUCUCGUUUGGGACUUCUGCAGUAGAAAAUGGUGUUUGGCAAUAUAGAAUAACGCGUCCGGUAAUAUGAUAUCAUGUUUCUGGGUUAUCUUGUACAGUUCCCGCAAAGUCUCUUGACUAUUUCCUCCAAUAAUCAUUGCUCUGGUUUAUCUCCUGUCCCUUGGAUCUAAGGCCGUGCUGAGCGAGGUCACUUGUUUAUUCUGACUGAGAAUGUAGAGUUGCUAUCAACGCACGAUUCUAAUAAAAUGACUGUCCAUCUAGACAUUUUCUCUUAACUGACAAGCAUGUAAGAGUUACUAAUGAG